rnacentral:lncRNA from 1 species
UCGGACAACUUGCUAGUCUUCUUUGAUGCUUUUCUACCUAGCCAAUAUCGCCAACCCCAAUUAGGACACCAUCCAUUAAGACAACUCUUCUUUUCAUCUAUCUUUGCUUUCAAAUUUCGAACGUCGGCCAUUUCUUUGUCUACAUCCUCAAGCCAUGUCUUGACAUCUUCCUCGACUUCUAUAGCACGGUGUAUUUGUCGUUCUUGUUCUACUCUUUUAUUGAUGCCAUCUUGUGCCUCCUUCAAAUUAGUUUCUUGAUCCUCAAGUUCUUUAAUAACGCUGUUGAAACAGAGCAGAUAACGAGCUUGGUUUAUGGUUGCAUCCACCAACAACUCUCCAAGCCUUGAUGCAACACCUGACAAAAGUUCCAUGCUAUUUAUCUGCAAUUAAUAAAGUUGAUCUCAGUAAGCUAUAAGCAAAACAAUGAGGCUUGAUCACAAGAUCGAACGAGAAAGUUUAAUUACCUUUUUCUAUUCUGUGAAUGCACGUUUAUUGACACUAGCUUUGACCAGUAAGAGCAAAAUGCAAACGCCGAGCUUUAAGUGGCCAUUAGCUGCAAAACAAAAGAGAGGAAAUAAGGUAAUUUAUUAUUAUUAUUAUUAUUAUUAUUUUUAAGGACGGAUAAAGGUUAGCUAGCUUGCAGACAAAUUUACUAAACUCAAGACAAACCUAAGAGUUUUCCUAAUUUGUUCAAACAUGGAAUAAGCGUUUCACAACAGUAUAUCCAUAAAGGCCCCAGCGAACGUAAUAUGUGCUGGACUAUAUUGAAAUUAGAUUAUUUUAGAAAAUUUUAAAUAAAAAAUAUCAAACAACAAAGAAAUCUAAUAGAAUCUGGAUAAACAGCAUGGGAGAAUAUGGUAAAAUUGAUAAACUUGGUUCAAAAAUUACAAUUCUUUUUGAGAUUUGAACCAACGAUUUUGACUAAGGUCUCCUAAGCCACAAAGCAUAACUCUUACUACUAAAUUACGCGCAUUUUGUUACAUUUAAAUGUGGUCAUAUUCUUUUUAUUAUCUUUUUUUAGAAGGGACUCAUGGUAUACUUAAAAGAAAUAAUAAUGAUUUAGAUGGGGCUGAAGCCCACUCAUGAAAAAAUUUAAAGGUUUUCAAGAUAAUAACCGAUUAUUUUCCACCCAAUAUUCUAAUAGAAUGGUGCCAGAAUUCUCAAAUAAUAUCUUAAUAUUAUUUAACUGGUUGGCACCCACCUAUUGGAUGAUUAAUUUAAUAAUUUGUUACAUUAUUUAAUACUCCAUCUCACUAUCUAGUGAUGUAAAUGGUGGAGAAGGAUCGUCUCCUAGACUUUUUUCUCUCACUAAUCUCUUAGUGAAAUAAGUGGCCGAAAUUGAAUUUUAAUUUUUGAUAUUGACAAUUAAAUUGGCUUGUUUCACAUUAUUAACAAUUAAGCCAAUUUUUUUUUUCUCCUUUUUUCAAUUAGAUUUGGAAGGCUAUAAGAGAGUAGGAGAGAAAAAACACUAGAAGGAGAUCUUAAUCCAUAAAUAGUACCUUAUUUGGGAUGGUAAAGAUUGAGAUAAAUUUCCUCUUAGUCUCUAAAAUUUUGGCCUAUGCGCAGCCAUAAUUUUAGUAUUUUUAAAAAGAAUGGGAUUAUUUACAUUCUAAAAUCUAUUUUGAAUACUCUUUUACUCAACACACUCAUUCAAUAAAUAAAUUUUAAAAAAUAAUUUUUACUUUACACACUAUUUCGAGAGUCAAAACUAUCCUUCAUUAGGACCAUUUCAUUAACUAAUUAUUUUCUAUUGACACCCAUAAAAUAUUCAUCAUUCUUGAACCAUGUGGCGUUAAUUAAUGAUUCCGAAGCAUUAUCAAGAUUCAAGAUUUAUGUUGAAAUUCUUUCAUCUGACAUUUGAACCCAGCCACUAGCUAUAUACAUAUAUACUUUCAAAUGCAGCUCUGGGAAUAUUUUGUGACUGAUUUUAUAAAGUGUUUUAGUUACAUUAAUGCAGUGAAACAAUAAAGAGUACGUGGCUUGCUGAUUUCCAAAUCAAGUUGGGGGAAAAAACAGAGCAUUUUUCUUUUAUAAUGGAUUAGAUUAGACGAUGAAGGACAAAUUAUUCGCGAUUAUUAGUACUUUUGUGUGUGUUAAGAGUAAUAAUAUUAUUUUAAAUUAUAUUAAUGCCUUUCGUAGUGAAUUCAAUUAGGGUUAUUUUAGUAAUAUAAAUUUUCAUUAAAAUUAAAGUGUCCAAAUUAUAAUUUAGAUUUUUCAAAUGUAAAAUAAUAUUUUUUUAUCUGAUAUAAAUUAAAAUUCAAACAAAUGUAUCAUGCAACAAAUGAAAAGUAAAGAAUAUUAAUUAGGUUUUAAUAGAAACAAAUAUAAAUAGAUGUUUUGAGUAGUUAUUUUUUGUUAUUUUAUGCUAUUGGUAGUUUGUGGAUUAAAUAAUUUGUAUAAGGAUAAAUGGGGGUUUGUAUAAUUUAGACGAAGAUAAUCUCCAAAAUAAGCUUAUAUGUCGAAUUAAAAAGUGUUAUAUAAGUAGUAAUUGUAUUUGCAUCAAAAUUUUUAAUAAAAUUUAUUUAGAAAUUGGCCAAUUGGGUUUUAUGAAGAAAAUAGAGGGGCAAGUAAUUAUGUAACAAGUAAUUUGUAGGUUGUGGUACUUCUCCAUACUUUAAAUCACUUUUAUCUAAUCAAUUGAUAAAUAUUUUUUGGGCACCAACAAAAUGAAAAGAAAAGUUUAAAAAUAAUUCUGAAAUUAAAAACGUUAGGUAUUGCCUAUAAGCUAUACAAUUUUACCUUUUCUUCUACACAAUUAGUAUUAGAAAUAAAAGUAGUUUCAAAAUAAAUGUAAUUAGGAGGUAAUAUUAUCUCAACAAUACCUUAUAGGGAAAAAGACAUCUACAUCCUAAAGUUUGGAGAAAUGGUCGUAAAGACCCUAGGUUUUCAGAAAGGGAUAUCAAGACCCUUUUUUUAUCGUAAUACCCUUUAAAUAUAGUAAUUAGAAAAUUGACUUUAAGAAUUUUUAAUUGACAAAUUUAAUAUAAAUAAUAUAAUCUAUCUAGUAGAUUAAUAAUAUUAACAAUAAAAAUAAUAUUAAAAUUUAAAUUCUUAUAUUUAUUUUAAUAAUAUAUUUUUUUUUUUAUAAAGAUUUUAAAUAAAUCCUUGGGUUAAAUAGGUUUUCCAGUUAACAAAAUAUACCCCUAUUAAUAAUAUUGAAAUUACUUUCUACAUAAUAUUUAAAAUAAUUAUAAUUUAUUUAUUUUAAUAUUAUGUUUCUAUUUAUUAAAAAUUACUUUAUUAGAGUAAAUUUUUAUUAAUUAAAGCUUUAAAAUCAAUUUUCUAAUUACUAAAUUAAAAGGGUAUUAUGGUAAAAAAGGGUCUUUCCUUUUUGAAAACUUAGGGUUUUUGCGACCAUCUCCGCAAACUUUGGAGUAUAGGUGUCCUUUUCCCUACUUCAUAUAAAGAUAUUCCAUAAGGUCUUAUAAUAACUUAUAUUAUAUGAAUUUAAUUAAAAGAUCAUUAAUACUUAAAUAAUAAUAAUUAUAGAAGACAUUGUAAUAAAUUAUUUGAUAUAUAUUAUUAAUGAUACUAUAUAUAUGUGUAUAUAACUACAUGAUGGCUUGGAUAUAUAUUGUUUAGUGGUAAUAAAUUUUUUUAAAAAAAUUUAAACUAAUGAUUUCAUGUAAUUCAAUGGUGGAUGAUUUAAAAUCAUAAAAUAUUGUUUUGACUUUCAAUAUCAACCGUUAGACUGUGAGAAAUUAAUUGCUCAAUAUUUUGUGUUAAAUUUUUGAAUUAAAAUAUCCCAAACCAUUUGUUUUACUUAAAAUACAAAAAAUAUAUAAAGAAAUUUUCUCAUUAAUUUUCAUAUUUUUAUUAGAGAUAAUAUUUUAUGUAUCGUCACCAUUAAUUGCCAUCAUUAAAGUAGUGACUCUUAGUAAUAUAAAAUUUUAUAAUUAGUUAAUUGCAAUCAAAGGAUAUCAAUAAAAUAAUAUUUUAUGAUUCAUAAAUUAAAGCUAAUUAAGAAUAUAUGUUUGUUUUAACUUUUAUGAAAUCAACUAAGUGAUAUUAGAAAAUAAAAUGAAAAUAAACUAGUGAAACUUAAAUUUUAUAAGGUUUGAAUAAUUUUCUACCAUGUAAGAAUAUUAAUUGUGACAUAAACCAUAGUUUCAUGGUAUAUGUAUGCCGAAUGGGGUAACAAAUAAUAUAUACUUCACGAUCAUGAUAGUAUAUAAAGUAGUGGAUAUUUUAAUAUAUAACAUAAAAUUCUUUAAGACAUAGGUGGUCAAUUAUAUAUUUUUUAGGACAUAGACAAUCUCAAUCAAGAGUUUAUUGAUGUGAAUAGAUGGCAUUCACUUAAAUGUAUACACUUAAUUGUGUUGUUUAUUGGUAUUAGAUAUUCACUUAAAUGUAUAUACUUAAUUGUGUUGUUUAUUGGUAUUACAUGUAACAAAAUUUUAUAUUAAAUUUUGAAGUUUUAUAUUGUUGUUUCUAUUGAAUUUAUAAAUACAAUAAAAUUAUGGCCAUCAACAAUCACAACCAACUGCCACCAACAAUUAGAUUCUCAUAUCCGUUGACGACAAUUUUUUAUACUAUUGGAACUCCAAUCUUUGAAGCUACACAAUAGUUAAAGUACCAACAUCACUAGAACUUCCGUUCAUUGUAGAUCUAUAGUCAAAGUUUCGAAUCUUAAAAAUUUGACAGCAGAUUUAUGUCAAAUGAAAGCUUGUUACCAGUGAUUCUUAUACAAUUAUGUUGUUAUAGUAAUAAGGAUUCUAGUGGUACUAAAAUGCACUCCAUUAGACAUAAAGAUCCGACGACUAGUGGCGACAACAACUAUCAUUAGUGACUUGGAGGUAAUUGCCAUUAAUAAAUUAUUUUUAACUUAAUAAUUAAUACAAACAAAUAAAAAAGUAAUUUAAUGAAAAUUAAUGUAAUAAAUAAUUGAAUUAAAAAAAUUAAAACCUAAAUUCUCGACCAUUUAUCCGUAUGUUUCGAAUCCAACGUUCAAAAUUGGAAUAAAACAUAGUAUAGCCAUUGGAAGUAAAACAAACAUUAAAGAGACUAGGAAAAAAUAUCUCAUACCUUCUAUAAUGAUACAUCCUCAAUCACUGCAGAAAGCUCCAAUUAAAAAGUCGCACAAGUUCGGAGAAAAUUACCUAACAACACAAAUAAACAUCAAAUCAAAGCAACAUAGGAUCCAGCUAAUUAACAUCAUAAGUAAGUCCUUGUUCUCAGUCAAAUCUUGCAUUCUUAGGAUAAAAAAAAAAUUGAAAGAAUAACGGUAACUGGAAAGUUUGACGACAUAAAGAUCUAGCUAAAUUUUAAGAAGCAAAAGUAAAUAAUGAAAGCUCAAUAAAAGAUCAUCAGCAUUAACAUACCGAAAUGAGAGCAGCUCACAGAACUGGUAAUUUCCAAGAACAGGAAAAAUAAGUGAGCUGAUAUUGAGGACAACUAAAGUAGUCAUGGAGUAAUUUGCUAUUGAGGACACCUAAAAUAAGAAAAUUAAUUAACAUUGCUCUAUACACCAUUUCAAUAAUUUGACUAUUAAAAAAAAAAUCUAUCUAGAUCACGAUUUCUCAAAAUGAUGCUUUUUCUAAUUAAAUAAAUCAAAAUGCUUGCUUCUUUCUUUUUCAGAAAAGAAAAAGUGGCAAUGGCAUCAAUUUUUUGCUAGAUUAUUAUCACCAAAAGCACAAGCAAGGAAUAAGGAUACUCUCUGAAACCAACCAUAUAAAGAGUAGAAAUAUUUGUUGGAGUGUAAGGUAGAAGUAAGUGGUCAAUUGUAAAUAAGUCUUUCUUUUUUCUUUGUUGUUUUUUCAUUUUUUGAAUGUGAACUAAAUAAAUUUAAGGGUGAAGCUAUUACACCUUGAAAACUAUGACUGAACACCCAUUUUUUUAAUUAAAUUUUUAUUACUAAAAUAACCAUGGAGUAAUUUGCUUCUAAGGAAAACUAGAAUAAUAACAUGAAUAAUGAUUGCUCUAUACACCCUUUUAUACGUCUAUCUUCUUCUUAAUUUCAUAAUUUGGCUGUCAAAAAGUAAUCUAUCUAGAUCACGAUUUCUCAAAAUGAUGCUUUUUAUAUCUAAAUAAAUGAAAAUGCUUGUUUCUUUCUUUCUCGAAAAGAAAAAGUGGCAAUGGCAUCAAUUUUUGCUUGCAAGCACAGCAAGUAAUCAGUAUACUCUCGGAAACUAACCAUAUUAAGAGUAGAAAUAUAUUGGGUUAUCACGAAGUAAGUUAGAAAUCAAUUAUAAAUGGUCUUUUUUUUUUUUUUUAAUGUGAACUAUAUAAAUUUAAGGUGAGGUUAUUUACACUUUGAAAAACAUUCUAAAAACCAUUAUUUCAUUAAAUUUUUUAUUAUUAAAGGUCCGUUUGCUGCCCCAAACGCUCUCUAAAAUAGCCAUGGAGUAAUUUCUUACUGAGGAAAACUAGAAUAAUAAAAUCAAUUAUCAUUCUGCCAUGACCCCGUUUCUAGAUGUAUCUUCUUCUUGAUUUGGUAACUUGGCUGUCAAAAAGAAAUCUAUCUAGAUCCCGAUUCCUCAAAAUGAUGCUUUUUCGGAUGAAAUAAAUGAAAUUGAACCUACAAUCUGUCACAAACACGUUAUAAUGAGCCUAAUGAAAAGCAGUAUGAGAAAUUUUGCUUCCAUGUUGUUUCUUCCAUAUGUAAAGGUAGUAAAAAGAAAUUUAAGUCCUAGAAACAAAUGGAUGAAGAAUUAUCAAUAAUUAAAAAUUAAAAAAAAAAACAGAGUUAUUAAAGAAUCACAGUUCCACCAAAAAUUAAGAGUUAUUUUAUUUGGUGGUUUCCUUAUCCCGAAGCAUUACUUGUAAAUAUGUGCUAACAAGUAAUAAUUAAGAAAGUUAAGGCCAAUCAUUUAGAAGGGAGAAAAAUGGAAACAUCCGGAAUAUUGUUAUGUGUUUUCAGUGCGUAUCUACCAAUCAAUAAUGAAAAAUUAAAUACGCAUGUGACGAAAAUUUAAUAAAGAGAACUGGACGUGACAAAAUUUUUAUUAUUCUAUCUUUUUCUCCUCUGAAACUUCCUUAAUUUGGUUGGGAAUUGCUUUGUCUUAGGCAGUGGAUCUGUUAUAAAUACCCUAUGCUAAAGUUAAUAUUUUGAUUGAAGAAAAAAAUAGAGGCGAAAAAUUUUAUUAAAGUAUAACAGAAUUUGAUAAAUUUAGAAUUGAGGAGAGAAAAUGAGUCUAAAUUCGAAAAUUUUGGCACUAUUUACAUAUCAUUAUUUGGGCAAAAAUUUAUUUCUCUGCUUUCAUAUGAUUUGGUCUUUUAUUGUUACGGUGCCAAUUUUUUAUUUAAAGAUGUAAGAUGGUGGUACUAUAGCUUAGAUUUUCCGUAAUUACUAUAUGGUAAGUACAAAAUAAAAUACUAGUUUAAAAUAUAAAAAUGAAAAACUAUUUUUAUAACCAAUAUUUAAUUAAAUACACUUGAAACUCUAUUUUUUCUUAAUAAAAAAAAUUCUAAUUUAUUUUCUCAAUUUAUCUAAACAACUUUACCUAAUCAAGCUAAAUCUACAUAUAACCCUAAACCUUAAUUUAUAAACACCCAAUCAAUCCAAUUGUUAAAUCCGAUUUCAUAAUUAAAAAAGUUAAAUUCUAUUUUAUUAUUUAUGGUGCAAAGUAAAAAAUGCCCUUGAAGUUAAGGGUAAAAUUGAUAUUUUAUUUAAAUUUGGGAAAUUAUCAUUCGUAUACCCUAUAUUUGCUCUGUUAUAAAAAAUACUACAACACUUUGAGGGUGUAUCAAUCGUCCACCCUAAGUUGACAAAAUGUAUCAACCGACCACUAAACCGUUAAUUGUCGUUUGAAAGUUAACGGAAUUACAGUGAAUUGACGAUUUUACCCUUGAAAAUUAUCACUUGUAUACCCUUAAAUUAUCACUUGUAUCAUAUGAAAAGACCAGAUUACCCUUCUGACGUUAUCAUAUUUAAACGGCAACUAACGGUUCGGUGGUCGGUUGAUACAUUUUGUCAACUUAGGGUGGACGAUUGAUACACCCUCAAAGUGUUGUAGUAUUCUUGAUAAUGAAGUAAACUAAGGGUAUACAAAUGAUAAUUUCCCUUUAAAUUUUGUUAAUAUUCUAAUAAUGUUAAUGUCUUAGUGGUUAAUAAAAUCACAAAGUCAAACUUUUGUAGUAUUUUUUAUAAUAAGGUAAAGAUAUAUGUUUGAUAAUUUUCCUACGUCUUUUUACGUUAAAUUGAGUCUCAAGGGAAAAAUGGUUAAUUUGCUAUAAUUCUGUCAGUUUUCUAAUGGAAGAUAAUGAUAUAAUGAAUAAAUAAUACAUAUUCUUAAAUUAGUAUAGAUGAAUGAUACAACUUGAAAAUAUUGUAGUAUUCUUAAUAGUAGAGAAAUUUAAAAGUGGAUGGUUGAUAAUUUAAUGAAGUAACUACAGAAUUUUCCUUUCAAAUAUAUUUUUUAAAAUAUAUGAUGAGUAAAAAUCAUUUUACAGAAUGAUCUUUCAAAUGCACAUUCCACAAGCCAAAAAGAAAGGGUAGCGAACAACCCUUGUUGAAAUGGCACCCCGGCUUUUGCAGCGUACCCAAGUGCAGCCACCACCCCAGAAUCUGGUACUACAAUCACAACAUCACACUCAACAGGAGCCUCGGUAGCAAGUACUUCCCCAAAAUGAUACCUCGACUCGUAAGACCUUCCAAAAACAACAGAAUUAGGCAAAGCAAAAUAAAUAUGCUCAAAGAUGCACUGCUUAGGUUCAGGGUGAGGCAUCAAACAAAGUGAUUGAACCCCAUCUUUAUCCACCAUCAAAACUUCACCGGGAUAUACCUCUCUCUCGUAUGUGGCCUCAAUCAAAUCAAGUGCGCAAGUUUCUGAUGCAAAAACCACAGCACCGUUACUCCUCCUACCCAUCACCAACGGCCUAAACCCAUACGGGUCACGAACCGCAACAAGCUUAUCCUCAGUAACAAACACCAUUGAAUAAGCACCCUCAAGCUUCUCACAAGCAUCCACAAUCCUCAAAAAGAACGGCUUAGCUUUCGAUAUCGCAAUCAAAUGGAGAACAAUCUCAGUAUCAGAACUAGUAUAAAAAAUGGAUUCAUUAUCCUCGAGCUUAGCCCUCAAAGUAUUAUAAUUACCUAAAUUCCCAUUAUGUGCAACACCAACAGAACCAAACCUGUACCCAGCAACAAAAGGCUGCACAUUCUUAAGCAUAGAACUACCCGCAGUCGAAUAUCUAACAUGACCAAUGGCCAUAUCACCCGGCAAUUGAUCAAGUUUAGACUGAUUAAACACAUCAGAGACUAAACUGUUGAUGCGAGAUUCUGGUUGUCCUCGUUCUACGACCAGGGUCUCUGCUCGAUCAACUUCACCACGACCAGGAUCUCUCCUCGUAAAGCUUCUUCUCCAGAGGUUCCUGCGCACACAGACAAGUCAGAGUACGCCGGUUAUUUUCCCGGCGCAAACCCUCCGACGCUCAAGUCAGAUAUGAAGGUUCGGGGAACACUUGCCACAGAUCUUAUGGCUUUUGGGUAGUUUUCUCUUCUUUAGAAUUUCUUUAUCUCUCUUCUAAUGUCAAAAUUGCUAACCCUUUUACCUUCGUUGGCUACCUUUUUAUAGGCUUCCUCUGAAUCCCAGUUUUCCGCAGUCUACGUCCGUUAUCCUCCCACCUCUCGAACGUGGAUUCCCCAUUUCCGUAGUCGUGGGUGGUUGCGUGGCCUUCGUGCCUAGAUUCUCGGGCUGGAGAGCAUGCCUUGCCAACUGUCGUUGACCGGGCCUCCUCGAAUCAACCCUUAGCAAGAAUACAGCAGGAAUGGCUUUAUGCUUCUUACAAGAAAUUGGCCUCGCGGAUGACGUGCUCGUGGAUGAGCAGGAUAUUCCUGCCCCUGCUCCCCUGCUACUUGGCUCUUACAGGACACACCUGCUCGCCGACUUCUGCCACCAAACAUCUGCUCAUCACGUCUGGUCUCGUCGGAGUAUUUCCCUCAAACACCGGUCCCCCAGUUUCUGGUGUUGGGUAAUGUAAUGGACCAGCAGUAGAAACUUAGCGGUUCUUGGUCGCGUGGGACUGAAAAAGGCUGCCAAGAGUCAUAUCGCAUUUAAUUGCGGACGAGGUGAUGUGGCAGAAAUCUGCCCCUCUAUUCGAAUUUCCAACCAACGGUUACGAGGCCCUUGGGAUUUGGUGCCGUUAAAUGCUGGCAACCCAAGAGUCCGUCCCCAUUAGGAAACCUAAAUCCUUUCAAACAGCAAAUUCGUCAUUCCCUCCGUCUCCGUCCCUGUCUCUCCGGCAAAGAAGUUCCAGCAUAAAGGCCUCCAUCUCUGUCUUUCACCGACUGAACCAUUACUUCAUGUAUUUCUUCUAUCUCCUUGGUCUCGGAUAGUUGUAGAUAAUUUCUGUUCUCUUUUGUUUGGGUAGUAGUUGGUGGUGGUGUUGUGGUUAGAGUUUAGGGAAUGUCGAAAGCUAAAGAGAAGGUCAUUGAAGUUGACGACGAUGAGUUAGACUUCCUGCCUAGUCUGCUCACUGAUCCUGCUUUUGACCCCGGGAUCCCCUUAGAGCCCAUUAGAUCUAGUGUCGGCACUAGCGCUAGGAGGAUGUCUCCCCAAACGACCUCCUCGAGCAGAGAUAGUGAUGAAGAGGGGUCUUCCGGCUCGGAGAACACCCUGAGUGAGGGCCGAGGAGAUGAUUCUGGCGAGGUGUCCCCAUCAGGAGCGUCGCGACCAGAAGGGCGGAGUACAAUAGGAGGUAGAGCCCUAUCGCGGGAUUACGCUAUUGAUUACAUGACAUGCACAACCACGUUUGAUGAGCUCAAUGACCUCCGGCUUAGGUAUAGUAUUCCUGGUGAAAUCCCUCUUAAGGUCCCAGGAAAGAAGGAUACUCCUAGCCGGCCUCCUAGGGGAUACGUUACCCUGUAUCUGGAUAGGUUUAAGUAUGGGCUGAGGUGUCCCGUGCAACCUUACUUUGCCCGGAUACUUAGCGGGCUGAAUCUAUCUCCUGGUCAGCUGAACCCAAAUGGUUGGAGAGUACUUUAUGGUCUGUUUAUAUUGUGGGACAGAUGUUGCCAGAGCGAGCCCACAGUUGAUGAGGUGAAGCACUUGUACCAGCUAAAGAGCAGCCCCAAAGAUGCCGGCUGGUACUACUUUCAAUCUAGUACCAAGACCAGGAAACCCAUAACCGACCUCCCUACUGGUGGUGGUGGGAAUUGGAAGAGGAAAUUCUUUUUUGCUGGGGGUCCUUGGGGUUAAGUUGCACAAAUAGACGGGAAGGAUUAUCGCGUCCCACCCCGUUUCACGGUCCCAGGUUGCCUGCUCGCUUUAGGUGUCUUGUGUCCGUAAUUGUGCUCGCUUUGUUGGUUUGUCUCUAACCAAGUGUCUAUUUGUGUUGUAGUUUCUUGGGGUGUUCAUUUCUCGCUCAAACCUGGCCAACUCAAACGGGUCGAGGCUGUGCUAGCCAAUUCCUGCUCGAGCCGGGAGCUGAUAACUACAUACAACUUGCUCGAGUCUCGCUUAAUACUCCCUGGUCAUAAGAUGGAGGACGCUGUGAUUGGGGCUCUGAACAGGAAACGUUCUCGACCUCAAACCACGAAGAGGGACCAGAAUAAGGACGCCCCUACUGCAAAGCGGGCCAACAUCGUGCAGCAGGUCUCUCCCUUGAAGACUUUACCUCCUGCUCCUGCCAAAGUCGGGGAAACUAGUGGAGGAGCAGCCACCGAUCCUGCUUCUUCUUCUCCUCAUGUCGGGCCUCGAUCUCGCUUACCUGACAGCCGAGCAGAACACUUGGUCCCCUAUCUCAAUGAGUUAUCUAAACUCGUGAGCAAGAAGGACCUGGAGGACUUUGAUGGCUGCACUCUGGGCGAGCUGGUGCGAGCCAUGCAGUAUAGCGCUUUCCAUCUCAGCUGCAUGACCACCUACUAUAAGGCCAAGGUCGGCCGUUAUGACAGGAAGAUGAAGGAGGACAUUCAGUUAGCGAUGACCAGAGCUGACGGCGCCGAGAAGAAAGCAGGAGCGCUGAAUGUCGAGAACCUGAAGCUGAUAGAGCAAGAAUCUCUUGCUCAAGCGAAAGCCAUUACCCUCGAGGAGGAGCUGACCAAGGUCAAAGAGGAUCUUCAAAGGCAGAAGGCUAUGUAUGAGGCUCAGCUCGAAUCUCUCCGUGAUUCCCACCGGGUUCAGGUCGAGAACUUAGAGAAGGAGGCUGACAACCAGUACGACCAGGGACUUCGGCAUUCCUAUCGUUGCAUCAUGGCCGUCCUCGGGAAGCAACACCCUGAUCUGAAGAUGGAUGACCUUGCAGCUGGUGUUGCUCAACAUAUGGACGAGGAGGCGGCCAAGGAAGACGCUGAAGGGGUAGAGCCGAUCGUGAUUGAGGAGGAAAACUCUCCUUCUCGUGCAGAACCUGCUGGUGUUGGCGAGGCGAGCACCCCCCGGACGCAACUGGUGAUACCCCCUGCACCUGAGGAGGUCCAGCCGACUGAUGCUGCUCGGCUUACUGAUCCACCAUCUUAUUGAUAUAUUUCUUGUAUUGUAAUGCACAAUGUUUGUGAAGAUUAUCUCCUCUGUUAAUUAUUAACAAAUUAAUAAAGAUGUUUUUGAUUACUUUCUUGUGUUGUAAUCAUGAGUUAUUUUUCGUUUGAGAAUCUGCUCGUCUUUGUCUGGUCGAGCAGGUUCUGGCUUGGCACAUGGUUUUGCCACAUGCCUUUGAAAAUUCUUCAAUGCUUGGGAUUCUGCUCGCCUUCGCAUGGUCGAGCAGAUCCUGGCAUGCUUGGCUUCUGGUCUCGCCAAAAGACAGGCUUUCAGACUUGGUGAGCUUUUGCAUGCCUUUGAUUCUGCAAUGAUUGGGAGUCUGCUCGCCUUCUCGUGGUCGAGCAGAUCCUGGCACGCAUGGCAUCUGGUCUCGCCAUAAACAGGCUUUGAGACUUGAUAAGCCUUUGCAUGCCUUUAAUAAUUUCUUGAAUGCUUUGGAGUCUGCUCGCCUUCUUGUGGUCAAACAUAUCCUGGCACGCUUGGCUUCUGUCGCAUGCCUUCAAUUCUUCAAGGAUUGAGAUUUCGCUCGCCUUCUCGUGGUCGAGCAGAUCCUGGCACGGUUGGCUGCUGUCUCGCCAUAAAACAGGCUUUGAGACUUGCCGAGCCUUUGCAUGCCUUUGAUUCUUCAAGGAUUGGGAUUCUGCUCGCCUUCUCGGGGUCGAACAGAUCCUAGCACGCUUGGCUUCUGUCUCGCCAUAAAAUAGGCUUUGAGACUUGCUGAGCCUUUGCAUGCCUUCAAUUCUUCAAGGAUUGGGAUUCUGCUCGCCUUCUCGUGGUCGAGCAGAUCCUGGCACGCUUGGCUUCUGUCUCGCCAUAAAACAAGCUUUGAGACUUGCUGAGCCUUUGCAUGCCUUUGAUUCUUCAAGGAUUGGGAUUCUGCUCGCCAUCUCGUGGUCGAGCAUAUCCUGGCACGCUUGGCUUCUGUCUCGCCAUAAAACAGGCUUUGAGACUUGCCGAGCUUUUGCAUGCCUUUGAUUCUUCAAGGAUUGGGAUUCUGCUCGCCUUCUCGUGGUCGAGCAGAUCCUGGCACGCAUGGCAUCUGGUCUCGCCAUAAACAGGCUUUGAUACUUGAUGAGCCUUUGCAUGCCUUUGAUAAUUUCUUGAAUGCUUUGGAGUCUGCUCGCCUUCUUGUGGUCAAACAUAUCCUGGCACGCUUGGCUUCUGUCGCAUGCCUUCAAUUCUUCAAGGAUUGGGAUUUCGCUCGCCUUCUCGUGGUCGAGCAUAUCCUGGCAUGGUUGGCUGCUGUCUCGCCAUAAAACAGGCUUUGAGACUUGCCGAGCCUUUGCAUGCAUUUGAUUCUUCAAGGAUUGGGAUUCUGCUCGCCUUCUCGUGGUCGAGCAGAUCCUGGCACGCUUGGCUUCUGUCUCGCCAUAAAACAGGCUUUAAGACUUGUUGAGCCUUUGCAUGCCUUUGAUUCUUCAAGGAUUGGGAUUCGGCUCGCCUUCUCGUGGUCGAGCAGAUCCUGGCACGCUUGGCUUCUGUCUUGCCAUAAAACAGGCUUUGAGACUUGAUGAGCCUUUGCAUGCCUUUGAUAAUUUCUUGAAUCCUUUGGAGUCUGCUUGCCUUCUCGUGGUCGAGCAUAUCCUAGCACGCUUGGCUUCUGUCUCGCCAUAAAACAGGCUUUGAGACUUGAUGAGCCUUUGCAUGCCUUUGAUAAUUUCUUGAAUGCUUUGGAGUCUGCUCGCCUUCUCGUGGUCGAGCAUAUCUUGGCACGCUUGGCUUCUGUCUCGCCAUAAAACAGGCUUUGAGACUUGCUGAGCCUUUGCAUGCCUUCAAUUCUUCAAGGAUUUGGAUUCUGCUCGCCUUCUCGUGGUCGAGCAGAUCCUGGCACGCUUGGCUUCUGUCUCGUCAUAAAACAGGCUUUGAGACUUGCCGAGCCUUUGCAUGCCUUUGAUUCUUCAAGGAUUGGGAUUCUGCUCGCCUUCUCGUGGUCGAGCAGAUCCUGGCACGCUUGGCUUCUGUCUCGCCAUAAAACAGGCUUUGAGACUUGCCGAGCCUUUGCAUGCCUUUGAUUCUUCAAGGAUUGGGAUUCUGCUCGCCUUCUCGUGGUCGAGCAGAUCCUGGCACGCUUGGCUUCUGUCUCGCCAUAAAACAGGCUUUGAGACUUGCCGAGCCUUUGCAUGCCUUUGAUUCUUCAAGGAUUGGGAUUCUGCUCGCCUUCUCGUGGUCGAGCAGAUCCUGGCACGCUUGGCUUCUGUCUCGCCAUAAAACAGGCUUUGAGACUUGCUGAGCCUUUGCAUGCCGUUGAUUGUUCAAGGAUUGGGAUUCGGCUCGCCUUCUCGUGGUGGAGCAGAUCCUGGCACGCUUGGCUUCUGUCUCGUCAUAAAACAGGCUUUGAGACUUGAUGAGCCUUUGCAUGCCUUUGAUAAUUUCUUGAAUGCUUUUGAGUCUGCUUGCCUUCUCGUGGUCGAGCAUAUCCUGGCACGCUUGGCUUCUGUCUCGCCAUAAAACAGGCUUUGAGACUUGCCGAGCCUUUGCAUGCCUUUGAUUCUUCAAGGAUUGGGAUUCUGCUCGCCUUCUCGUGGUCGAGCAGAUCCUGGCACGCUUGGCUUCUGUCUCGCCAUAAAACAGGCUUUGAGACUUGCUGAGCCUUUGCAUGCCGUUGAUUGUUCAAGGAUUGGGAUUCGGCUCGCCUUCUCGUGGUCGAGCAGAUCCUGGCACGCUUGGCUUCUGUCUCGCCAUAAAACAGGCUUUGAGACUUGCUGAGCCUUUGCAUGCCUUCAAUUCUUCAAGGAUUGGGAUUCUGCUCGCCUUCUCGUGGUCGAGCAGAUCCUGGCACGCUUGGCUUCUGUCUCGCCAUAAAACAGGCUUUGAGACUUGCUGAGCCUUUGCAUGCCUUUGAUAAUUUCUUGAAUGCUUUGGAGUCUGCUCGCCUUCUUGUGGUCAAACAUAUCCUGGCAAGCUUGGCUUCUGUCGCAUGGCUACAAUUCUUCCAGGAUUGGGAUUUCGCUCGCCUUCUCGUGGUCGAGCAGAUCCUGGCAUGGUUGGCUGCUGUCUCGCCAUAAAACAGGCUUUGAGACUUGCCGAGCCUUUGCAUGCCUUUGAUUCUUCAAGGAUUGGGAUUCUGCUCGCCUUCUCGUGGUCGAGCAGAUCCUGGCACGCUUGGCUUCUGUGUUGCCAUAAAAUAGGCUUUGAGACUUGCUGAGCCUUUGCAUGCCUUUGAUUCUUCAAGGAUUGGGAUUCUGCUCGCCUUCUCGUGGUCGAGCAGAUCCUGGCAUGGUUGGCUGCUGUCUCGCCAUAAAACAGGCUUUGAGACUUGCCGAGCCUUUGCAUGCCUUUGAUUGUCCCAUCGCCAUAAAACAGGCUUUGAGACUUGAUGAGCCUUUGCAUGCCUUUGAUAAUUUCUUGAAUGCUUUGGAGUCUGCUUGCCUUCUCGUGGUCGAGCAUAUCCUGGCACGCUUGGCUUCUGUCUCGCCAUAAAACAGGCUUUGAGACUUGCUGAGCCUUUGCUUGCCUUCAAUUCUUCAAGGAUUGGGAUUCUGCUCGGCUUCUCGUGGUCGAGCAGAUCCUGGCACGCUUGGCUUCUGUCUCGCCAUAAAACAGGCUUUGAGACUUGCUGAGCCUUUGCAUGCCUUCAAUUCUUCAAGGAUUGGGAUUCUGCUCGCCUUCUCGUGGUCGAGCAGAUCCUGGCACGCUUGGCUUCUGUCUCGCCAUAAAACAGGCUUUGAGACUUGCUGAGCCUUUGCAUGCCUUUGAUUCUUCAAGGAUUGGGAUUCUGCUCGCCUUCUCGUGGUCGAGCAGAUCCUGGCACGCUUAGCUUCUGUCUCGCCAUAAAACAGGCUUUGAGACAUGCCGAGCCUUUGCAUGCCUUUGAUUCUUCAAGGAUUGGGAUUCUGCUCGCCUUCUCGUGGUCGAGCAGAUCCUGGCACGCUUGGCUUCUGUCUCGCCAUAAAACAGGCUUUGAGACUUGCUGAGCCUUUGCAUGCUUUGAUUCUUCAAGGAUUGGGAUUCGGCUCGCCUUCUCGUGGUCGAGCAGAUCCUGGCACGCUUGGCUUCUGUCUUGCCAUAAAACAGGCUUUGAGACUUGAUGAGCCUUUGCAUGCCUUUGAUAAUUUCUUGAAUGCUUUGGAGUCUGCUGGCCUUCUCGUGGUCGAGCAUAUCCUGGCACGCUUGGCUUCUGUCUCGCCAUAAAACAGGCUUUGAGACUUGCUGAGCCUUUGCAUGCCUUCAAUUCUUCAAGGAUUGGGAUUCUGCUCGCCUUCUCGUGGUCGAGCAGAUCCUGGCACGAUUGGCUUCUGUCUUGCCAUAAAACAGGCUUUGAGACUUGAUGAGCCUUUGCAUGGCUUUGAUAAUUUCUUGAAUGCUUUGGAGUCUGCUUGCCUUCUCGUGGUCGAGCAUAUCCUGGCACGCUUGGCUUCUGUCUCGCCAUAAAACAGGCUUUGAGACUUGCUGAGCCUUUGCAUGCCUUCAAUUCUUCACGGAUUGGGAUUCUGCUCGCCUUCUCGUGGUCGAGCAGAUCCUGGCACGCUUGGCUUCUGUCUCGCCAUAAAACAGGCUUUGAGACUUGCUGAGCCUUUGCAUGCCUUUGAUUCUUCAAGGAUUGGGAUUCUGCUCGCCUUUUCGUGGUCGAGCAGAUCCUGGCACGCUUGGCUUCUGACUCGCCAUAAAACAGGCUUUGAGACUUGCCGAGCCUUUGCAUGCCUUUGAUUCUUCAAGGAUUGGGAUUCUGCUCGCCUUCUCGUGGUCGAGCAGAUCCUGGCACGCUUGGCUUCUGUCUCGCUAUAAAACAGGCUUUGAGACUUGCUGAGCCUUUGCAUGCCGUUGAUUGUUCAAGGAUUGGGAUUCGGCUCGCCUUCUCAUGGUGGAGCAGAUUCUGGCACGCUUGGCUUCUGUCUCGUCAUAAAACAGGCUUUGAGACUUGAUGACCCUUUGCAUGCCUUUGAUAAUUUCUUGAAUGCUUUGGAGUCUGCUUGCCUUCUCGUGGUCGAGCAUAUCCUGGCACGCUUGGCUUCUGUCUCGCCAUAAAACAGGCUUUGAGACUUGCCGAGCCUUUGCAUGCCUUUGAUUCUUCAAGGAUUGGGAUUCUGCUCGCCUUCUCGUGGUCGAACAGAUCCUAGCACGCUUGGCUUCUGUCUCGCCAUAAAACAGGCUUUGAGACUUGCCGAGCCUUUGCAUGCCUUUGAUUCUUCAAGGAUUGGGAUUCUGCUCGCCUUCUCGUGGUCGAACAGAUCCUAGCACGCUUGGCUUCUGUCUCGCCAUAAAACAGGCUUUGAGACUUGUUGAGCCUUUGCAUGCCUUUGAUUCUUCAAGGAUUGGGAUUCGGCUCGCCUUCUCGUGGUCGAGCAGAUCUUGGCACGCUUGGCUUCUGUCUCGCCAUAAAACAGGCUUUGAGACUUGAUGAGCCUUUGCAUGCCUUUGAUAAUUUCUUGAAUGCUUUGGAGUCUGCUGGCCUUCUCGUGGUCGAGCAUAUCCUGGCACGCUUGGGUUCUGUCUCGCCAUAAAACAGGCUUUGAGACUUGCUGAGCCUUUGCAUGCCUUUGAUUCUUCAACGAUUGGGAUUCGGCUCGCCUUCUCGUGGUCGAGCAGAUCCUGGCACGCUUGGCUUCUGUCUUGCCAUAAAACAGGCUUUGAGACUUGAUGAGCCUUUGCAUGCCUUUGAUAAUUUCUUGAAUGCUUUGGAGUCUGCUGGCCUUCUCGUGGUCGAGCAUAUCCUGGCACGCUUGGCUUCUGUCUCGCCAUAAAACAGGCUUGAGACUUGCUGAGCCUUUGCAUGCCUUCAAUUCUUCAAGGAUUGGGAUUCUGCUCGCCUUCUCGUGGUCGAGCAGAUCCUGGCACGAUUGGCUUCUGUCUUGCCAUAAAAACAGGCUUGAAGACUUGAUGAGCCUUUGCAUGCCUUUGAUAAUUUCUUGAAUGCUUUGGAGUCUGCUUGCCUUCUCGUGGUCGAGCAUAUCCUGGCACGCUUGGCUUCUGUCUCGCCAUAAAACAGGCUUUGAGACUUGAUGAGCCUUUUGCAUGCCUUUGAUAAUUUCUUGAAUGCUUUGGAGUCUGCUUGCCUUCUCGUGGUCGAGCAUAUCCUGGCACGCUUGGCUUCUGUCUCGCCAUAAAAUAGGCUUUGAGACUUGCUGAGCCUUUGCAUGCCUUUGAUUCUUCAAGGAUUGGGAUUCUGCUCGCCUUCUCGUGGUCGAGCAGAUCCUGGCACGCUUGGCUUCUGUCUCGCCAUAAAACAGGCUUUGAGACUUGCCGAGCCUUUGCAUGCCUUUGAUUCUUCAAGGAUUGGGAUUCUGCUCGCCUUCUCGUGGUCGAGCAGAUCCUGGCACGCUGGCUUCUGUCUCGCCAUAAAACAGGCUUGAGACUUGCUGAGCCUUUGCAUGCCUUUGAUUCUUCAAGGAUUGGGAUUCGGCUCGCCUUCUCGUGGUCGAGCAGAUCCUGGCACGCUUGGCUUCUGUCUCGCCAUAAAACAGGCUUUGAGACUUGAUGAGCCUUUGCAUGCCUUUGAUAAUUUCUUGAAUGCUUUGGAGUCUGCUCGCCUUCUUGUGGUCGANNNNNNNNNNNNNNNNNNNNNNNNNNNNNNNNNNNNNNNNNNNNNNNNNNNNNNNNNNNNNNNNNNNNNNNNNNNNNNNNNNNNNNNNNNNNNNNNNNNNNNNNNNNNNNNNNNNNNNNNNNNNNNNNNNNNNNNNNNNNNNNNNNNNNNNNNNNNNNNNNNNNNNNNNNNNNNNNNNNNNNNNNGCUCGCCUUCUCGUGGUCGAGCAGAUCCUGGCACGCUUGGCUUCUGUCUCGCCAUUAAAAGGCUUGAGACAGCCUUUGCAUGCUUUUGCCUUUGGAUCGAGCUCCUGCACGCUUGCUUCUGUCGCCAUAAAACAGGCUUUGAGACUUGCUGAGCCUUUGCAUGCCUUCAAUUCUUCAGGAUUGGAUUCUGCUCGCCUUCUCGUUGGUCAGCAGAUCCUGGCACGCUUGGUUCUGUCUCGCCAUAAAAGGCUUUGAGACUUGCUGAGCCUUUGCAUGCCCUUUGAUUCUUCAAGGAUUGGGAUUCUGCUCGCCUUCUCGUGGUCGAGCAAGAUUCCUGGCACGCUUGAGCUCUGUCUCGCCAUAAAACAGGCUUUGAGACUUGCUGAGCCUUUGCAUGCCUUUCGAUUCUUCAAGGAUUGGGAUUCUGCUCGCCUUCUCGUGGUCGAGCAGAUCCUGGCACGCUUGGCUUCUGUCUCGCCAUAAAACAGGCUUGAGACUUGCUGAGCCUUUGCAUGCCUUGAUUGUUCAAGGAUUGGGAUUCGCUCGCCUUCUCGUGGUCGAGCAGAUCCUGGCACGCUUGCUUCUGUCUGCCAUAAAACAGGCUUUGAGACUUGAUGAGCCUUUGCAUGCCUUUGAUAUUCUUGAAUGCUUUGGAGUCUGCUGCCUUCUCGUGGUCGAGCAUAUCCUGGCACGCUUGGCUUCUGUCUCGCCAUAAAACAGGCUUUGAGACUUGCUGAGCCUUUGCAUGCCGUUGAUUCGUUCAAGGAUUGGGAUUCGGCUCGCCUUCUCGUGGUCGAGCAGAUCCUGGCACGCUUGGCUUCUGUCUCGCCAUAAAACAGGCUUUGAGACUUGAUGAGCCUUUGCAUGCCUUUGAUAAUUUCUUGAAUGCUUUGGAGUCUGCUUGCCUUCUCGUGGUCGAGCAUAUCCUGGCACGCUUGGCUUCUGUCUCGCCAUAAAACAGGCUUUGAGACUUGCUGAGCCUUUGCAUGCCUUUAUUCUUCAAGGAUUGGGAUUCUGCUCGCCUUCUCGUGGUCGAGCAGAUCCUGGCACGCUUGGCUUCUGUCUCGCCAUAAAACAGGCUUUGAGACUUGAUGAGCCUUUGCAUGCCUUUGAUUCUUCAAGGAUUGGGAUCUGCUCGCCUUCUCGUGGUCGAGCAGAUCCUGGCACGCUUGGCUUCUGUCUCGCCAUAAAACAGGCUUUGAGACUUGCUGAGCCUUUGCAUGCCUUUGAUUCUUCAAGGAUUGGGAUUCUGCUCGCCUUCUCGUGGUCGAGCAGAUCCUGGCACGCUUGGCUUCUGUCUCGCCAUAAAACAGGCUUUGAGACUUGCUGAGCCUUUGCAUGCCUUUGAUUCUUCAAGGAUUGGGAUUCUGCUCGCCUUCUCGUGGUCGAGCAGAUCCUGGCACGCUUGGCUUCUGUCUCGCCAUAAAACAGGCUUUUGAGACUUGCUGAGCCUUUGCAUGCCUUUGAUUCUUCAAGGAUUGGGAUUCUGCUCGCCUUCUCGUGGUCGAGCAGAUCCUGGCACGCUUGGCUUCUGUCUCGCCAUAAAACAGGCUUGAUUGCGAGCUUUGAGCUUGACUGAGUCCUCCCUCUUGACAGAUCCGCACCUUGCUCUGUCUCGCAUAAACAGCGAACUUGUUUGCAUUUUGUUUUCAAGGAUUGGGAUUCGGCUCGCCUUCUCGUGGUGGAGCAGAUCCUGGCACGCUUGGCUUCUGUCUCGUCAUAAAACAGGCUUUGAGACUUGAUGAGCCUUUGCAUGCCUUUGAUAAUUUCUUGAAUGCUUUGGAGUCUGCUGGCCUUCUCGUGGUCGAGCAUAUCCUGGCACGCUUGGCUUCUGUCUCGCCAUAAAACAGGCUUUGAGACUUGCUGAGCCUUUGCAUGCCUUUGAUUCUUCAAGGAUUGGGAUUCUGCUCGCCUUCUCGUGGUCGAGCAGAUCCUGGCACGCUUGGCUUCUGUCUCGCCAUAAAACAGGCUUUGAGACUUGCUGAGCCUUUGCAUGCCUUUGAUUCUUCAAGGAUUGGGAUUCUGCUCGCCUUCUCGUGGUCGAGCAUAUCCUGGCACGCUUGGCUUCUGUCUCGCCAUAAAACAGGCUUUGAGACUUGCUGAGCCUUUGCAUGCCUUGAUUCUUCAAGGAUUGGGAUUCUGCUCGCCUUCUCGUGGUCGAGCAGAUCCUGGCACGCUUGCUUCUGUCUCGCCAUAAAACAGCUUUAGACUUGUGAGUUUGCUUUUUUUUUGGUUGGAUUUGCUUUUUGGUAGCAGAUCUGGCACGCUUGGCUUCUGUCUCGCAUAAAACAGGCUUUGAGACUUGAUGAGCCUUUGCAUGCCUUUGAUAAUUUCUUGAAUGCUUUGGGAUUCUGCUCGCCUUCUCGUGGUCGAGCAUAUCCUGGCACGCUUGGCUUCUGUCUCGCCAUAAAACAGGCUUUGAGACUUGAUGAGCCUUUGCAUGCCUUUGAUAAUUUCUUGAAUGCUUUGGAGUCUGCUGGCCUUCUCGUGGUCGAGCAUAUCCUGGCACGCUUGGCUUCUGUCUCGCCAUAAAACAGGCUUUGAGACUUGCUGAGCCUUUGCAUGCCUUUGAUUCUUCAAGGAUUGGGAUUCUGCUCGCCUUCUCGUGGUCGAGCAGAUCCUGGCACGCUUGGCUUCUGUCUCGCCAUAAAACAGGCUUUGAGACUUGCCGAGCCUUUGCAUGCCUUUGAUUCUUCAAGGAUUGGGAUUCUGCUCGCCUUCUCAUGGUCGAGCAGAUCCUGGCACGCUUGGCUUCUGUCUCGCCAUAAAACAGGCUUUGAGACUUGCUGAGCCUUUGCAUGCCGUUUGAUUGUUCAAGGAUUGGGAUUCGGCUCGCCUUCUCGUGGUGGAGCAGAUCCUGGCACGCUUGGCUUCUGUCUCGUCAUAAAACAGGCUUUGAGACUUGAUGAGCCUUUGCAUGCCUUUGAUAAUUUUCAAGUUGGAUUCUCGCCUUCUUGUGAGCAAUCUGGCAGCUUGGCUUCUGUCUCGUCUUUACUUUUUCUUUGAUUUUUGAUUUUGUCUCUUUCUCGUGGUCGAGCAUAUCCUGGCACGCUUGGCUUCUGUCUCGCCAUAAAAACAGGCUUUGAGACUUGCUGAGCCUUUGCAUGCCUUUGAUUCUUCAAGGAUUGGGAUUCUGCUCGCCUUCUCGUGGUCGAGCAGAUCCUGGCACGCUUGGCUUCUGUCUCGCCAUAAAACAGGCUUUGAGACUUGCUGAGCCUUUGCAUGCCGUUGAUUGUUCAAGGAUUGGGAUUCGGCUCGCCUUCUCGUGGUGGAGCAUAUCCUGGCACGCUUGGCUUCUGUCUCGCCAUAAAACAGGCUUUGAGACUUGCUGAGCCUUUGCAUGCCUUCAAUUCUUCAAGGAUUGGGAUUCGGCUCGCCUUCUCGUGGUGGAGCAUAUCCUGGCACGCUUGGCUUCUGUCUCGCCAUAAAACAGGCUUUGAGACUUGCUGAGCCUUUGCAUGCCUUCAAUUCUUCAAGGAUUGGGAUUCUGCUCGCCUUCUCGUGGUCGAGCAGAUCCUGGCACGCUUGGCUUCUGUCUCGCCAUAUAAAACAGGCUUUGAGACUUGCUGAGCCUUUGCAUGCCUUUGAUUCUUCAAGGAUUGGGAUUCUGCUCGCCUUCUCGUGGUCGAGCAGAUCUUGGCACGCUUGGCUUCUGUGUCGCCAUAAAACAGGCUUUUAGACUUGCCGAGCCUUUGCAUGCCUUUGAUUCUUCAAGGAUUGGGAUUCUGCUCGCCUUCUCGUGGUCGAGCAGAUCCUGGCACGCUUGGCUUCUGUCUCGCCAUAAAACAGGCUUUGAGACUUGCUGAGCCUUUGCAUGCCGUUGAUUGUUCAAGGAUUGGGAUUCGGCUCGCCUUCUCGUGGUGGAGCAGAUCCUGGCACGCUUGGCUUCUGUCUCGUCAUAAAACAGGCUUUGAGACUUGAUGAGCCUUUGCAUGCCUUUGAUAAUUUCUUGAAUGCUUUGGAGUCUGCUGGCCUUCUCGUGGUCGAGCAUAUCCUGGCACGCUUGGCUUCUGUCUCGCCAUAAAACAAGCUUUGAGACUUGCUGAGCCUUUGCAUGCCUUCAAUUCUUCACGGAUUGGGAUUCUGCUCGCCUUCUCGUGGUCGAGCAGAUCCUGGCACGCUUGGCUUCUGUCUCGCCAUAAAAACAGGCUUUGAGACUUACUGAGCCUUUGCAUGCCUUUGAUUCUUCAAGGAUUGGGAUUCUGCUCGCCUUCUCGUGGUCGAGCAGAUCCUGGCACGCUUGGCUUCUGUCUCGCCAUAAAACAGGCUUUGAGACUUGCCGAGCCUUUGCAUGCCUUGGAUUCUUCAAGGAUUGGGAUUCUGCUCGCCUUCUCGUGGUCGAGCAGAUCCUGGCACGCUUGGCUUCUGUCUCGCCAUAAAACAGGCUUUGAGACUUGCUGAGCCUUUGCAUGCCUUUGAUUCUUCAAGGAUUGGGAUUCUGCUCGCCUUCUCGUGGUCGAGCAGAUCCUGGCACGCUUGGCUUCUGUCUCGUCAUAAAACAGGCUUUGAGACUUGCCGAGCCUUUGCAUGCCUUUGAUAAUUUCUUGAAUGCUUUGGAGUCUGCUUGCCUUCUCGUGGUCGAGCAUAUCCUAGCACGCUUGGCUUCUGUCUCGCCAUAAAACAGGCUUUGAGACUUGCUGAGCCUUUGCAUGCCGUUGAUUGUUCAAGGAUUGGGAUUCGGCUCGCCUUCUCGUGGUGGAGCAGAUCCUGGCACGCUUGGCUUCUGUCUCGUCAUAAAACAGGCUUUGAGACUUGAUGAGCCUUUGCAUGCCUUUGAUAAUUUCUUGAAUGCUUUGGAGUCUGCUGGCCUUCUCGUGGUCGAGCAUAUCCUGGCACGCUUGGCUUCUGUCUCGCCAUAAAACAAGCUUUGAGACUUGCUGAGCCUUUGCAUGCCUUUGAUAAUUUCUUGAAUGCUUUGGAUUCUGCUCGCCUUCUCGUGGUCGAGCAGAUCCUGGCACGCUUGGCUUCUGUCUCGCCAUAAAACAGGCUUUGAGACUUGCUGAGCCUUUGCAUGCCGUUGAUUGUUCAAGGAUUGGGAUUCGGCUCGCCUUCUCGUGGUCGAGCAGAUCCUGGCACGCUUGGCUUCUGUCUCGCCAUAAAACAGGCUUUGAGACUUGCUGAGCCUUUGCAUGCCUUCAAUUCUUCAAGGAUUGGGAUUCUGCUCGCCUUCUCGUGGUCGAGCAGAUCCUGGCACGCUUGGCUUCUGUCUCGCCAUAAAACAGGCUUUGAGACUUGCUGAGCCUUUGCAUGCCUUUGAUUCUUCAAGGAUUGGGAUUCUGCUCGCCUUCUCGUGGUCGAGCAGAUCCUGGCACGCUUGGCUUCUGUCUCGCCAUAAAACAGGCUUUGAGACUUGCCGAGCCUUUGCAUGCCUUUGAUUCGUCAAGGAUUGGGAUUCUGCUUGCCUUCUCGUGGUCGAGCAGAUCCUGGCACGCUUGGCUUCUGUCUCGCCAUAAAACAGGCUUUGAGACUUGCUGAGCCUUUGCAUGCCUUUGAUUGUUCAAGGAUUGGGAUUCGGCUCUCCUUCUCGUGGUCGAGCAGAUCCUGGCACGCUUGGCUUCUUUCUCGCCAUAAAACAAGCUUUGAGACUUGCCGAGCCUUUGCAUGCCUUUGAUUCUUCAAGGAUUGAGAUUCUGCUCGCCUUCUCGUGGUCGAGCAGAUCCUGGCACGCUUGGCUUCUGUCUCGCCAUAAAACAGGCUUUGAGACUUGCUGAGCCUUUGCAUGCCUUUGAUUGUUCAAGGAUUGGGAUUCGGCUCGCCUUCUCGUGGUGGAGCAGAUCCUGGCACGCUUGGCUUCUGUCUCGUCAUAACACAAGCUUUGAGACUUGAUGAGCCUUUGCAUGCCUUUGAUAAUUUCUUGAAUGCUUUGGAGUCUGCUCGCCUUCUCGUGGUCGAGCAUAUCCUGGCACGCUUGGCUUCUGUCUCGCCAUAAAACAGGCUUUGAGACUUGCUGAGCCUUUGCAUGCCUUCAAUUCUUCAAGGAUUGGGAUUCUGCUCGCCUUCUCGUGGUCGAGCAGAUCCUGGCACGCUUGGCUUCUGUCUCACCAUAAAACAGGCUUUGAGACUUGCUGAGCCUUUGCAUGCCUUUGAUUCUUCAAAGAUUGGGAUUCUGCUCGCCUUCUCGUGGUCGAGCAGAUCCUGGCACGCUUGGCUUCUUUCUCGCCAUAAAACAGGCUUUGAGACUUGCCGAGCCUUUGCAUGCCUUUGAUUCUUCAAGGAUUGGGAUUCUGCUCGCCUUCUCGUGGUCGAGCAGAUCCUGGCACGCUUGGCUUCUGUCUCGCCAUAAAAUAGGCUUUGAGACUUGCUGAGCCUUUGCAUGCCUUUGAUUGUUCAAGGAUUGGGAUUCUGCUCGCCUUCUCGUGGUCGAGCAGAUCCUGGCACGCUUGGCUUCUGUCUCGCCAUAAAAUAGGCUUUGAGACUUGCUGAGCCUUUGCAUGCCUUUGAUUGUUCAAGGAUUGUGAUUCGGCUUGCCUUCUCGUGGUCGAGCAGAUCCUGGCACGCUUGGCUUCUGUCUCACCAUAAAACAGGCUUUGAGACUUGCUGAGCCUUUGCAUGCCUUUGAUUCUUCAAAGAUUGGGAUUUUGCUCGCCUUCUCGUGGUCGAGCAGAUCCUGGCACGCUUGGCUUCUGUCUCGCCAUAAAACAGGCUUUGAGACUUGCCGAGCCUUUGCAUGCCUUUGAUUCUUCAAGGAUUGGGAUUCUGCUCGCCUUCUCGUGGUCGAGCAGAUCCUGGCACGCUUGGCUUCUGUCUCGCCAUAAAAUAGGCUUUGAGACUUGCUGAGCCUUUGCAUGCCUUUGAUUGUUCAAGGAUUGUGAUUCGGCUUGCCUUCUCGUGGUCAAGCAGAUCCUGGCACGCUUGGCUUCUGUCUCGCCAUAAAACAGGCUUUGAGACUUGCUGAGCCUUUGCAUGCCUUCAAUUCUUCAAGGAUUGGGAUUCUGCUCGCCUUCUCGUGGUCGAGCAGAUCCUGGCACGCUUGGCUUCUGUCUCACCAUAAAACAGGCUUUGAGACUUGCUGAGCCUUUGCAUGCCUUUGAUUCUUCAAAGAUUGGGAUUCUGCUCGCCUUCUCGUGGUCGAGCAGAUCCUGGCACGCUUGGCUUCUGUCUCGCCAUAAAACAGGCUUUGAGACUUGCCGAGCCUUUGCAUGCCUUUGAUUCUUCAAGGAUUGGGAUUCUGCUCGCCUUCUCGUGGUCGAGCAGAUCCUGGCACGCUUGGCUUCUGUCUCGCCAUAAAACAGGCUUUGAGACUUGCCGAGCCUUUGCAUGCCUUUGAUUCUUCAAAGAUUGGGAUUCUGCUUGCCUUCUCGUGGUCGAGCAGAUCCUGGCACGCUUGGCUUCUGUCUCGCCAUAAAACAGGCUUUGAGACUUGCCGAGCCUUUGCAUGCCUUUGAUUCUUCAAGGAUUGGGAUUCUGCUCGCCUUCUCGUGGUCGAGCAGAUCCUGGCACGCUUGGCUUCUGUCUCGCCAUAAAAAUAGGCUUUGAGACUUGCUGAGCCUUUGCAUGCCUUUGAUUGUUCAAGGAUUGUGAUUCGGCUUGCCUUCUCGUGGUCAAGCAGAUCCUGGCACGCUUGGCUUCUGUCUCACCAUAAAACAGGCUUUGAGACUUGCUGAGCCUUUGCAUGCCUUCAAUUCUUCAAGGAUUGGGAUUCUGCUCGCCUUCUCGUGGUCGAGCAGAUCCUGGCACGCUUGGCUUCUGUCUCACCAUAAAACAGGCUUUGAGACUUGCUGAGCCUUUGCAUGCCUUUGAUUCUUCAAAGAUUGGGAUUCUGCUCGCCUUCUCGUGGUCGAGCAGAUCCUGGCACGCUUGGCUUCUGUCUCGCCAUAAAACAGGCUUUGAGACUUGCCGAGCCUUUGCAUGCCUUUGAUUCUUCAAGGAUUGGGAUUCUGCUCGCCUUCUCGUGGUCGAGCAGAUCCUGGCACGCUUGGCUUCUGUCUCGCCAUAAAACAGGCUUUGAGACUUGCUGAGCCUUUGCAUGCCUUUGAUUCUUCAAGGAUUGGGAUUCUGCUCGCCUUCUCGUGGUCGAGCAGAUCCUGGCACGCUUGGCUUCUGUCUCGUCAUAAAACAGGCUUUGAGACUUGCCGAGCCUUUGCAUGCCUUUGAUAAUUUCUUGAAUGCUUUGGAGUCUGCUUGCCUUCUCGUGGUCGAGCAUAUCCUAGCACGCUUGGCUUCUGUCUCGCCAUAAAACAGGCUUUGAGGCUUGCUGAGCCUUUGCAUGCCGUUGAUUGUUCAAGGAUUGGGAUUCGGCUCGCCUUCUCGUGGUGGAGCAGAUCCUGGCACGCUUGGCUUCUGUCUCGCCAUAAAAUAGGCUUUGAGACUUGCUGAGCCUUUGCAUGCCUUUGAUUGUUCAAGGAUUGUGAUUCGGCUUGCCUUCUCGUGGUCAAGCAGAUCCUGGCACGCUUGGCUUCUGUCUCACCAUAAAACAGGCUUUGAGACUUGCUGAGCCUUUGCAUGCCUUCAAUUCUUCAAGGAUUGGGAUUCUGCUCGCCUUCUCGUGGUCGAGCAGAUCCUGGCACGCUUGGCUUCUGUCUCGUCAUAAAACAGGCUUUGAGACUUGAUGAGCCUUUGCAUGCCUUUGAUAAUUUCUUGAAUGCUUUGGAGUCUGCUUGCCUUCUCGUGGUCGAGCAUAUCCUGGCACGCUUGGCUUCUUACUCGCCAUAAAACAGGCUUUGAGACUUGCCGAGCCUUUGCAUGCUUUUGAUUCUUCAAGGAUUGGGAUUCUGCUCGCCUUCUCGUGGUCGAACAGAUCCUAGCAUGCUUGGCUUCUGUCUCGCCAUAAAACAGGCUUUGAGACUUGUUGAGCCUUUGCAUGCCUUUGAUUCUUCAAGGAUUGGGAUUCGGCUCGCCUUCUCGUGGUCGAGCAGAUCCUGGCACGCUUGGCUUCUGUCUCGCCAUAAAACAGGCUUUGAGACUUGCUGAGCCUUUGCAUGCCUUUGAUUCUUCAAGGAUUGGGAUUCUGCUCGCCUUCUCGUGGUCGAGCAGAUCCUGGCACGCUUGGCUUCUGUCUCGCCAUAAAACAGGCUUUGAGACUUGCCGAGCCUUUGCAUGCCUUUGAUUCUUCAAGGAUUGGGAUUCUGCUCGCCUUCUCGUGGUCGAGCAGAUCCUGGCACGCUUGGCUUCUGUCUCGCCAUAAAACAGGCUUUGAGACUUGCUGAGCCUUUGCAUGCCGUUGAUUGUUCAAGGAUUGGGAUUCGGCUCGCCUUCUCGUGGUGGAGCAGAUCCUGGCACGCUUGGCUUCUGUCUCGUCAUAAAACAGGCUUUGAGACUUGAUGAGCCUUUGCAUGCCUUUGAUAAUUUCUUGAAUGCUUUGGAGUCUGCUUGCCUUCUCGUGGUCGAGCAUAUCCUGGCACGCUUGGCUUCUGUCUCGCCAUAAAACAGGCUUUGAGACUUGCCGAGCCUUUGCAUGCCUUUGAUUCUUCAAGGAUUGGGAUUCUGCUCGCCUUCUCGUGGUCGAGCAGAUCCUGGCACGCUUGGCUUCUGUCUCGCCAUAAAACAGGCUUUGAGACUUGCUGAGCCUUUGCAUGCCGUUGAUUGUUCAAGGAUUGGGAUUCGGCUCGCCUUCUCGUGGUCGAGCAGAUCCUGGCACGCUUGGCUUCUGUCUCGCCAUAAAACAGGCUUUGAGACUUGCUGAGCCUUUGCAUGCCUUCAAUUCUUCAAGGAUUGGGAUUCUGCUCGCCUUCUCGUGGUCGAGCAGAUCCUGGCACGCUUGGCUUCUGUCUCGCCAUAAAACAGGCUUUGAGACUUGCCGAGCCUUUGCAUGCCUUUGAUUCUUCAAGGAUUGGGAUUCUGCUCGCCUUCUCGUGGUCGAGCAGAUCCUGGCACGCUUGGCUUCUGUCUCGCCAUAAAACAGGCUUUGAGACUUGCCGAGCCUUUGCAUGCCUUUGAUUCGUCAAGGAUUGGGAUUCUGCUUGCCUUCUCGUGGUCGAGCAGAUCCUGGCACGCUUGACUUCUGUCUCGCCAUAAAACAGGCUUUGAGACUUGCUGAGCCUUUGCAUGCCUUUGAUUGUUCAAGGAUUGGGAUUCGGCUCUCCUUCUCGUGGUCGAGCAGAUCCUGGCACGCUUGGCUUCUUUCUCGCCAUAAAACAAGCUUUGAGACUUGCCGAGCCUUUGCAUGCCUUUGAUUCUUCAAGGAUUGAGAUUCUGCUCGCCUUCUCGUGGUCGAGCAGAUCCUGGCACGCUUGGCUUCUGUCUCGCCAUAAAACAGGCUUUGAGACUUGCUGAGCCUUUGCAUGCCUUUGAUUGUUCAAGGAUUGGGAUUCGGCUCGCCUUCUCGUGGUGGAGCUGAUCCUGGCACGCUUGGCUUCUGUCUCGUCAUAAAACAGGCUUUGAGACUUGAUGAGCCUUUGCAUGCCUUUGAUAAUUUCUUGAAUGCUUUGGAGUCUGCUCGCCUUCUCGUGGUCGAGCAUAUCCUGGCACGCUUGGCUUCUGUCUCGCCAUAAAACAGGCUUUGAAACUUGCUGAGCCUUUGCAUGCCUUCAAUUCUUCAAGGAUUGGGAUUCUGCUCGCCUUCUCGUGGUCGAGCAGAUCCUGGCACGCUUGGCUUCUGUCUCACCAUAAAACAGGCUUUGAGACUUGCUGAGCCUUUGCAUGCCUUUGAUUCUUCAAAGAUUGGGAUUCUGCUCGCCUUCUCGUGGUCGAGCAGAUCCUGGCACGCUUGGCUUCUGUCUCGCCAUAAAACAGGCUUUGAGACUUGCCGAGCCUUUGCAUGCCUUUGAUUCUUCAAGGAUUGGGAUUCUGGUCGCCUUCUCGUGGUCGAGCAGAUCCUGGCACGCUUGGCUUCUGUCUCGCCAUAAAAUAGGCUUUGAGACUUGCUGAGCCUUUGCAUGCCUUUGAUUGUUCAAGGAUUGUGAUUCGGCUUGCCUUCUCGUGGUCAAGCAGAUCCUGGCACGCUUGGCUUCUGUCUCGCCAUAAAACAGGCUUUGAGACUUGAUGAGCCUUUGCAUGCCUUAGGAAAUUUUCACAGUUUCAAGCGAAUGAAAUUCCUCAUUGAUUCAUUUAUUGCUGAGUUCGGCUUACAUGAGGUUGGUUUGAAAUAAGAAAUCAAAAAUAGAAAACAACGGACACGAACAGAAAAAAAAAAAACUUUAAAACAUGAAUAAGUCUUACUAGAAAUAUUUCCUGAGGUGUGCCGCGCUCCAUGGACGUUUCACCUCGUGGCCCUCCGUGCGAACCAACUUGUAGACUCCGGGUCCAACUAGCUGCCUUUCCCGGCUUCCACUCGGGUACCAAGGUAUGUUAUCUGCAUUGCUUCCCUUGCUGCCGAGGAGUAACAAGUUCGUGCGAUUCUCUGGUCUCCUCGUACCACUCCAACUACCCCAUUCACCCGGUACUUGAGAGCCAGAUAAUGGUUGGACAGCACCGCUUUGCUCAUCCUCAGAAAUGGCCGACCUAGGAUCAUCUGAUAAGGACCUUCCUCAUCCACUACCACAAAGUCCAGUAUCAUUGUCCUUUCUGUCGGGGAGCUCCCAAUCGUGAUAGGCAGCUCGACCACGCCCAGAGGGACCAGCUUUCCUCUUCCAAACCCCUUCAAGGAGGUAUUGGUGUAUUCCAACUUCCGGUCUACUAUUCCCAUCUCCUCCAAGGUUGACUUAAAUAAUACAUCAACUGAACUCCCUGUAUCAACCAGUAUCCGGUCACACUUCUUGCUAGCGACAGUAGCCUUGAUGACUAAAGCAUCCUCGUGGGGGUAUAGAAUUCCUUCCUCAUCUUCAUCCGUCCACAUGAUUGGCACUUGCCUGACCCUUGCUCGUUUGGCUGCUGGGGUGUUGAAGAAUACCUCUUUACUAGUCAUGGCGUAUCUAGCAUAGUUCUUCCUAGAUCUGUUGGAAUCUCCAGCCAAUGUCGGGCCCCCAGCAAUCACCCUUACUGUAGGCUGCUCGUGCCUCAAAUUUCUGCCACUCUGCUCCCCUUCACAUGUCGAGGCCACCAUCGGGAAAGUCCCAUCUACAAACUCGUCCAGGUACCGAUUUCUCACCAAAUCUUCAACCUGGGUCUUGAGAUCUUUGCAUUCUGCAGUGGUAUGGCCAUGAGUGCCAUAGAACUUACAAUGGCGUCCCCUAUCCCUCCUGCUGGGUAGCUUUGUUAUUAGGGCAGGGAGGUACAGCAAUCCUCGGUCCUUUAUGGCCUCGUAUACUUUGUCCAGGGACAUCUUCAAGGAGGUGUAUCGCCCAUACUCCUGGUUUUGGUCAAUCAGGUGCACAGCCCUUUCUCUAUUUGCUCCGUUUUGAGUUGGAGGCGAUGGCAGCAUUUCUGGUCUGCUCCCUCUACUACUGUGGGAGUGUUGAUGAAGACCACCAUAUGCCGAAUCAUGCCUUCUCCAAGGCUCCCUAGCUGGGGAACGAGGAGGGUGCGCCCUGCUGCGCUGAUACUGUGGUGGCCUCUGAUGAGGCUGGUGAGCUGUUAUCCGACCUCCUGUUCCACUACCUGAGGCCUGGAGGUCCCUCCUCCUGAUCGGCCCAUUUCCCGGUAAUGCCCUCUUCUCUUUCUUUUCCAGCCCCUCCAGCUGGUCUGUCUUAAUCCGACCUGCCUUUUCUUCCUCGAUCUCUAUGUCUCUUUUAGCCUGCUCGUAUGCGGCUGCAUACGUCUGAAUAGCUGGGCUUCUCAAGUUGUACCACAGCCUUCCUAUCUUCACUCCCUCUUUCAAUCCCCUUAGUGCCUGAGGAUGGUCGAAGGCUCCCAAAUCGAGGACAGCACGAUGAAACCUCUUGAUGAAUUCCCGAAGGGUUUCUUGCUCCCCUUGCUUCAUGCUUUUCAGCUCCAUCAUGUCAUCUUCUGGUGCCAUUGCCCCACGAAACUGCUCUGCAAACUCCUGGCACAUCUGCUCGAAGGUUUUAAUGCUCCCCCGAGGAAGUUUCUUGUACCACUCUCGUGCACGUCCCUCAAGAGAUAGUGGGAACACCCUGCACCUUUGGGAUUGAGAUAAUCCUUGUACCCCAGUUAUGUCGUUGAAACGCUCUAUGUGCACCAGCGGAUCCGUUCGUCCCGAAUACCUAAGGUCUGGGAGGCGGAAAUCUCUCGGAAUAACUGCCCUCAUGAUCUCUGCUGCGAGCGGUGAUUCUCCGUCCAGCAUUAUCCUCCAACCAGGAGCUCUGCUCCUUCCUUGCAUGUCGUCAAUUAUCUGCGCUAGUCUGCGCACUUCCUCCUCCAGCUGCACUGCGCGACUAGGGUCACGUGCUGCAGCUUGAUCCCGCUCUUGCUCUACAUCAAGCAAGUGUUGCCUCAACUCUGUUUCCUCUGCAUUUGCCACCCUGUCCACUUUAAAUCUGGUGUGGUUAAUGAACAUUUUGAGGUCACAAAAUUUGCACUACUGGAAACAAUAAAGGAAGCAGUACCAGAGAUAUGGUCACCAGAAAUGAAGAGUGCCUGGUCCGAAGCUUGCGAUCAAUUGGUUGCAGCCAUUAAGUUAGAGAUGAAGCCCUCCUCUUAGAGUUUCCUGAACAAAUUUCUCUUCCCUUGUAAUAUUAAAGAAUUUCAACAAGAUCAUUGUUUAUUUGUUAAUCUUUGCAUUGGUACCCAUGUGUGUUUCUUAUGCCUUUUUGUAUCAAUCCUUGUGUUCAACUCUUAAAUCUUAAUAAUAAAAGUUUGUUCCUAAUAUUUGCAUUUAAAUAUUAACAUGUGUGUUAGAUGAUUUGCCUCUUUGAUUCUGUUGCUUCAUUCCCGUGCAUCUAUCCAAUUAUACUGAUUAGUCCUAAACUGGUUUCAAUGCUCUUAACAAGGAAAAGCUUCAAAAUAAGCUCUUCUUUUUUAGUUGUAAGUGUGUUCUCUUCUGUUGAGUUAUUAAUGGAUCAGUGAAAAGGGCUAACAAUUCUUUUGGAAUGUGUUUGCACUAUGUAUAACAACAAUAAAUGAACUCAAAAGAUUAACGUAUAAUGAAGUUAACUUUCUAUAAUGAAGUUUGUUGUGUUUAAUUUAUAUCAUAUUUGUUCUUUUCUAUUGAUAGUGAUCCAGUUGAAAGAAAAGCAGGGGAAGAAAAAAUGGACAACAUCCAAGAAGCAUCUCAUGCCUUUAAGCCGGCAAAAAUUUCGUGCUUCUAAUGUUUUCUUGCUGCUGAAUUCUUGAAUGUAGAAGUUCAACAGUCAAUUCUCACGAACCAGUUGGCGUUUUGCAGCUUGGAAGCUCUAUACUUGAGGUUUUGCAGUUUGCAAUUUGCAGUCUGCAGAUUGUAAGUUUUGAGGGGAGUGUUAUGGUUCACGCUUGCGCAAAUAGAAGGAUAAAGAGAAUGCUCACGUGCUGCACAGGUGGAAUUAAAAGGAAAGCAAUCAAAACCAAAAAGCAAUCAAAGCAAAAGAAAAGUAAUCAAAGCAAAAAGAAAGCAAUCAAAGCAAAAUGCACCGUUUUUACCAAUAUUCCGGGGGCGGAUUCAGGGUUUAAUUCGGGGUAAAUAGCUUUUUCCCUAUUAUAAACACCUGAAGUCAAAGUUAAUGUUUUAAUUUCUUUAGUUUGGUAAAGACUGCUUAAGCUGACUUGAAAAGCUCAAAUAUAAGUUCUAUAUUAACAAAUGCCCGCAGCUUGUGAAGACAUAGAUAAUUGAAGCCGAUGAGGCAUAUUUAACAGAUGAUAAUCAAAACUAAUGUGAUUAAAAUUAUAAUUCAAUAAUUAAGCACAUAAAACAACAAGUAACUAGUUGUAUAUAUACCAAACAACAUUUUGAAGUUAAGGCGUAAAACAGCAACAUAGAACAAAUUAAUUAAAUAUACCAGCACCAAUACUCUUAUUAUUAUCCACAUAGAAAAGAACAAUAUAUCAAACAAGGAAAAUGAAAUAUUGUUAAUAACUCAAAAACCACUAGUGUCAAGGACUAGACUAAUAAGUGAAACCCAUAAUUGGAGGAUAAUUAUGUGCACAUGAGUUCGCUUAGCAAAAGUCCGCCUAGGCGUGGAGUGCGCUUAAAAGCGGGAUGCACUUAGAAGUGAGAUGCGCUUAGCAAAUCAUCCAAGCCCAACCCAAGAUCUAGAACUCUCUGUAAAUUAUUAAUAAGCUAAAGUUUUUAUGUUUCUCCAUGUAGGUCCCUAGGAUAUUUAUGGAAGUUGCUAGGAAGUUUCCUCCCCUAGAACUCUAAUACCUAUAAAUAGGGGUGGGCCGCCUCAUUUGCCCACCAAUCACACCACACACACAAACACUCCAGCACACACACACAAGCUCUCUAGCUUUUGCAAAAAACUCUCUUGUAUAUUCUCUCUUUGUGAGUAAUAAAAUCAUAUUCAGCCAUAUUGCUCUACAUAAAAUCAUAUUCGGCCAUAUUGCUCUACUUCUCUCUAGCAUUUUCCGCAAGUGUUCUUGCUUUGCUAGUUUGAGGAGUGGUCUAGGCUUGCUUAGCAACUUGUUUGCUACAAGGACAUCUUGGUCACAAAACAUGGACAUGCAAGGAAAAAAAAAUAUUGAUACGUUCUAAAAAUAAUACGCAUUCUUCUACAGUGAACCAAAAAAUUUAGGCUAAUGGUAGCAAGUGAAGGAAUUGUGAUUUCACGUGCAUUUUGUUGACAUGAAGGUAAAGAACUUUUUUAUAGUUUAUAUUGUUUAAUAUAACAUUUGAAUUGCAAAAUAGGGGUACAAAAUUGAUACACGAAGUGAGAAAACUAAGCUAAUUAUGAUAAAUAUUGAAUUAAAAGAUUUAGGUUUAAUCAUAAAGACAUAAGUGGCCCACAAAGUCAUGAAUUGAUAUCAUCCACGAUGCAAGUUCAAAAAACUGCAUAAUAAGUUGCCCCAAGCUAAACUAUUAAUCUAGUAACUAUUCUAGUCGAUGUGGGAUAAUUUUCCUAUCACCAUCUAUCACGUGCAGGCCGAAUUUGUUGCUUGGUCCUUACAUGUGGUAAGGUAAUAUGAAUCCACUUGCGCAUGAAUUUGGCUCCGAUAUUAUAUAGAAGCCUAUGACACAAAAUUAUACUUAAAGGUUAUUUCAAGAUUUGAGGGUUGCCUCAAGCUAAUAUUAUUAUUAGCCUGGUAACCCUUUUUUUUUUUGUUGAUAUGUGAUAUUUUCCCUAUAACUUUUAUUAAUCUUUAUGCUUAUGUUUUGUCAUUUAUCCCAAAAUAUAACAAUAACAAAAGUUCCAAAAUUUCCUUCAAGAGAUAUAUUUGAGACAAGUAAUUUGUGCAAUAACUUUGUGAAUUGAUGAGCAAAUUCAGAGAAAAGAAUAUAUGUGCCAAACGUAACGUUUAUUAUUGUGUUUAUUUGUAGAGCUAUUUAAAGCCCAAAAAAAAAAAAAAAGCACCGGUCCGCUAUUAUUUCAAAUAAGUUCAAGCCCUAUGUCAUUAUUGGUACAAAAAUGUAUUAGAAUGGUUAAAAACUAUUUUUAUUUAACUUAUAAACUUAGGAAAUUAUCAACUGUUCACCCUUAAAUUGCAUUGUUAUAAAAAAUAUUACAACAUUUUCAGGUUGUAUCAUUCAUCUACCAUAAAUUUACAAUUUGCAUCAUUUAUCCACCAAAUCAUUAACUUCGUUAAAAAGUGAUAGACGUCACAAGGGUAAUUUAGACAUUUAACACACAAAAAAAAUAAAAGAGAAAUUAUCUAAGCUUACCAUGUUAUCAAAAUUGCUACAAAAUUUUAAAUUUAUUCAAUUUUCCAAUCUAAGUUUAUGACCUCCAAGAUGUUAAUUGCAGUUUGUAAUUAAUGACUUCAUAAGGAUAAUUUAGACACUCAAUAUGCAAAAUAAAAAAUAAAAUAAUGGCUUAAAACAUUAAAACAAAAAACUACUUUUUAUAAUUGAUAUUCAAUUAAAUACACAUAAACUCUAUUUUUUUCUUAAUUAAAAAAAUUCUAAUUUAUUUUCUCAAUUUAUCAUCAUAAAUUUACAUUAAUAAACUAAAUCCACAAAUUACCCUAAACCCUAAUUCAUAAAUGCCCAAUCAAUCUAAUAGUUUAAUUCGAUUUCAUAAUUAAAAAAGCUAAAUUUAUUAUAUUAGUUGUGGUGCAAAGUCAAAAAUGCCCUUAAAUUCAAGGUAAAAUAACAUUUUAUGUAAAUUCUAUAAAUUAUUCUAACAAUGUUAACAUUUUGGUGGACGGUUAAUAUAAGUUACAAACUUAAAAUAGAAAAUCAAAUAAAUUCAAAAUUUCAAACUAUUUAGGGCAAAUUUAGGAUAUAUGGUUAAUAAUUUUCCCAUGUCUUUUUACAUUGGUUGAUAUAAGUUACAAACUUAAAAUAGAAAAUCAAAUAAAUUUAUAUUUUCAAACUAUUUAGGACAAACUUAGGGUAUAUGGUUAAUAAUUUUUCUUUAUCUUUUUACGUUAAAUUGAGUUUCAAAGGUAAAAUGAUCAAUUUAUUAUAAUUCUAUUCAUUUUUUAGUGGAAGCAAAUGAUAUAAUGGACGAGUGAUAUAAAUUGUAAAAUUCUAUUCAUUUAAAGUGCAUGAAUGAUACAACUUUAAAGUAUUGUAGUAAUUUUAAUAAUAGAACAAUUUAAGGGUGGAUUGGCAAUAAUUUAAACUUUAAUGAAGCAACUAAAAAAAUUUGUUAACAAAGAAAAAUAAUUGAAUGCUUGGUGAAACCAAAAGUAAUUGAAAAGCUUUAAGAAAAAUAAAGGAAAUUAAAUAUCUUUAUAAAAACAUAAUUGAGUAAAAUCAUUUUACAAAAUGCUCUUUCAAAUGCACAUUCCACAAGCCAGGGAGAACGGGUGGCUAACAAAAAUGUCACUUUUUAUGAGUUUAUAAAAUCUCACUUUCGCUAAAUUAAAAAAUAACCAAUACUAAUGACACAAAAAAUAAAAAUUAUUGCUGUCACGACAUUACACACUUUCUUCGCAGUUUAGAAAGGUGGAACAUUUUGAAGUUCCUCAAUACAAAAUGCGUGCUACUACUAAAUUGGCCCAAUUAAUGCCCAUCGAAAAGGCCAUCAAUUUAGCCGCCAAUUUUGUCAAAAUUUCAACAAUUGAAGAAAUAAUGAGCACAAAUGGAAAAAAAAAAUCAUAAAGCUACCAAAAGGAACCACAAAAUCAUCAAUAUUAUCGUUUAAUAUGGGGAACGGCCUGCGCAUCCAAAUUGUGCGAACUGAACACGUUGAAAUGUGUUUUUUUUUUUGGAUUUUUGGAAUUUUUUAAAAUCAUUUAUGUUCGCUGCCAUCUUUUUCUUCGCUGGCGUCUUCAUUGGCAUCCCUCUCUUGGCUGGCAUCUGCCUCGUCUGCAGUUUGCUGUGCCUAUAUAUCCAACCAAUAAAUUGGGCAUUAAAUACGAAUGAUGAAUAAAAUGAUUAAAAACAAACAGAGAAAAUUAUAAUAUAACACAUAUAUAUUGAAAGAGAAAUUUUGAUUUUAGGAUAGAUCAAUUAGCUAUCACAAACGAAAACAUGUACCAACUAUGUAUAGAGUCAAUUAACUAAAGUUCUCAAGAGUUGACCUGUGCUCCUGAAUCCUUGGAAUCAUCUAUCUCCUUCUGAAUUUCCACGAAGCCUGGGACAAUCUUGAACAACAACGUUAAAGGAUGGAAUUGAGAUCUGAUAACCCGCAGGCCAAAUGUUGGUGAGGUUUGGUAAGUUUAUCAGUUCCACCCGAAGUUCAUUCAUAACAAUUUCAUUGUAAUCCGUGACGUCUGCUCCAUCUUUAUGCCAGAAUACUUCUUCUAAUUCAUCAUUAGCUGCUAUGUUUAGGUUCUUCAGUUUUUGAAGACUUGGAGCUACGCUGAUAUGAAAUAGAUGCUUUAGUUUGGGGCAAUAAGCGACAGUGAUCUCUGUGAGUUUUGGGAAACAUACAGGUUGGAGAUGAUCCUCAUCCUCAUCCUCAUCAAUGAUUUGCUCUAAUUCCCAGCAAUUGCGAAUGUAUAACUCCUUCAAACAUGGGAAUAGUUUGUUUUCUGGUCCCUCAGCGAUAAUAGCUUCCAAUUGAAAUACCACCUGUACUCCAAUUUCCCUAAUAUGCAAUUCUUCCAAAUUUUUUAAUCCGUGCUUCAACAGUGCUGGAAUCGUGUCACUCAAAUGGGAACAAUUGUCCACAUCUAGAGUAUUUAAGUUCUGAGACAAAUAAAUAAAUAACUUGAUGCAAUUAAAAUUUAUUAGCAGCUAGGAUUAUCACAUGAUAAGUGAUGAACACCGCAAAAAUAUCAUAAUACAUAUGUAAACUAAUAAAAUAAUUAAAAAGUAAUGGAUUUAAAAAAAAUGAAAUUAGUUAAAAGAGAUCAUGUGAAGUGAUAUAAAUGUGACAGUAGAUUGUUUUAGAAAAAAAUAUUAUUCUAUUAAUUUAUAUGGCUUGAUAAACUAUUUAAUUGAAUUUGAAUAAUAUUAUAUACACUUCUGAAGUAUUUGCAUCAAUUCUUUCUAAACCAAAAUGAGAUAUGACUUUCAUUUGAAGAAUGGUUUUAGGCCCUAUAAUAAAGAAAUUUUCCUAAGAUAUCUGAGCAUUAUUAUUAUCAUUACCACAUCCACCACCACCAUCAUCAUCUCCAUAGGAUCAAAUAAUUGUCAAAAGUCAUGGCUGGCAUCGGCCAUCUAGAUGGCCAGUGCCAUGCGAUUCAACACGGCCCACCAUUAUUGGUGGUGCCGCGUUGACUUAUUCUAUAAAAAAAAAAAAGGAGCCAAAAUUUUGGCUAUAUAAAGAGGGCUUCCCACCCUCAUUUUGCAUUCCAUUACGAGAGAGCAAUUUAGUAGUUGAGAGAGAGUUUAGAGAGCUUGAAAUUAUAAAGCUUUUGUUAUAGUGAUUUAGAGAGUUUGGGUGUAUUGAGAUUUUUGGGAAGUGAGCUAAAAUACUACAAUACUUGUAACUCCUUUUCACUAGUAAAAUAUUUCCUUCUGUUUUUGCCCGUGGACGUAGGCUAAAAGCCGAACCACAUAAAUUCUGGUGUCCUCUAUUAUGCUUGUUCUUUAUUUUCUUCCAAUUUCACUUUAGCUGCUUGUCUGCUUCACCCACCAAUUUCCUAACAGUGGUAUCAGAGCUAUUGGUUGUAUUUUUUUGAGUCGGGUACUGUUCACGUAAGGGGUACUAUUCACGUAUACGGUACUAUUCACGUAUACAGUACUAUUCACGUAUACGGUACUAUUCAUGUAUACAGUACUAUUCACGUGAAACGGUGGGAGCGAUCCAAGAAUUUUACGGUGCAAAGCAGGGAAUAGUGGUGUGAGUAAAACAACUGUGUGGUUUUGUACAUGUCUAGGAAAGUUAUGUCACAAAGGCGAUAAGAGCUUAAGGAGUCUGGGUUUUAAGUGGGACCAUUGUGACCCCUCCAGUCUUUCCUGGGAACUUUCCUGGUGUGCAUUCUCACACAUACUUACAACUAUUCAAGGUGGUACACUAGUUUGUGUGCGGUAUUUAUCAACAAAAUGGCGGCAAAGUAUGAAAUUGAGAAAUUUAACAGAAACAAUUUUUCGUUGUGGAAAAUGAAGAUGAAAGCUGUAUUGAGGAAAAAUAAUUGCUUGGCAGGAAUUGGAGAAAGGCCCAUGGAGAUAACUGAUGACAAGUGGAAUGAGAUAGAUGGCAACGCCAUUUCUGAUCUACACUUGGCACUUGCAGAUGGAGUAUUAUCCAGUGUGGCAGAGAAAAAUACAGCGAAGGAAAUAUGGGAUACUCUUACAAAAUUGUACGAGGCCAAGUCACUACACAACAAAAUCUUCUUGAAGAGGAAACUUUAUACUCUUCGAAUGACGGAAUCUACAAUGGUGACCGACCACAUCAACACCUUGAAGACUCUAUUUUCACAACUCACAACGUUGGGUCAUAAUAUAGAGGAGAAUGAACGAGCAGAGCUUCUACUUCAAAGUCUAUCAGAUUCGUAUGAUCAACUCAUCAUCAACCUAACGAAUAAUAAUCCAGUGGACAAUCUAGUUUUCGACGAUGUUGCAGUCUCCGUAUUAAAUAAGGAGAGUAGGCGGAAAAAUAAAGAAAACAGACAAGCAAGUUCACAGCAAGCGGAGGCGCUAUCGGUGACGAGAGGGAGAUCAACAGAACGUGGCCCCAGUGAGAGCCACAAUCAUGGUAGAUCAAAAUCCAAAAGUAAGAAGAAUAUUAAAUGCUACAACUGUGGCAAGAAAGGGCACAUCAAGAAAAAGUGUUGGAGUAACCAGAAGAGAAGAGAGGGCAAAGAACCUGAGUAAUCAAAUGCUCAGGGUUGUGUAGCAAGUACCUCGGAUGAUGGCGAAAUUCUCUACAGUGAGGCAACAACUGUUUCAGAAGGCAGAAAACGACUAUUUGAUGUCUAGCUUAUAGACUCAGGAGCUACCUGGCAUAUGACCUCUCGGAGAGAAUGGUUCCACACAUAUGAACUUAUCUAAGGAGGAUCUGUAUAUAUGGGUAAUGAUCAUGCCUUGGAGAUCGCUGGUAUUGGUACUAUCAAAAUAAAAAUGUUUGAUGGUACAAUUCGCACAAUUGGGAAGGUACGACAUGUCAACGGCCUGAAGAAAAAUCUAUUGUCUUUGGGACAAAUGGAUAGUUAUGGGUAUAAAACUCAUGUGGAGAAUGUAAUUAUGAAGAUCGUUAAAGGAGCGCUUGUAUUAAUGAAGGCAUAAAAGAUCAGUGCUAAUCUAUUCAUGCUUAAAGGAGAAACACUACAGGAGGCUGAUGCGUGUGUCGCAUUUAAUGGAGAAGAAUCAACGAUGAUGUGGCAUCUCAAACUUGGCCACAUGUCAGAACAAGGUUUGAAGAUUCUCUCUGAGCGAAAAUUGCUUCUGGGGCUCAAAUCGGUAAGUUUACCAUUUUGCGAUCAUUGUGUUACAAGUAAGCAGUAUAGAUUAAAAUUUAGUAGAUCUAUUGCUAGAAGUAAAUGCAUUCUAGACUUGAUUCAUUUUGAUGUUUGGGAAUCACCGGAUAUAUCCAUGGGAGGUGCAAAGUACAUGGUGACUUUCAUUGAUGAUUAUUCCAGAAAAUGUUGGGUGUAUCCAAUUAAGAAAAAGUCAGAUGUAUUUCCAGUGUUUAAAGAAUACAAAGCGCGGGUGGAACUUGAAUCUGGUAAAAAGAUCAAGUGCUUGAGGACAGAUAAUGGUGGAGAGUAUACAGACGGCGAGUUUCUUGCUUUCUGUAAGCAAGAAGGUAUUCAGAGACAGUUCACGCUAGCAUACACUCCUCAACAAAACGGAGUGGCGAAGCGGAUGAACAGAACUCUUACAGAAAAAAUAAAAGCUAUGUUGAGGACUGCUGGUCUACCCAAUUUAUUCUGGGCAGAAGCAGCCAAAACUGCUUGUUAUAUAGUAAAUCGGUCGCCAUCUACAGUUAUUGGGCUGAAGACAGCGAUGGAGAUGUGGACUGGAAAGCCAGCUGAUUAUUCAUACCUACAUGCAUUUUGAUGUCCUGUGUAUGUGAUGUACAAUGCCCAAGAAAGAAAAAAACUGGAUCCAAAAUCUAGAAAAUGUAUCUUCUUGGGAUAUGCUGAUGGAGUAAAGGGGUAUCGUCUGUGGGACCCCACUGCCCACAAGAUCGUCAUCAGCAGAGAUGUUAUAUUUAUAGAAGAUCAACUGCAAAGGAAAGAUGAGGAUGAUAGCACUAUAAAAGAAAAGUCAGAGACUGUACCGGUAUAUGUGAAAAAUAAUCCAGAAGAUUCAUAUUCUUCUGAAGCAGCACCAGAGCACGAGGAACAAGAACCAGUCGAGUCCGAGGCUCAAGAAGUUCGUCGAUCAACUCGUGAGAGACGACCGCCAACGUGGCACUCGGAGUAUGUUACAGAGAUCAACGUUGCAUACUGUCUUCUAACAGAGAAUGGAGAGCCUUCAACUUUCCAUGAAGCUUUAAACAACUCAGAUGUUACUUUGUGGAUGACAGCAAUGCAGGAAGAAAUUGAGGCUCUACACAAGAACAAGACAUGGGAACUUGUACCACUACCACGUGGAAGAAAAGCCAUUGGAAACAAAUGGGUCUACAAGAUCAAACGUGAUGGCAAUGACCAAGUGAAGCGGUAUCGUGCGAGAUUGGUGGUGAAAGGAUAUGCUCAGAAAAAAAGUAUUGACUUCAACGAGAUAUUUUUACUGGUGGUUCGACUCAUAACAGUCAGAGUAGUCUUGGUGAUGUGUGCUACAUUUGACUUACAUCUUGACCAGUUAGAUGUGAAAACUGCAUUUCUUCAUGGAGAACUUGAAGAAGAAAUAUAUAUGCUCCAACCAGAAGGUUUUGCAGAAACAGGAAAGGAGAACUUGGUUUGCAGGUUGAACAAAUCUCCAUACGGUCUUAAACAGGUGCCGAGGUGUUGGUAUAAGAGAUUUGAUUCCUUCAUUGUGAGUCUUGGAUACAAUAGACUCAGUUCAGACUAUUGUGCAUAUUACAAGAGGUUUGAAGACAAUGAUUUCAUUAUUUUACUGUUGUAUGUGGAUGACAUGUUGGUAGCAGGCCCCAACAAAAAUCAAAUCCAAGAAUUGAAGGCACAGUUGGCUAGGGAGUUUGAAAUGAAGGACUUGGGACCAGCAAACAAGAUUUUAGGGAUGCAAAUUCACCGAGACAGAAAUAACAGGAAGAUUUGGCUUUCGCAGGAGAAUUACUUGAAGAAAAUAUUGCGGCGCUUCAACAUGCAAGAUUGUAAGUCAAUUUCUACCCUACUUCCUGUUAAUUUCAAACUAUCCUCAAGUAUGUGUCCUAGCAAUGAAGCAGAGAGGAAGGAGAUGUCUCGAGUAUCGUAUGCAUCAGCAGUGGGAAGUUUGAUGUUCGCUAUGAUAUGUACAAGACCAGACAUUGCACAAGCAGUGGGAGCAGUCAGUCGAUACAUGGCGAAUCCUAGUGGAGAGCAUUGGAUAGCUGUGAAGAGGAUUAUGAGAUACAUCAGAGGAACCAUCAGAUGUUGCAUUAUGUUAUGGAGGAUCAGAGUUUACUGUCAGGGGCUAUGUGGAUUCAGAUUUUGCAGGAGACCUUGAUAAAAUGAAAUCUACUACUGGUUAUGUGUUUACACUUGUGGGAGCAGCUGUAAGCUGUGUUUCAAAACUGCAGACCGUUGUAGUUUUAUCUACGACAGAAGCAGAAUACAUGGAAGCUACACAAGCUUGCAAGGAAGCUAUUUGGAUACAAAGGUUAUUGGAGGAGCUCGGGCACAAACAACAGAAAAUUCCUGUGUUUUGUGACAGUCAGAAUGCCUUGCACAUUGCAAGGAAUCCAGCCUUUCAUUCCAGGACAAAGCACAUAGGAGUUCAGUAUCACUUCGUUCGUGAAGUAAUGGAAGAUGGAAGUGUGGAUUUGCAGAAAAUCCAUACCAAAGAGAACCUAGCAGAUGUUUUGACCAAGCCGAUAAAUACUGAUAAGUUUGUUUGGAGUAGAUCUUCUUGUGGCCUAGCAGCAACAUAAGCAACAUGACUACGACGAAGCAGAAAGGAUAAUGUGGAGAUUGAUUAAUUCUCAAUCUAAUCUCCAAGUGGGAGAAUGUCAAAAGUCAUGGCUGGCACCGGCCAUCUAGAUGGCCAGUGCCAUGCCAUUCAACACGGCCCACCAUUAUUGGUGGUGCCGUGUUAACUUAUUCUAUUAAAAAAAAAAAGGAGCCAAAAUUUUGGCUAUAUAAAGAGGGCUUCCCACCCUCAUUUUGCAUUCCAUUAAGAGAGCAAUUUAGUAGUUGAGAGAGAGUUUAGAGAGCUUGAAAUUAUAAAGCUUUUGUUAUAGUGAUUUAGAGAGUUUGAGUGUAUUGGGAUUUUUGGGAAGUGAGCUAAAAUACUUGAUGGGUGUCGAAGCCAACAAAAAUAAAUUCCUACUCUAAAUAAAUUGUGUAUAGUGAUUGAGCAGGGUCGUGUCCACAGAGAUCGGUAAUUAUUUAAAUCCUUUUGAAACGUAAAACGUAAAAUGGGGGAAUUGUAGACAAUAAUAAAAAUCAAAUUAAAUAACAAGAAUGCAAAUUAAAGUUGUAAUUCAAAUUGGAGAAAGCUCUGGUUGAAGGAAUUAACUAAGCUUGAUUCGACUACUGAUCAUUGAUUCAAAUAUAGAUUAUUAUUACUCAUGAAUAGACCGGUUAUAGCUAUUGAGACCCUCUAAUAGCCAAUCUCUCCUUAACUAGUCGAUAACCAAGGUACGACCGUUAGUUAUUUCCCUAAUCAAUAGACAACCCUAGAUACGAUCAUAUGAUUUAAUCAAUUGACAGCCUGAAAAACCAGAGAGACCCAAAUCCUAAUCAACACAUAUGAUGAUUCAUUUAAAUUAGAUUGUUUAUUCUCACAACACAACUCUCUGCUAUGUUAUUUGUCACAAACAUUAAAUUCUUAAUACGAUGAAUCCUUUAAUUGACAAUAGAUUAAGUUGAUAAUUAAAUAGUGGUCAAUUACCUAAUUAACAAACAUAAUCAUGAAACUAAUUCAGAGAAUAAACAAAUACCCAAAAAGUAAUAAAACAAUUAAAGCAUAAGAAAGAUCUCACAGUAGUGAUGAAUCAAAGCUUCAUUAUCCUUCAACCAGAAAAAUAGGUUUAGUUCUUCAUAGAGAGAAGAGAAUCUAGGGUUUCUUUCUUCUUCUUCAAUCCAAAAAUCCCCCUUUUUCACAAUAGAUUCCUCCCUUAAAUACUCUCUCUCUCUUCUCUUUUAGAGUUCUAUUUAAAAUAAAAUACUAAUAUCUGAAAUAUUAAAUUUGUAAUUACAAAAAUAACCAAAAAUACAAAAUACGUUAAACUAAAAACUGCAGGUCCGUAGUUGACAGCACGCGCCCACGCCUUAUCAACAAAGUUCUUCUGACGCUCAUAAUUUCUCCAAGAGAACAAUCAUCAUUAAAUAUCAUCUUGUAGCUUAAUUUUAUCACCAAUCAAUAGAAUUGCACCUACAAAAGUAAAACACAAGUAAAUCACUAUUAUUAAGUGCAAAACAUCGAUAUUAAGGGAAGUAAACAAUGCAAAACUAGUGCUUAAAUUGCACUCUAACAAAUUCCCCCAUACCAAGAUGAUGCUUGUCCUCAAGCAUAUAACUCAAGACUAAUCCCAAAUCUCCACUCAAUUCUCAUCUCAACUCAUCCAAAAACAAUUUUAAGCAAGUAUACCUCAAGAAAUUAAGUCGAUCAACAUUCGAGAGACAAGGAUUUUAAAGCAUAGAAUCUCAUAAGAUAGAAUAAGAACAUUCAACCACUAAGAAGAUCCAUUCAAAAUUCAAGUGCAACAAGAUUUAAUAGCCCUCUCAUUGACUUCACUCCAUGCACUCAAAGUGUUUAGGGUGUCAUUUAUUCACUCAAAUCAAAUCAAAGAAUGCUAUUACCAUAAGCUUGCUUAUAUAUCACAUCUCAAUCCACAAAACAUGAAUUAAAUGCAAAAAUCUAAGGGUCUUAAAAGGUUGUAACGGGGUUAAAUGGGUUAAAUGAAAAAGAAAGGUUUAUGAAAGAAAAAGAGAUCAAAAUGAGAAGAAUGAACUCAUUGAACGAACUUUAUGAUAUCGAAACGCUUAUUUCUACUCAAGUCACCAAGAAUGUAAACAUUUUUUUUUUCGAUCUUUCUUUUUCUUUUUUCUUUUUUUCUUUUUUUUUUCUCUUUUUUUUGAAUCAAACAAAAGAAACGAACCUUGCACAAUUUAAUUCAAGCAUAAUGCUUGUUGAUCUAAUUGAGAAACUUUAUUACAAGGUAGAAAAAGCAACAAAAUAUAUCCACACAAUGAGUCCAAAAAUCUCCUUAAAUUGAGGCUCAAAAAGAAGAAAAAUGGUUAAGUAGACGGAGAAAAUUAGAUGGGUAAUGGUUAAGGCUCAAACAAAGAUAGCAAAUAAAGGUCUUCGAGUAGAGAAAAAAAAAUGCGAGAAUAGAAAAAUGGAAAAGGGUUUGCCCUUAUCAUUUUAAUGCAUAAAAUCCCGUAAUGCGGCUUCAACAUGCAUAACAAAGCAAGUUCUAGAAUAAACAAACUAAGAUUGAUAUUCACAUAACAAAAAUAUUAGAGCAAAGUGGUUGCUCAUAGGCUCAAAUCCUCACAAAGUUGGUAAAUUUGCCAUCAAAUCAUGUACACUCUUCAAAUGAAUCAACCAUCAAUAGUGGUGUAGAAUGAGAAGAAGGUAUGAGUGAAGGAAAGGUAAAAAUGAUAAGAAAUGAGAAAGAUGUAUGUAGUAAUAUGAAAAGUGAAAGAUAAAAUGUGAGUGAUGAAAGAAUAUGGUAAAAUAAAAAUAGAUAUGAAUAAUUUGAAAUAGAUGGGAAAAAAGUAGUGAGAAAGCGAGGAAAAGAAAAUUAAUAAUAUAUGAAGCAUACUAACUCCAAAAUCAUUUAAGGAUGAGUAGAGUGAAAAUAGAUGAGUAGAGUGAAAACAAUAAUUUCAGACAUCAAUAAUGCAAAAAUCCCUCCCCCACACCAAGAACUUACAUUGUCCUCAAUGUAAAAUAAUCAAAGCUCACAUAAAAAUUAAAGCGUAAAGAUAAAAGAUUAAAGGAAAAAAAAACUUCCCUGAAUUGUGAACUUUGAUCCACAUAACGUCUAUGGUUGCGUUGUGAUUGCUGCUCGGCUGGAGCUUGCUUGAUGGACGCGGGAUGGAGCUGAUUGUGUUGCGCGCGCGCGCUGGGGCUGCUAGAUCUGCGCGCUGCGUGGGCUGUGUUGCGCGUGAGAGCUGGGCUGACGCUGGUUCUGCGCGCUGCUGGGCGAAGGCUGGAUCUACUCACGCGGGUUGCUGCUCGCUGGACGCGGGAUGCUGGUGCUGCUGGUUGCGUUGCGCGCGCGGGACUGAUGCACUGCGCGAUGGUGAUGGCUGGAGCUUUCUGCGCCCGGGCUGGUUGCGUUGCAGGUGGGACUGAUGCGGCUGCGUUGCGCGCGCGAGAACUUGCGUUUUCCGGCGGGCUAGUUUGCUACUGGUGUGCUGCAAGCGGCUGGAGAAGAAAACAAGAUCUGGAAAAUUAGGGAUUUUGUGAACAAUAAAUUUUUUUUUUUUUUAAACAAUGAUGAUUUUUUUUAUUAUAAAUAAAUAAAUAAAUAUAUAAAAGAAGAACAAAACAAAAUCUCUUUUUUUGUUUUUUUUUUUAAAUAAAAUUAAAUUAAAAAAAAUUUUUUUUUUGAAUCACUUUGAGACACCAAAAAUUUCAAAAGUACUUUUUUAAUAAGCACGUGGGCAAGCCUUAAAACUAUUUUACUUUAAAAAUUACAGAAGUACUUUUUAGUUAAGACGUGGGCACGCCUUAUCGAAAAUUUUCUUUUGGCCAAAAUAAGCAAACACAUUAUUUUUUAAAAAAAAUCGGAAUCAAAAUUAAAAGAAAAUAUAACAAAAACCAAAAUAAAUAAAUCAUUUGGGUUGCCUCCCAAAAAGCGCCUUUGUUUUAUGUCUUUGGCUAGACACAUUGAUGCAUCAAUCUCCAUAAUUGGGACUCUCGAGAGCCACAUCUUCCACAAUAUUUACCGAAAAACCUUCAUAAAAAGGUUUUAAGCGAUGACCAUUAACCUUAAAAACUUUGUCAGAGGUCGGACUCCGAAUCUCAACUGCACCAUAAGGAAAAACAUUAGUAACAAUAAAAGGUCCAACCCAGCAAGAACGUAAUUUACCCGGAAAUUACGUCAUGCAUAUCCAUAUGGCUACAUCAUGGCUUUACUAAGAGAGCAUGCUGGCAUUGUUGUUGCUAAUUCAACCUUGAUUGGUGUUUCAGAACGAGUUGCUGAUGAAUGUAAGGGGCUGCCUUUAGCUAUUAAAGCUGUUGGAAGUGCACUAAAAGGUAAAGGAUUUGAUGAGUGGAAUCUAGCUCUAGAUAAACUACAAGAUGCAAAACUCAAUACAAUCGAAGGUAUUGGCAAUGAGGACCAAGACGUUUACCAUUGUCUCGAAUUUAGUUACGAUUAUUUGAAUGGUGAGGAUUCCAGGUCGUGCUUCUUGUUGUGUUCUUUGUUUCCAGAGGAUUGUGAGAUAUAUUUGGAUGAUUUGGUUGGAUAUGCAGUGGGGUUGAGAUGGUAUCGAGCUGAGUCAAUUGAAAAAGUCAGGAGCCUACUGAGUGGAACGAUGAAAGAGGUCAAAGCUUCUUCAUUGCUGUUAGACACUGGCAAUGACAGAUCUGUGAAAAUGCAUGACGUAGUCCAUGACGUAGUCCAUUACAUAAUUUACCUUUUAGUGCACUUCCAACAGCUUUAAUAGCUAAAGGCAGCCCCUUACAUUCAUCAGCAACUCGUUCUGAAACACCAAUCAAGGUUGAAUUAGCAACAACAAUGCCAGCAUGCUCUCUUAGUAAAGCCAAUCCUUCUUCUCGCUUUAGAACACCUAGUUGAAUCCGCGUGUCACAACCCAUGCGAUCACAAACUGGCUGCAGGCGAGUGGUUAUAAGGAUUUUGCAACAAUUGUCUUUAUCACCAACAGGAAUACCUACUGUCUCCAAGUCGAGUUCAUUCCAGACAUUAUAAGAAGAAGAAAUUAAGAACCAUAACAAAUUUGAUGAUUCUAAUUUGCUAGAAAUAUUGCAAUCCAAAACUAAGAAAGUUAAAACCAAUUAUUUGAAGAAAAAAGUAGGAUAGAAGCUCCCAGAAUAUUGUUAUGUGUUGUAUGUUUUCAGUUUGUAUUUCCCAAUCAAUAAGGAAAAGUAAGUACACAUGUUACAAAAAUUUAAUAAAAAAGAUUGGAGGUGACAAAACCUAUCAAUCUUCUAAUUAACUUUCUCUCCUUUCGAAUUUCCUGAGUUUGGUAGAGAUUGCUUAAGUAGUGUAUCUAUUAUAAACAGGCAAAACUAUGUUGCAACAGUGGUAUGGUACUACUGUUGCAACCAGCCAUUGGAUCUAUAAUUGUUCAGUUACAUUAGCAAGAUCCAAUGAUUGAAAGCAACAUUAGUACCGUAUCACUGUUGCAACAUAGCUGGACCCAUUAUAAACACCUGAAGUCAAAGUUAAUGUUUUAAUUGUUAAGAAAAGUUAGAAGAAGAAAUUUUUGUAUAAGAGAAUUGGGUUUAAAUUUAGAAUUCUUUGGGAGGAAAUGAGUCAAAAUUCCAAUAAUAUAAUUCAGCAGUAUUUAUAUAUAUCAUUAGUUGGGUGAAAAAUUAAUUUCCCUCCUUUGAUGUGAUUUUCAUAAUUUAUUUUCAUAUGAUGGUAAUUUUUUGUUUAGAGUGAAGUUAUUGGCACCCUUUCAUUAUCCUUAUAAAAUCCUACUUCAAAUAAAAUUACACUUAAAGACAAUAGAAUUAAAUAACAUAGUUUUUUUUUUCAAACAAAUUACUCACAUUCAUAAUUUUUUUUCUUCUAAUUUUCUACAGGUUGCUUUGUAUCUAACUAAAAUAAAUUGUACAAAUUUAGAAUAAUCUAUUAUUCUUUUUAAAUUUCUUAUUGAUUAAAUAUUUGUGUGCUUAAGGUAGCUUUAAAAUUAUAAGAUAAAAUAUAUAUAAUUUAAGCCAAUGAUUAACAUUCAAAAAUUUAUCUCUCAUAAAAGUUUUUAAUUUGUGCGUAGGGUAAUAAUAAAAUUGCAAAAGAAAUGAAAAAUAGCAUAGCACUAUUUUGAGUUUAAACAAUAAAAAUUUAAAUGAAAAAUUAGAAGUGUAUUUAAAAAAAAGGAUAUUUUUAAAAAUAAAAUAAAUAUAAUUAAAAAAAAAAGAGUUUCAUGAGGGGUGCAAUAGUUCAACUCUUUUGUUUAUAAGUUUUAAGAUGUUGGUAUCCGUAGCUUAGCUUUUCCCUAAUUAUUAUAUUAAAAUGUAACAACAAUGAUGAUCAACCCUAAUUUCGUGGAGGUCAAAGAUUUUGGUCAUGCCGCAUUAAUUAGUUCGGUCAUACUUUCUACAAAUUUAUUUACAUUUAAUAAUUUGACCAAGACUACGUAAGGCGCCGCCUGGAGUCAUAGAAUUUUAUAUGUCGUUUAAUAUGCUCAUUUUGUAUUUUUUUUAAAAAGUUUUAUUAAUUUUUUUUUGUUUUUAAAAAUAUCAUUUAUUUAUUUAAAUUUUUUUAAAGGUAAAGAAGUGGGUAAAGUUUAAAUUCAAUUUUUAUCCCUUACAUCAUGGCCCCUAAGAUUUGAACUAAAAUCUUAAAAAUGAAAUUGUAAAGAAAUCCCAGUUCGUAUAAAAGAAAGAAAACAAAAUUAAGGAAAACAUAAGCACAACAAAAUUUGACUGAUUAUUAAAAAUGAGAAAUGAGUUAUAAUGAGAAUUUUAGCUUUGUCGUGAAAUAAAUUGGGAAGUAUCCAAAGUACGCAUGUAAAUAAUGUAAAUGAUAAGAAGACGAAGGGAACAUAAUGAUAAUAAGCAAGCCAAAUAUUAAAAUGCAGAUUCUACGCUUCCGCCCCCAUACUUCAAGUUAGUGUCUCGCUAAUCAUUUUAGAUGUAUCAAUUACAAAGGGAGGCCAUCUAUUUAUGGUAAGCGUACGCCUCUAAUGCUUUGCCAAGUGUCCAUUGAUAAUAUCACAAGGGAAAUUAAAUUGGUGUAUGUGUAUUACACCUCCUAAAGUCAUGUUAAGAUAGUUAGUGAGCUGAUAAAGUUUGUUGCACGUGUGAGUUGGUUAAAUCUGCUAGAAAUGCAAACGUGUAAAGCUGAGUUAGCAAGUUAGUUAAGGUUGUUACGAAUUCUUAGAUUCAGCUCACGUGUAUUGUAUGUAAUACUUAGAUUCAGGUCAUGUAGAUUGUGUAAACAACUUUCUAAUAUUCUUUAGAUCUCAAUAUAAAUACUUGUAAUCAACAAAUACAAUAAUAAGAGUCAUCAUUCUUCAUUUUCUCUCUGUUUCUCCAUAUUUUCUCUACAUCCAAACACAAUAUUCUCAGUUCUUGACUUGGUAUCAGAGUUGCAGUUUAAUUGUCAUGGCUUCCUUAAGCACAAAUUCAAACACAAAUCAGUCUCCUUCAUUCUUUACCCUCACAAAUGCGAUCAAACUGGACAGAUCUAACUAUACGAUCUGGAAAUCUCAGAUCCUCUCUUCAGUGCGUGCCAAUGGACUUGAAGGCUUUCUUAAUGGAACUAAAAUUUGUCCAGAUCAGUUACUUACUCAAGAGAUUGAAAGUUAUGGUGUUGAAAAUACUGGUGGUGAAAGCUCAGCUGAUAGAUCUCAGGAGAAUCCAGCCUUUGUUGCUUGGAAAAGGUAGGAUCAAUUAUUAUUAAGUUGGCUCAUGUCCUCCAUCAGUGUUGAGAUACUUAGUCUUGUGGUAAAUUCUGAUUCUUCUCAUAAACUUUGGACUAAUCUUGAAGAAAAUUUUUGGAUUAGAAACUAUGGCUAAGAAAGCACACUUAAAAAUGAUGUUAAGCAAUCUCAGAAAGGGAUCAAUGACAAUAACUGAGUAUUUUGCCAAACUUAGAGCUGUAACUAAUAAACUUGCUGUAACUGGUAGCCCUGUUUCUACUCUAGACUAUAUUACUCAUCUAAUAUCUAAAUUAGGCCAGCCAUACUACCCUGUUGUUUUGUAUAUUGAAGCUAUUGUUUUGUAUAUUGAAGUUAAUAUGAUGAAAAUAUUUGUCAAUGAAGCAUAUUCUAUGCUUUUAACUCAUGAAGCAAGAAUUAAAGCUAAUCAUCCAAGUGCAAAUAAAGAAGCAAAGUUGAAUUAUGCUGCUAACAUAGCUUAGGCUGGACCUAGUACUAAAUAACAAUAAGAAGUCUAGUAAUCAAGCUAAUUACUAUCAGGGCAACCAAGGUAACUGGAAAAGAAAUGCUCAUUGGUGUGGUAACAAUGGAGGAAGAGGUGGCUUUGGCAGAGGUUUUUCAGGGCAAGGAAGGGGUAAUUAGAAUAAUGGUGGUCAUUGGAACAAUGGACCUUGGAGUAGUAGUUGAGGAGGCUAUAAUGGUUCUGAUAUAAACAAUAUGACAUGGUUGCUGGUGAACCUGUAAACAUAACCAAAAAAGUAAGAAGGCAUAAUUUUUUUAUAAGAAACUCAAAAAUAUAUUAAUGAUGAAAAUUUUAAAACAGAUAGUGGACCAGCUGUCCAGUAAGAAAACAAAAAAUUGAAUAUUUGUGCUAUAAAAAGGCACACCCAAUCUCACCCCUAUAAAAGGCUAGAAUCAGCUACAAAUCCCUAUCUCAAAACCCCAUCCCAGUUUAGAUGAAUGAAGAAAAAAGAUGAAUCUUGAAACUCCUUAGAAACUGAAUCCCAAAGUGAAGCAAGAAGAUGAACUCUAUCCCAAGCAAGCAAUAUGGCAUAUUUCUCCAUUAAUGGUUAAAAUAGGAUAAAAGCUCGUUUCAUCCUUAUAUUUUAAUAUUCGUGCCUAUUUAGUCUCUGUAUUUUAAAAAAUACCUCAAAACAUCCUUAUCCUUAAAUUAUUGACAUUUCUGCUGUUACUUUUUGUUUUUUUUAACUUGCUUUUACAAUAUUACCCUCUUACAAUAAUGUUUCUUUUUAUAAAGUUAAUAAAAAAAUUAAAUUAUCAAUUUAACCCCAAAAAUAAAAUAAAAACAAAAAGAAUAUAUUAAUUUUUGUGAAAGCUUACAUGUGUCUAAAAAUUUUUUUAUUGUAAAAAUAAUUAAAUUACCUUGUUUUUGGACAUUGGUAAUAAAAAAAUUAAUAUAUUAAUUCCUCAGCAGUGUGUUACAAAAAAGUAACAUAUAUUAAUUUUGUUUCUAUUUUAUUUUUUGAGAUUAAAUUAAUAAUUAUUUUUUUUCUUUUUACUAAUGUCCAAAAAAAAUAUUAUAAGAGGGUAAUAUUGUAAAAAUUAAGCCAAAAGUAACAAAAAGUAAGAGGAAAUGUGCUAAUAAUUUAAUGUCAGGGAUGUUUUGAGGUAUUUUAAAAAAUAUAGGGAGUGAACGGGUACUAACCUCAAAAUAUAGGGACUAACCGAGAUUUUACCCGUUAAAAUAAAGUAGAUGGCUGUCUUGAUGAAUGGGAAAUUGUCAAGAUCAAUAUUCAAACUCACGCAAAGUAAACGGACUUAAUUCUCAGGGGCUACUCAUUCUAAGUCUUAAAGAAAAUUUUUCUAAUUUCUAAAGAUUAUAUGGGGAAAAAUCAUUAUUUUCUAACAUGGAAAAUUUGAUACGGUGUUUAAUGUCUGAUCACAAUGAUAAUAUGAGUACUAACAAAAACAUCUUUAAUCGGCAUGGUGCGAGUAAAACACCUUUGCAAUCCAAUCAGCGAACGCCUUUGCAUUAGGCACAGUACCCGAGAGGAACACAAAUCGGGAGUCCUUUGGAGCCAUCACAAUGCUCUCUUCCCAUACCACACCUCUCUCACGAUCACGCAUGUAAUGUACCUCAUCAAAUAUAGCCCAAGCCACUUCACGCGUAAUCUCUGAGCCUUUGUACUGCAUACUACGCCAGAUUUCAGUAGUCAUCACCUGAAAUUAAACUUCAUAUAAGCAAUCCACAAAUCAAAGCGCUGCAACACCCAAAAGAUGACACUACCAAGUUGACCUACCAAACAAGAAGCAUUAGGGUCAAUUGUGACAUCCCCAGUCAUCAAACCGACAUCUGAAAACUCUUCUUUAAACUCCCUGUACUUCUGAUUGCUGAGUGCCUUAAUCGGUGAAGUAUAUAUCACACGUUGCUUAUUCCGCAACGACAUAGCAAUAGCAUACAAUGCUACCACAGUCUUCCCAGCAGAUGUAUGGUUCGAUACCUUUCAAAUAAAUGAAAGGCAAUUAAAAAAAGAAAAGAAAAAAAAAAACUAUUUUUAUUUUCACACAAGAUAACACUUCAUGCAAAACUUCUUAAUUCUUAUCGGUGAGCUGAAAAGCAGAGCGCUUUGUACAAAAGCACUUCCAAAUUCGAAUUAAAUUUUUUACAAAAAAUUACAGCUUUAUAUAUAUGUGUGUGCGCGUGCGUAUAAUAAUAAUAAUUAACGAACCGUAACGGACUGGCCGUUGUCGAGGCACUUGAUAGCUUCGGACUGGAAUGGGUCGAGAGUGAAAAGGAAUUCCUUAGCAGGUUUAGCGUCAGCUUCAGCCACUUGACCAAGACCCAUUAAACAUAAAACGCGGCGUUUUCAUGGACUAGUACAUUCCAUGCUUCGAAAGUUUUAUGUUUUAGACUGAUUGGUUUGAUACAUUAUUUGUUUAUUGCGUUUUUCUUGCUUUAAAUAUUAUGUUGGAUUGAUAAGUUUUGUACACAUUUAUAUUGCUCGCAGUAAAUAAUUUAUUACAUUUAAAAAACUAUCAACCGUCUAUCGAAAGAUUUCUACUAUAAAUAUAUAUACACAAAAAACUUUUAAUUUGGUCUAUUUGUUCUCUUAUUUAUUUUUGCUCUAUUUCUCUUUUUCUUUCCUUUCAUUUUAUUGUUUUAUGGUACAAAAAAAAAUAACCUUAAAAUUUAAGGGUAAAAUACUCAUUUUACUAAAUUCCGUUUAAUAUCAUAAUGCUGUCAAUGGACAAUGGCAAAGUACACGAGUGAUACAAAUUAAAAACAAAUAAAUUGAAAGUUUUUAUGUAUUUUCCUUUUAUUUUUUUAUAGCCGAUUGAGAUUUCCCUUCGUAUUCUUAAAUUCAAUACGUUUAGACCGUUUAAAAAAUUUUAAAUUAAAAAAAACCCGUGGUGUAAUAACAAACUCACAUCAAAUCCUGUCCACUGUCAUCCCUAAUAAUAUUUACCACUUCAUACUCAAGUGUGAUAAUAACUGUGUAUCACAAUUGAUUUUACAUACGGGUAAAAGUUCCAAGUCCGGAUAUUUAGUUAAUGAAAUUGAUGAAAAGGGCAUGAAAGAAAAUAAGAAAUUAAAUAAUACAGGUAUUAAUCAUUACAUAUUUAGUUAAUGAAAAUUGAUGAAAAUAUUUCUGCAGACAUGAGCCGUAAUUAUAAUACCGUUAAGAAUGAAGCAGCAGAGUUUCCCCAAACAAGCUAAAACACGGCACCUGAAUUUAAAGAAUUUUUAUGUCACAGUAUCGGGACAAAAAGUUUAAUGCAACAACAUACAUUAAGUUAAUUCCAUAAUCUAUCACCAAAGAAAGACAAACACAAGCUUAUAAGAUUAAAACUUUGGAAAACAUUGAAGAGUCGGACAAAAUUGUGUAACCUUCAGAGUUUAGAGCCUAGUUCAUCCAGGAAAGCAAAAGAAAAUAAUAAUAAUAAUAAUAAUAAUGGUGGUUUGAUCUCAAAAGGUGGCAUCAAAGUGGUAACUUUGAGGUAUUGGAAGCAAUAACGUCUUCAACUUUGUCCUGAUUUCGAAGUCCCUUAACCCAUCCGCCAUCAAUGGAUUGAAUGCUUCCAUUCAACCCAUCAUCCACAAAAUCACCAACCCGUUUCACCUUCAUCUCCUCCGCUUAACAGGGUACUUCCCAGAGAAGCUAGCAUAACAAAAAUUCUGAGAAUCAUUGCCUAACAACUUGUUCAAGAUGUCAAUCGGCAGAAAAGCAAGCAAAUCACACCCAAUAAACUCCCUGAUUUCCUCGACGCUCAUCCUGUUGGAAAUCAACUCCUCAGUACUCGGAGUGUCCACUCCAUAGUAACAAGAAGCUAUGAUUGGUGGGCUUGCAAUUCUCAUGUGAACCUCUUUAGCUCCAGCCUCCUCAAGCAACCUAACAAUUUUCGAUGAAGUUGUUCCUCUCACUAUCGAAUCAUCGACAACCACAACUCUCUUUCCCUCCAACACUCCCCUUACAGGAGAGAGCUUAAGCUUGACACCAAAGUCCCUAAUCUUCUGGGAAGGCUCAAUGAAAGUUCUCCCAACAUAGUGUGACCUUAUCAACCCUUGUUGAAAUGGCACCCCGGCUUUCGCAGCGUACCCAAGUGCAGCCACCACUCCAGAAUCUGGUACUGCAAUCACGACAUCACACUCAACAGGAGCCUCGGUAGCAAGUACUUCCCCAAAAUGAUUCCUCGACUCAUAAACAGACCUUCCAAAAACAACAGAAUUAGGCAAAGCAAAAUAAAUAUGCUCAAAGAUGCACUGCUUAGGUUCAGGGUGAGGCAUCAAACAAAGUGAUUGAACCCCAUCUUUAUCCACCAUCAAAACUUCUUGGGGAUGUACCUCCUCAAUCAAAUAGUGCACAAGUCUCUGACGCAAAAACCACAGCACCAUUACUCCUCCUACCUAUCACCAACGGCCUAAACCCGUACGGGUCACGAACCGCAACAAGCUUAUCCUCAGUAACAAACACCAUUGAAUAAGCACCCUCAAGCUUCUCACAAGCAUCCACAAUCUUCAAAAAGAACGGCCUAGCUUUCGAUAUCGCAAUCAAAUGGAGAACAACCUCAGUAUCAGAACUAGUAUUAAAAAUGGAACCAUUAUCUUCAAGCUUAGCCCUCAAAGUAUUAUAGUUAAAUAAAUUCCCAUUAUGUGCAACACCAACAAAACCAAACCUGUACCCAGCAACAAAAGGCUGCACAUUCUUAAGCAUGCAGUCGAAUAUCUAACAUGACCAAUGGCCAUAUCGCCAGGCAAUUGAUCAAGUUUAGACUGAUUAAACACAUCCGAGACUAAACCAACACCGGUAAUAGACUGAAGAACUUUAUUAUUCACAGCAACUAUAACUACACCUUCUUGGCCGCGAUCUGCAGAGCGUGCAGCGCCAAAUAGCACAAACGCGAGGCCUCUGGGUCACCGUAUGAAACGACCCGCCCCGAAUCCCCCGUGCGAGUCAAUCUAGUCUCAUCAAAACGGAUUUGAUAAUAAUCUAAUUAGUAAGGAUUCUGCCGAAAAUUCGGCAGAGUCUCCUUUAUAUAUAUAACACUCCCAAUCUACAAAUAUGAAUAUAACACUCAUAAUAUAAUUCAAUAUACAACAAACUCCAGUGAUCAACAUCCUCAACCAAAAUGCUGAGUUUUAUAUCUCCAGAGUCUCAAAAGAUAAUAUUAUAACUAAUAUUAAUAUCUAAGUUUAUUCUUAAUCCCAAAAGAAUAAUAUAAAAAAAUUAUACAAUCCCAACAGGACGAGAUAACCAAGAUGUCCUAACAAAAACAUUUAUAUUUUCUAACACCAUCACGUGGCCAAGACUCAAAAUAUAUUUACAGUCGCUGGGUCGGUCUGGUGUACCUGCAACCUCCUGGUGAGGGGGGGGGAAAUAUAAUAAAAACGGGGUGAGUUUAAAACUCAGUGAGAUCAAUGAGUGGAUAGUAGUUUUUGAAAAUUAAUGCUUACUUUAAAAGAAAUAUUCAUAUAAUUUCCAAACACGAUUUCAUCAAACCAUAUGCAAGAAACCAAUAGUAAAUCAUUUAACAUUUAAAUCAGAUUACUAACCAUGAAAAGCAUAUAUAAUAUCGUACCAAAUAACCAUGGAAAUCAUAUUACAAUAUCAUAUAUAAUACACAAAUUUGAAAAUCAUCACCAAACAAGUACCCAGAGAAAUAAUCUCGUCAUAUCCGGACAUCAACGGACGUGCAAUGACGUACUAUAUGGGUACCGUCACGCCCCGGAGCUACACGGAUAGACAGGGAAAUAUAAUCUCAUAUCUCAUCAUAUCUUAUCAUAUAUGUGCAUGCAUAAUCUAGUCCCCAAAGGACAAAAACGCCCAAGCACAUGGCCCAAAGCCUCUGUGUGUACUCAGACGGGCCCCAAAGGCCUGUAUCUCAUCUGUAUCAUCUGUAUCUCAAUAUCUGUCUGUAUCUCAUAUCUGUGUAUCUGUAAUCAUCAUACCGCAUGCAUAUGCCCUCAAAAGGCAAAAACGCCCAAACACACGGCCCAAAGCCUCUAUGUGUGUUCAAACGGGCCCCAAAGGCCUCUCAUCUCAUCUCAUCUAUAUCACUGUAUCUGGAGGGGAAGGGUACUGUCUAGUGAUUUCAAAAACAAUCAUUAUACUCAUAUUCACAUACUUUUUUAACCAUAUUUUAAAUCAUACCACAUUUGAAUCCACUUUUCUUAUCUUUAAAAUACUAUCAUGCUUAUUCAAAGUCGAUACGAAAAAUCAUUAACCAAACAUUUUAAUAAAAUACCAAUGCGUGGACAAAAUCCAUUUCGAGGUAAUCAUUAAAUCAGAUCAUUUAAAAUACUUAUUUCGCAAACAUACUUUACUAUCAUAAUUAACUAUGAAAAUAGGUUUUGUAUAUUCCACUCACAGUGACGGUGUUCACGCUCGGUUAUCGUCCACGUCCGCGGACCUAUUCUUGCUCGCGGAUCCUCCUAAAUCAAGGAAACGACAUAAAUAUUUUCCGUAAAACAGAAUUAAGACUAAAUUUAUGCAAUAAACUCGAAACGAACAUCUAUCCAUAAUUUACAACUCCCGUGUCGCUAAAAUUACUAAAAUGCCCUCGAGUCCGUAAAUCAGUAAAAUACUUCGAAAUCGGAAAUCACCGAAUCACCCUCGGAAUCGUAAUUACACCCAAUCCUCACUUCUAGGAAUUACUAAAAUAUCAAUAGGCUCAGAAAUUACAAAAUUGCCCUCAUAGUGUGAAAUUACCGAAAUGCCCUUGUGAUGGUUGUCGAAGCCAACAAAAAUAAAUACCUACUCUAAAUAAAUUGUGUAUAGUGAUUGAGCAGGGUCGUGUCCACAAAGAUCGGUAAUUAUUUAAAUCCUUUUGAAACGUAAAACGUAAAAUGGGAGAAUUGUUAACAAUAAUAAAAAUCAAAUUAAAAUAACAAGAAUGCAAAUUCAAGUCGUAAUUCAAAUUGGAGAAAGCUCUGGUUGAAGGAAUUAAUUCAGCUUGAUUCGACUAUUGAUAAUUGAUUCAAAUAUAAAUUAUUAUUACUUAUGAAUAGACCAAUUAUAGCUACUGAGACCCUCUAAUAGCCAAUCUCUCCUUAACUAGUCGAUAACCAAGGUACGACCGUUGGUUAUUUCCCUAAUUAAUAGACAACCCUAGAUACGAUCAUAGAAUUUAAUCAAUUGACAGCCUGAAAAACCAGAGAGACCCAAAUCCUAAUCAACAAACACAUACGAUGAUUCAUUUAAAUUAGAUUGUUUAUUCUCACAACACAACUCUCUGCUAUGUUAUUUGUCACAAACAUUAAAAUCUUCAUACGAUGAAUCCUUUAAUUGACAAUAGAUUAAGUUGAUAAUUAAAUAGUGGCCAAUUACCUAAUUAACAAACAUAAUCAUGAAAAUAAUUCAGAGAAUAAACAAAUACCCAAAAAGCAAUAAAUUAAUUAAAGCACAAGAAAGAUCUCACAGUAGUGAUGAAUCAAAGCUUCAUUAACCUUCAACCAAAAAAAUAGGUUUAGUUCUUCAUAGAGAAAAGAGAAAAUUUAGAUCUAGGGUUUCUUUCUUUUCUCCAAUCUCCCUUCUUUCACAAUAGAUUUCUCCCUUAAAUACUCUCCCUCUCUUCUCCUCUAAAAUUCUAUUUAAAAUAAAAUACUAAUAUCUGAAAUAUUAAAUUCGUAAUUACAAAAAUAACCAAAAAUACAAAACACGUUUAAACUAAAAACUGCAAGUCCGUAGUUGACAGCACGCGCCCACGCCUUAUCAACAAAGUUCUUCUAACGCUCAUAAUUUCUCCAAGAGAACAAUCAUCAUUAAAUAUCAUCUUGUAGCUUAAUUUUAUCACCAAUCAAUAGAAUUGCACCUACAAAAGUAAAACACAAGUAAAUCACUAUUAUUAAGUGCAAAACAUCGAUAUUAAGGGAAGUAAACAAUGCAAAACUAGUGCAUAAAUUGCACUCUAACACCUUGCCGGUCAACGGUCACCGAAAUUUGGUCAACGCUGGCCGGGAAGCUCAAGUCUGAAAGUUCCAAUCACGCUAAGUUCAAUGGUACCGGCGGUGAGCUCCAACGCGCAACAACGACGUCGGAAUCUAGCUCGGCAGCCGUGAAUUCCAACAAUUGACCGGCGGCGAAACAGUGACUCCCGGUGACUAUGGAUGGUUGGAAAUGGAAGAGGGAGUCGUGAGGAACAAAAUCCAACCGGUGGUGUCACCCAAAACUGGUGAAAAUCCCGGCGGAACAAAACGAUACAGUCGCGGGUUUUCAAACUUUGAUUGCCGGCGUUCCGGUUGGUUUUCGGCGGCCAGGAUGGCAGGGGAAUGAUGGCUGGCUUCUAAGUUUCAGAUUGGUACUAAGCUCGGCCGAAAUAGUGGCCGGAAAUAGAAGUUAUGGCCGGGUCAAUUUCGCGGGUCGGGUCGGGUUUUCCGGGUCAGUUGAUAGCUUCUGUUACUCUCACACGUGUGUGUAUAAGUUCCAUGUUUCUAACUUAUUCUAUUAUUUUUAAUAAAGUCUUUAACCGCCUCAAUUUCAUUUUUAAUUCACAUAUGUUACAAUCCUCCCCCCUUAUAAAAAUUUUGUCCUUGAAAUUUACGUACCUGAUAAGAAAAGAUAUGGAUACUGAGCUCGCAUUAAGUCCUCGCGUUCCCAGGUAGCCUCUUCCUUUGUAUGAUUCCUCCACCAUACUUUUACUAGAGGAAUGGUCUUAGAACGUAGAACUUGGUGUUUCUCUUCCAAUAUCUCCACUGGUUCCUCUUCGUAAGUCAAAUCUUCCUUCAACUGAAUUGGUUGCUUCGAUAACACAUGACUCGGAUCAUAUAUGUACUUCUGGAGCAUUGAGAAAUGAAAUACAUCGUGGAUUCUGGAUAACUCGGGUGGUAGUGCUAAUUGAUAAGCUAAUGGACCGAUGCGCUCAAUGAUCUCAUAUGGCCCAAUGUAACGUGGACUUAGCUUCCCACGUUUCCCAAAUCGAAGCACCCUUUUCCAAGGAAAUAUCGGUAUGAAAACUCUAUCAUCAACUUCGAAUUCAAGUUCCCGCCUACGCUUGUCUGCAUAGCUCUUUUGUCUAUCUUGAGCCACCUUUAAUCUAUCCCGGAUUAAUUGUAUCUUCUCGUUAGUAUCCUGGACAAGUUCUGGACCGAAUAACCUCCGCUCACCAACCUCAUCCCAACACAUUGGAGUCCUGCAUUUUCUACCAUACAAAGCCUCAUAUGGUGCCAUCUCGAUACUAGCUUGAUAGCUGUUGUUGUAAGCAAACUCCAUCAGAGGUAAAUGAUUGUCCUAAUUACCUUUAAACUCCAUAACACAAGCUCGCAACAUAUCCUCCAGAGUUUGAAUAGUAUGCUCUGACUGUCCAUCAGUCUGUGGAUGAAAAGUUCAACUUUGUGCCUAAGGCAUUUUGCAAGCUAGUCCAGAACUUAGAAGUAAACCGGGAAUCUCUAUCUAAAACUAUAGACACGGGUACUCCGUGAAGUCGAACUAUCUCAGCCACAUAAAUACUCCCUAACUUGUCCAUCGAAUAGGUGGUUUUGAAUGGUAAAAAAUGAGCAGAUUUUGUAAGUCGAUCAACGACCACCCAAACACUAUCAUAUCCUUUCUGAGUACGUGGAAGUCCUGCUACAAAAUCCAUGGUGAUGUGCUCCGACUUCCACUCAGGAAUAGGAAGCGGCUAAGAACACCCUGCAGGCCUCUAGUGUUCAGCCUUAAUCUGCUGACAGACUAAACAUCGAGAAACAAACUCUGCUAUCUCUCUCUUCAUACCCUGCGUCCAGUAAUGAUCCAUCAGGGUACGAUACAUCUUCGUACUACCAAGAUGCAUCGCAUAUGCUGAGCAGUGAGCUUCUUCCAUAAUCUCUUCUUUCAGAUCUUUAAUAUCAGGUACACAAAGUCUAUUACCCAUGACUAAGACUCCGUCGCCUCUCACCGUAAAAUCGGUUCGUAAACAUUUUUGCACAUCCUCUUUCAACUUCAUUAACUGUGGGUCCUGAGCUUGCAUCUGGUGAACUUUGUCCAUCAAAGUCGGCCUAACUCGAAAAUUAGCUAUCAAAACUCCACAAUCGUCAGCGUUCAACUCGACUCCCAAAGAUCUCAACUCGAUCAACAGAGGCAUCUAUUUCACUCGCAAGUGAGCUAUAGAGCUGGAAGACUUCCUACUGAGUGCAUCGACUAGAAAAAAACAUACCUCUUUGAGAUACUACAAAUUGGCUUUAAUUCAGUACUGUUGAUGGUCAAGUUGGGAAAGUAAUGAAGCUGUAACUCUUCCAAUGCUGUCCAAAUUGAACAAUAAUUUUCUGAACAGAAGCUAACGAGUUCUGGGAGACUUCGAAGUGUUAAUUCUCUUAACAAAGGGAGGGCGAGCAUCGUAUUUCCAUCUCUGACACUUAUUUCCCCUUCAUUGUGAUCAAACUUUGCUUCGACAAUACAUUCCAGCCUGUCGCAAUAAGUCACACUGAGACUUUUAAGCUGCUCCAAACUUUGAGCUUGUGAUAACGUGAAGAUAUAUGUCAAAUUAUGGCAGCCAUACACACUCAAUUCUGUAAGAGUUUGGAGGCUGAUCACAUGUUGGGCAGGCGUCUUCCAUAUCCACUUUGCUAAUCUUGAGAGCACCUCAUGAUUCCCACUCUUUCCAUGCGGCGACUGAGAGGCAUCCACUAUGCAUUCUAAAUCUUCACAAUAGUUGACAAAUAGAUGAGUCAACUCAUUUAAGCCCCCUUAAUCUAUGCUUGGAACAAUAUUAUGGAGACCUAUUAUCCUCCUCAAAUUAAGAAAUUUCAGAUUUUGACACAAUGUCGAAAAAAUACUGAGCGAGGCCGCUUCACAAUAGUUAAUCAUUAAGCACCUGCUCCGUCCAAAAAAUUCAUCUUCUUUUUUCAUUCAAACUUCAAGUUUGUUACAGUUACUGACGAAGUACAUUUGCAAUUUUGGAAAUGUAAAGUCUUUUGAAAGACGUACAAUUUUUUGUUCAAUAUGUAAAGUCUUUCCAUCAUCAUCUUGGAUUUCAUCACCGUCGGGUUGGGAGUUCAACUCAGUAGCCCUAGCGUAACUUUCUUCUGAACUCAUCCCUUCAGCCUCCCAAUCUUUUAUCCGACCAUAAAAUUCUUCUAAUUGAGGAAAUUUUUUUAUCGUAAUAGGAGAAAUAGAACCAGAAUCAAUGAAUAGAAGAAGUUUCAAUCUACUAAGUUGAUCCUCAAAUUCUUCAGGAAUUUCAAUGGGAGACCCCUUGACACAAAGAAUUUGAAGUCUCUUCAACUUUCCAAGGAAAGACGCGUCACUCACUUUACAUCGAAUCAACUGCAGAACUUGGAGGUUGGUGAGGAAUUGAAGCGAUUUAAGUGAAAGGACUCCACCUAUUAUAGUAAGAACUUUUAAUGCUGGCAUCUUUUCGAAAAAAUAUUCUGGAUCUUGCAAUCGGUCGCCAUAUUUAGCAUUCUCCAAUCGCAAAAUAUGAAGGUUAGGGCAUACCAAACCACUUGGAAGCUCUUCUUUUUCAUUUCCCAUCAAAGAGAUUCCUUUGUAUUGUUCCACUGCCUGUUCCGCCAAUCCAAUGCCAACUUUACUAGUAAAAUAUUUUUUCUCCAUUGAGCCUAUCCAUAAGGCUACAUCACGAACAAUGUCAUGCAUUUUCACAAAUCUCUCAUUACCAGCAUCUAAUAGCAGUGAAGAAGCUUUGAGCUCUUUAAUCGUUCCACUCAAUAGGCUCCUGACUUUUUCAAUUGACUCAGCUCGAUACCAUCUCAACCCCACUGCAUAUCCAACCAAAUCAUCCAAAUCUAUCUCAUAAUCCUCUGGAAACAAAGAACACAACAAGAAGCACGACCUGGAAUCCUCAUCAUUCAAAUAAUCGUAACUAAAUUUGAGACAGCGGUAAACGUCUUGGUCCUCCUUGCCGAUACCUUCUAUUGUAUUGAGUUUUGCAUCUUGUAGUUUAUCUAGAGCUAGAUUCCACUCAUCAAAUCCUUUACCUUUUAGUGCACUUCCAACAGCUUUAAUAGCUAAAGGCAGCCCCUUACAUUCAUCAGCAACCUGUUCUGAAACACCAAUCAAUUUUGAAUCAGCAACAUCAAUGCCAGCAUGCUCUCUUAGUAAAUCCAAUCCUUCUUCUGGCUUUAGAAAACCUAGUUGAAUCUGCGGGUCACAACGCAUGCUAUAACAAACUGGCGGCAGGCGAGUGGUUAGAAGGAUUUUCCAACAAUUGUCUCCAUCACCAACAGGAAUACCUAUUGUCUUCAAGUCGAGUUCAUUCCAGACAUCGUCAAGUAUUAUGAGUAUCUUGCUGCUUUUACUCUCAGAAAACAUCAAGCGCAAUCGGUCUGCUCUCUCUCUUUCAUCUUUCUCAUUUAGUGCCCAGCCUAACGACUUUGCCAGCUCACCUUGAACCUUUAUUAUAUCUGGAUCCUGAGACACAGUGGCUAUCCCCACCUCAUCGAAAAUCUUUUCUUGUCGAAGUUGAUUGCCCACAAAGUUUGCCAAAGUCGUCUUUCCGACACCACCGAUACCAUACAAUCCCACUAUCGUCGUGCUAUCUCUUUUUAGUCUUCAAUAAUCUGAUUGCAAGUCGAUUAUGUAGUCCCGAAAGACAUAAAAUGUCUUGGCAUAUGCAAUUCUUUGUCUGAUGGUAGAGGUUUAGGAAGGGCAACUGAGCUGAAUUUGCCGCAUUUCUUUUGUAGAUCAGACAACUCGCUAGUCUUCUUUGAUGGUUUUCUACCUAGCCAACAUCGCCAACCCCAAUUAGGACACCAUCCAUUAAGACAGCUCUUCUUUUCAUCUAUCUUUGCUUUCAAAUUUCGAACAUCGACCAUUUCUUUGUCUACAUCCUUCAACCACUUCUCUACAGAUUUCUCGAUUACAAUGGCUCGGUGUAUUUGUCGUUCUUGUUCUAUUUUUUCAUUGAUGCCAUCUUUUGCCUCCUUCAAAUUAGUUUCUUUAUCCUUAAGUUCGUUAAUAAUGCUGUUGAAACAGAGCAGAUAAUGAGCUUGGUUUAUGGUUGCUUCCACCAACAAUUCUCCAAGCUUUGAUGCAACACUUGAGCAAAUUUCCAUGCUAUUUAUCUGCAAUUAAUAAAGUUGAUCUCAGUAUGCUGUAAGCAAAACAACGAGGCUUGAUUACAAGAUCGAACGAGAAAGUUUAAUUACCUUUUUCUAUUAUGUGAAUGCACGUUUAUUGACCCUAGCUUUGACCAAUAAGAGCAAAAUGCAAACGCCGAGCUUUAAGUGGCCUUUAGCUGCGCAAAACAAAAGAGAAGAAACAAGGUAGCUUAUUAUUAUUAUUAUUGUUUUUAAGGACGGAUAAAGAUUAGCUAGCUUGCGGACAAAUUUACUAAAAUCAAGAUAAACCUAAGAGUUUUCCUAAUUUGUUCAAACAUAGAAUAAGCGUUUCUCAACAUUAUAUCCAUAAAUGCCCCAGCAAACGUAAUAUGUGGUGGAUUAUAUUUAAAUUAGUUUAUUUUAGAAAAUUUUAAAUAAAAAAUGUCAAACAACAAAGAAAUCUAAUAGAAUCUGGAUAAACACCGAAGAGUUCCUACAUGGGAGAAUAUGGUAAAAUUGAUGAACUUGGUUCAAAAAAUUGCAAUUCUUAUUGAGAUUAGAACCAAAGAUUUUAACUAAGGUCUCCUAAGCCAUAAAGCAUAACUCUUACUACUAAAUUACAAGUAUUUUGUUACAUUUGAAUGUGGUCUUAUUUUUUUAUUGUCUGUUUUAGAAGGGACUCAAGGUAUGUUUAAAAGAAAUAAUAAUGGUUCGGAUGGGGCUGAAGCCCACUCAUGAAAAAUUUAAAGGCUUCAACAUAAUUACCAAUUGUUUCUUCAUCCAAUUUUCUAAUAGAAUAUUGCCAGAAUUCUGAAAUAAUAUCUUAAUAUUUUUCUUCAAGUGUUUACGGCACCCUCGUAUUGGAUUGUCAAUUUAAUAACUUGUUAAAUUAUUUAAUACUUCAUCUCACGAUCUAAUGGAUAUAAAUGCUGGAGAAGGAUCAGUUCCCAGACGUUUUUCUCUCACUAGUCUUUUGGUGAAAUAAGUGACUAAGAUUAAAUUUUAAUUUUUGAUAUUGACAAUUAAAUUGGCUUGUUUCACAUUAUUAACAAUUAAGCUAGCUUUCUUUUUUUCCCCCAACUGGAUUUGGAAGGUUAUGAGGGAGUAGGAGAGAAAACACGAGAAGAACGAGAUCCUAAUUCAUAAAUAGUACCUUACUUGGGAUGGUAAAGAAUUUAAAGAUUGGGGUGAAUUCCAUUUUAGUCUCUAAAAUUUUGACUUGCGAGUAACCAUACUUUUAGUAUUUUUAAAAAGAAUGGGAUUAUUUACAUUGUAAAAUCUAUUUUGAACACUCUUUUACUUAACACAGUCAUUCAACAAAUUUUAAAAAAUAAUUUUUACUAGGGUUCGCAAUAAACUCUAGAUCCGGCCCAGAUCCGAAAUUCGGAUCCGAAAAAAUCAGGAUCGGCAUGUUAAAAAAUGCGGAUCCGGAUCUUAAAAAUCAAGAUUCAUACGGAUCUGGAUCCACAUGCAAGUGCAUCCGGAAAACCGGAUAUCCGGAUCCGCAUUAUUUUAUAAUUAAAUUAUUUAUUUAAUUAAAUUUUAAUUGAAAAAUAUAUAAAUUAAAUUAUUUAUUUAAAUGUAUAAGCAUAAUUAACUCUAAAAUCUUCAUUAAUUAUGAAAAAUAUGUUAAAAUAAUAAUAAUAAUAAUUAGAGAAUAUUGUAAUAAAUCGGUUUACCUUAGAUUUUUUUUAUGUUUGAUUUAUAUUAUGAAAUUAUUGUUUGUGAAUUUAUGGUGUUGAAUUGAUGUUAAAUUGUCGAUUGUUAAGUUAUAAUUGAAUUUUAUUUAAUAUUAUUAUGUAAAUUAUUAAAUUUAAAAUUAAAUUUAAAUUUAUUAUUAUGCGGAUCCGAAUAUUCGGAAUAUCCACCCACAAUCCGUGCGGAUAUUACCCGCAUCCAGAUCCGCAUAUUUUUUUUUACGGAUCUAAAUACAGAUCGGGAUGCCAAAAGCUUAAUCUAGAUCCGAAUUCGGAUGCACCUACAUCCGGAUCCGGAUUUGGAUUUUGCCAUCCCUAAUUUGUUACUUUACACACUAUUUCAAAUGUCAAAACUGUCCUUCAUUAGGACCAUUCAUUAACUAAUUAUUUUCUAUAAAAUAUUCAUCAUUCUUGAGCCAUGUGGCGUUAAUUAAUGAUUCCUAAGCAUUAUCAAGGUUCAAGAUUUAUGUUGAAACUCUUUCAGUUGAGAUUUGAGCCUAGGCACUAGCUAUAUACAUACAUACUCUUUCAAAUGCAGUUCUGGGAAUAUUUUGUGACUAAUUUUAUAAAAGUGUUUUAGUUACAUUAAUGCAGUGAAACAAUAAAGAGUACGUGGCUUGAUGAUUUCCAAAUCAAGUUGGGGAAAAAACAAAGCAUUUUCUUUUAUAAUGGAUUAGAUUAGACGAUGAAGGGAAAAUUAUUUACGAUUAUUACUUGUUUGUGUGUUUAGAGUAAUAAUAUUUUCUUAAAUUAUACUAAUGUCCCUAGUAGUAAAUUUAAUUAAGGUUAUUUUCGUAAUAUAAAUUUUAUUAAAAUUAAAGUGUCUAAAAUAGAAUUUAGAGUGAAAAUAGCUCUUAGACGUCCAUAUCAUUACCUUUAUAACUAUUGAAAAUAUGAAUUUUCAAAUGUAAAAUAACAUUUCUAUAUGAUAUAAAUUAAAAUUCAAUCAAAUUUAUCAUGCAACAAAUGAAAAGUAAAGAAAAUUAAAUAGGUUUUAAUAGAGACAAAAUAAGCUUCUAUGUUGAAUUUAAAAGUAUUAUAUUAGUAGUAAUCAUAUACGUAUCGAACUUUUUAAUAAAAUUUAUUUAGAAAUUGGCCAAUUGGGUUUUAUGAAGAAAAUAGAGGGGCACGAAUGGCGCCACUUUUAAUUAUUGUUGCUGUACAACUGAAAAUUGAAAUGUUGUAUUUAAAAAGUACUUGUUAGAUGUGUAAAAUGCACCAACUUGAAAUGGCACGAGAGCAUAAUGGAAUUUUGUUGGGAAAUUUACAAAAAUAACCAUAAAACUUUUACUAUUUUCACAAUUAACCCUCUAAACGUUUUUCUAUCAACAUUAACCAAACACAUGCUUUUCUCCCCAAAUUACCCUUGUAUUUGCUAACCAACCUGUCGCACAUAGUUUGGUGCGACAGGCACCUGUCGCACGAAGCUAAGUGCAACAUGCACCUGUUGCACUGUUAUAGUGCAAUUUAUGCACUAGUUUUGCAUUGUUUACUUCCCUUAAUAUCGAUGUUUUGCACUUAAUAAUGAUGAUUUACUUGUGUUUUACUUUUGUGUUAUGAGCGUCAGAAGAACUUUGUUGAUAAGGCGUGGGUGCGUGCUGUCAACUACGGACCUACAGUUUUUAGUUUAACGUGUUUUGUAUUUUUGGUUAUUUUUGUAAUUACGAAUUUAAUAUUUCAGAUAUUAGUAAUUUAUUUUAAAUAGAAUUCUAGAGAAGAAGAGAGAGAGAGUAUUUAAGAGAGGAAUCUAUUGUGAAAAAGGGGACUUUUGGAGAAGAGAAAGAAACCCUAGAUCUAAACUUUUCUCUUCUCUCUAUGAAGAACUAAACCUAUUUUUCUGGUUAAAGGAUAAUGAAGCUUUGAUUCAUCACUACUAUGAGAUCUAUUUUAUGCUUUAAUUGUUUUAUUGCUUUUUGGGUAUUUGUUUAUUCUCUGAAUUAUUUUCAUGAUUAUGUUUAUUAAUUAGGUAAUUGGCCACUAUUUAAUUAUCAACUUAAUCUAUUGUUAAUUAAAGGAUUCAUCGUAUGAAGAUUUUAAUGUUUGUGACAAAUAACAUAGCAAUGAGUUGUGUUAUGAGAAUAAACAAUCUAAUUUAAAUGAAUCAUCGUAUGUGUUGAUUAGUAUUUGGGUCUCUUUGGUCUUUCAGGCUGUCAAUUGAUUAAAUCCUAUGAUCGUAUCUAGGGUUGUCUAUUGAUUAGGGAAAUAGUCAACGGUCGUACCUUAGUUAUCGACUAGUUAAGGAGAGAUUGGCUAUUAGAGGGUCUCAGUAGCUAUAACCAGUCUAUUCAUAAGUAAUAAUAAUCUAUAUUUGAAUCAAUGAUCAGUAGUCGAAUCAAGCUGAAUUAAUUCCUUCAACCAGAGCUUUCUCCAAUUUGAAUUACAUCUUUAAUUUACAUUCUUGUUAUUUUAAUUUGAUUUUUAUUAUUGUCAACAAUUCCCCCAUUUUACGUUUUACGUUUCAAAAGGAUUUAAAUAAUUACCGAUCUCUGUGGACACGACCCUACUCAAUCACUAUACACAAUUUAUUUAGAGUAGGAAUUUAUUUUUGUUGGCUUCGACAACCAUCAAAUUUUGGCGCCGUUGCCGGGGAUUGGUGUCAUUUAUUUAAUCCUUUUUACGUUUUACUUGGUGUAUGGUUCGUUCUUCUCGUACAUGUAUACUUUCGUUUGAUCCUGAAAUUGAGAAGACAACUCGCCAACUGAGACAGCAGACGAAGCGAGCUAAGCAAUGAUCCUCGUCGCCUUUGCUUUCUGAAACAGAUAUAGUGCCUAAUUUAGUUGAAUCAUCUAGUGAUUCAGAAGAACAAGUGAUGGAUAGACCUGCACCUGUAGAAAGAACCCUUAGAGAGUUAGCUGAACCAGACUUGAAUCAACAACCACUCUGCAUUCAAUAUGUAGACUUGGAGGUAAAUUUUGAAUUAAAGUCUGGUCUUAUUCAUUUAUUACCCAAGUUUCAUGGUUUUGCAGGUGAAGAUCCUCAUAAACAUCUUAAGGAGUUUCAUGUUGUGUGUUCAAGUAUGAGACCACAAGGCGUGACUGAAGAGCAGAUUAAGCUGCGUGCUUUUCCUUUCUCUUUAGAUGGACUAGCUAAAGACUGGUUGUACUACUUGCCUCCUGGAUCAAUUACAACGUGGAAUGGUUUGAAGAAGCAAUUCCUCGAGAAGUACUUUCCUGCUUCAAGAGCUGUUAACAUCAGAAAAGACAUUUGUGGGAUCAGACAACUUCCUGGGGAGACUUUGUAUGAGCAUUGGGAGCAAUUCAAACAAUUGUGUGCCAGCUGUCCUCAGCAUCAGAUUUCUGAUCAACUUCUUAUUCAAUAUUUUUACGAAGGACUGUCAUUGAUGGAUAGGAGUAUGAUAGAUGCUGCUAGUGGAGGCGUGUUGGUGAACAAGACCCCUACUCAAGCAAGGGAGCUGAUAUCAAAUAUGGCUGCCAACGCACAACAAUUUGGCAGCAGGUAAGAUCUCACUUCAAGGAAGGUGAAUGAGGUAAAUAUUUCUUCUGUUAAACAACGUUUAGAUAAACUUACUUCUCUUGUGAAAAAGUUUGUUGUAGGUAAUGUGCAACAGGUGAAGACUUGUGGCAUUUGUUACAAUAUGGGUCAUUCAACUGAUAUGUGUCCUACACUUCAAGAAGAACCCGUUUAACAAGCCAAUGCAGUUGGAGGAUUUCCAGGCAUGCCUUAGAGGAGGUAUGAUCCUUAUGCACAAACAUACAAUCCGGGAUGGAAGGAUCAUCCCAACUUCAGCUAUGGAGUUAGGCCGUCAGGAUUCCCACAACAGUAUCCACCAAGACAACUAGCACCUCCACAGUCAAACUCCAAGUUAGGUAUAUCUCUUGAAGAAAUUGUUAAAUCACUUGCAACUAACACUCAACAAUAUUAGCAGGCAACUAUAGCAAGCAUUCAGAAUUUGGAGAACCAAAUGAGUCAAUUGGCGACUACAGUGAGCCGUCUGGAGUCUCAAGUAUUAGGGAGAUUGCCUUCACAAUCUGAGGUGAAUCAAAAGCAAAACGUUAGUGCUGUCAUCCUUAGAAGUGGGAAGGAGUUGCAAGAGCCUAGUAAGAAAGUGACAAAGCAUGUAGAAGAUGAGCUUGAGAAGAAUGAAUUGAUGCCUAAAUCUCAAGAUGCACAACUCACCAGAGCGAAACCCCUACCUAUUGUGAUACCUCCUCCUUUUCUAAGCCGGUUUGCAAAAUCCAAGAAGGAGGAACAAGAGAAAGACAUCCUGGAGACAUUUCGCAAGGUUGAGGUAAAUAUUCCUUUAUUAGAUGCUAUAAAACAAAUACCUCGAUAUGCUAAAUCUAUUUUUUAGCCCCUACCUCCUUGGCUAAGAUCUAACUUGGGUGGCAAAUUAAAUAAACUUGUUUGAAACUACUCAGCCACAUCUUUAGGGGUAUUAUUGUUAGUUGCUUAACUACUAAAUUAAUAAAAUUUGUAAUAUUUUCAAUAAAGAUUUUCCUAUAAUAUUGUAUAAGCUUUUAUAGUAUUAAUAAUGGGACUAUUGUGGACCCAUGAAUUUAAGUGUUUUAUGGUGCAUUCAGUAUUGUUUUCAAAUUUCAUUUUCUGUCUUCUAAAUUCAAGAAACAUCAAAUACAUGUUUGGUAGAUUGUUUCUAAAUAUACCUUUGAAAAUUUAAAAUUUAUUUAUACUUUUAACUAAGAAAAUAAGAAAACAACAUUUUCUUGUUUUCUUUGUUUCCCAAUUCAAUUUAAGCUUCAAUAUGAAAAAUUUUCUUCCGCCAUCUCUCAAAAUAAUAAUGACAUCAACAACAACAAAGACAACAACAACAACAUUGUUGUUGUUGUUGUUGUUAUUAUUAGACCACCUAAAAAUCAACUUCCAUUAUAAUAAUCUUUUCUUCUUUUAUGCAUUAUAAUAUUUAUGCUUUUAUAUAUUAAUUAAAUCAAGUAUGCAUAGUUUAUCAUUUUUCUUUAAACAAAAAAAGAUCACCUAAUUUAUUCUUAAAGUUAAAAAAUCAAACUAAUUAAACAAUUAAAAUCACCUAAUUACACUACUUAAUAUUAAGUUUAUGGAAAUUAUUCUAAUAAUAAUUAUUUAAGCUAUUCCUAUCGAGCAUGUUUUUCUUUUUUCUCACGUUCAAGAUUAUUUUCGAAAAUGAUAUCGAACACAUUUAAAAAUUUUUAAAAAUAAAUUCGAAAAUAGCAUUUUCAUUCUCAUUUUUUUUAAUGAAAACAACAAUUGAAAAACAAUACCUAAAUAUGAUAUAAUGAUAAAAAUUUAAUGAAAUAUAUAGUAGUGGGUAAUCUUCAGGUUAUAAGUGAAUGUAGAUAUAUAUAUAUAUAUUACUUUCAACUAAUAGAUAAAAGAAAUUUUCUAUGGUGUUGGGAUGAAAAUCCCAUUAUCAAUGAUGAGAUUAUUAUUGAUCAUUAGAUUUAAAUAUUAGAAUCUUCAACCUUAAUUUAAUUUUAAUAGUAAGUAAUUGUGUAACAAGUAAUUUGCAUGUUGUGAUAUUUCUUUAUACAUUAAUUUAUUUUUAUCCAAUCAAUUGAUAAACAUUUUUAGGUCACCAAAAAAUUGUAAAAAAAAGUAAAAGUAAUUCUGAAAUUAAAAACGUUAUAUACUGCCUAUAGCUAUAUAAUUUUACUGUUUCUUCUUUCACAAUUAAUAUUCAUAUAAAAAUAGCUUCUAAAUAAAUGUAAUAUUACUCCAACAAUAUUUUAUAGGGACAAUGACACCUAUACCCUACAGUUUAGGGAAAUGUUCACAAAUAUCUCUAAGUUUUCAGGAAGGGACAUCAACACCCAUUUUAACCAUAAUGCCCUUUGAAUUUAAUAAUUAGAAAAUUGACUUUAAGAUUUUUUAAUUGACAAAUUUAAUAUAAAUAAUAUAAUCUAUCAAGUAGACUAAUAAUACUAAAUUAUUUUUAACAUUUAAAAUAAUAUUAAAAUUUUAAAUUAUUAUAUUUAUUUUAAUAAUAUAUUUGUAUAUAUUAUAAACAUUUUAAAUAAAUCUUGGGUUAAAUAGAUUUUACAAUUAAAAAAAAUACCCCUAUUAAUAAUAUGAAAAUUAUUUUUACAUAAUAUUUAAAAUAAUUUUAAUUUUAAUUCAUUUAUUUUAAUAUUAUGUUUCUAUUUGUUAUUAAAAGUUAAUUUAUUAUCUUAAAUUUGUAUUAAUUAAAAAACUUUAAAGUAAAUUUUCUAAUUCCUAAAUUCAAAGGACAUUACGAUUAAAAAGGGGUUUCGGUGUUCCUUUUUGAAUACCUGGAGAUCUUUGCGACCAUUUCCCCAUACCUUAGAGGUGUAAGUGUUUUUUUCCUUACUUUAUAUAAAGAUAUUUCAUAGAUCUUAUAAUAAUUUAUACUGUAUGAAUUUAAUCAAAUGACCAUUAAUACUUAAACAUUAAUAAUUAUAGAAGGUAUUGUAAUAAAUUAUUUGAUAUAUAUUAUUAAUGAUACUAUAUAUGUGUGUAUAUGACUACAUGAUGGCUUGGAUAUAUAUUUUUAGUAGUAAGUAUUUUAACUUAAAUUUUUAAAACAAAAUUUAUACUAUUGAUUUCAUGUAAUUCAAUGGUGGAUGAUUUAGCAUCAUAAAAUAUUGUUUUGAUGUUUAAUAUAAUCAUUAAAUUGUGAGAGAUUAAUUUCUCAAAUUUUGUGUUAAAAUUUUAAGUUAAAAUAUCCCAAACCAAUUGUUUUAUGAAAAUACAAAAAUAUAUAAAGAAUUUUUCUCAUUAAUUUUCAUAUGAAUAUUAUUAUAGGUAAUAUUUUAUAUAUUGUCACCAUUAAUUACCAUCAUUAAAAUAGUGACUCUUAGUAAUAUAGAAUUUUAUAAUAAGUUAAUUGCAACCAAAGGAUACCAACAAAUAAUAUUUCACGAUUCAUAAACUAAAGCUAAUUAAGAAUAUAUUUUAGGUUUAACUUUUAUGAAAUCAACAAAAUGAUAUUAGAAAAUAAAAUGAAAAUAGACUAGUGAAAGCUUUGAGUAAUUUUCUGCAAUGAAAGAAUAUUAAUUGUAAUAUAAACCAUAAUUUCAUCGUAUAGCUACGCUAAAUGGGAGUAACAAAUAAUAUAUACUUUACGAUCAACUAUUAAAUGGUCCUUAAUAGCAUAUAAAGUAGUGGGUAUUUUAAUAUAUACUAUUAAACUUUUUUAAAACAUAAGUAGUUAAGUAUAUGAUUUUUAGGAUAUAAACAAUCACAACCAAAUGUUUAUUGAUGUAAAUUAUAUGGCAUUCAGUUAAAUGUACAUACUUAAUUCUAAUUGGUUAAACAAUUCUCUUUCUUUCUUCGCUCUCUUACGACUUGAGGCACAUAACUAAACGCGUGGCUAUUAGCAUUUGCCACCAUGUAUUUAACAACCCCAAAUGAAGAUAUUAAUUUUUUUAGUUUAAUUGCUGCUUCAAAAUGGGGUACUGCAUUUGGAUUUUGUUAUUCAAAUACCAAAAUGUUCCCACAUUGUGUUGGACAGUUUUUGGUUCUAAAGUUGAUGACUGGUUUUGCCAAUCAGGCUUCAAAUGAGAACUUCUAAACAAUAAGACAAAUGGGUUUUGAGUUUAUAAUCUUGUAAACUUUGUUCUAUUGUAUAAGUUAUGAAAUCGUUGAAACAUCACUACAGCUACAGGUCUUUAUGUGUCAAUGAACUGCAGAAGCUGAUGAUCUACUUGUAGUAGACUUCUAUUGCCCCUGCCAUUCUCGGAAGACAAACAAGUUCAGGAACUACUUCUGGACCAAACUCAUAAUAUUGCCACUGCUUUGUGCCAAUCUGAGACGGAAAGAAGAUUGAAGUUCCUAAAUAAGGCACAUCAUGAUUUAAUAGAAGUACCACUAUAAGGAAAAAUUGAUUUCAGGAAAGCACUAAAAUAUGACAUAAUCUCCCCCUAAUGGUCUAAAGUAGUCAAAAAAUUAUAUCAACCAAGCAAAAACACAUAAACUAGUUGAGAUACAAAGUUAUCAUAAAAGUCAAUUUUGAUCACAAAUCCAUUAAAAUUAAAAGACAUCAGAAAGUUAGAGAACAUUAUAAUUUAGGACUCAGCUAAGUUGCAGAUUCUGUAACUAACAGCUGAGUCCACAUUGGCCUUGCAUCAGCUGAGUUUGGGUUGCUUUCCUCUCUCCUGCAACGCGUGGAAGCGUCCCAUUUGCUGUGUUAUAUACAGAGUCGGUACCGUAGCAAGCUCCUAUAAUUUAAGUUUGACUACUGUGGACAAUAGUCUGCCUCUGUUCAAAAGCUAUGCUGCAAGAUAUAGCAUCUUUGCAAUGUUAUACUUUCUAAAAGUAAUAAGAAAUGAAACCAAGGGGUAAAUCGAACACCAAAAGAAAUUUAGUCGGCCAACCACAUUAUGUUCCCACACAGUCCACCAAUUAAGUUAAUAAUUAAAGGGAAUCAAAAUCUAAGAAAUCUCAUCUUCAAGCAAAAUACAAACACACCGGGAUUGAAAAUCAUAAAAUCAUAAAAAGAAGCUGACUUGAAAAGCUCAAAUAUACGUUCAUCAGCCUCUCAACUUAUAUCUAAGAACAAAUGCCUGCAGCUUGUGAAGACAUAGAUAAUUGAAGCUGAUGAGGCAUAUUUAACAGAUGAUAAUCAAAACUCGUGUGAUUAAAAUUAUAAUUCAAUAAUCGAGCACAUAAAACAAGAAGUAACUAGUUGUAUAUAUACCAAACAACUUUCUGAAGUUAAGGCGUAAAACAACAACGUAGAACAAAUUAAUUAAAUAUACCAGCACCAAUACUCUUAUUAUUAUCCAAAUAUAGAAGACCAAUGUAUCAAACAAGGAAAAUGAAAUAUUGUUAAUAACUCAAAAACCACUAGUGUCAAGAAAUAAACUAAUAAGUAAAACCCAUAACCAGACACGACCACUUCAAAAUCUCUGAAAAUUGAGGUCUAAACAUUGAAAACAAUUAGACAUAUAUAACAGUCAAUCGAAACAAAGCCUCAAAAUAAUAAUGAACUACAAUAAGACAGAAACUAAAUUGUAAACAACCGCAUACCCAAUAACAGUAAUCAAGUAACGAGUCAAAACCAGAAUCAAACGUAGAAUUUGAAAUCCAUACGAACUCUAACGUAUUAGAAUGAAAGAAUAAGGACGAUCGAUAAACUAGACUAAAAAAAAAACAUGCCCAGUUAAAAAACGAAGGUAAAUAAAUAAAAAUGGUAUAAAACUGCGAAAAAAAUUAAUUAAAUGAAGAGAAAAUCACAGGAAUCCUAUGAAAAGGAAGGUAAACAAAACCUUCGGGAGCCGAGAAGAUGCCUUUUUUUGUUCACUUUUGUGCCUAUACAUACAUUUUUUUUUUUUGUUGGUAAUUUUGAAGAAAGUAUUGGUUAAAUAUUGUUAGAACGAAAUAUUAAUAGAUGCUGGAAAUUUCAACAAGGACAAUCUUCGAUUCAAAUGUAUCCCUAUGAUAAAGAAAAAGCCUACUUGGCUAAAUUUUGAGCACCACAUUACAAGAUCUAGGUGUAUGUAACCAUGCAAAAUGAAACAUCUAUUAAUUGUAAGUCCCUUGACCUCUGGAACCAGCCAACCAGUCUCUUUCCUGCUAGACAACCUUCCAUCGAUCAGACUAAUAAUAUUUACUAAAUCAUGUUCUACAGUUAAUGGAGUUGGACCCAAGGCAAUUGUUAGAAGUCCGCCUAGACAUAGAGUGCGCUUAGAAGUGGGAUGCUUAGAGAUGGGCCGCCAACACAACCAGCCAACCGUAGUGUGCUUAGCAAAUCACCCAAGCCCGGCCCAAGAUCUAGAACUAUCUACAAAUUGUAAAUAAGCUAAAAGUUUCUAAGUUUCUCCACAUAGGUCCCUAGGAUAUUUAUGGAAGUUGCUAGGAAGUUUCCUCCCCUAGAACUCUAAUACCUAUAAAUAGGGGUAAGCCCCCUCAUUUGCCCACCAACCACACCACACACACAAACACUCUAGCACACACACAAGCUCUCUAGCUUUUGUAAAAAGCUCUCUUGUAUAUUUUCUCUUUGUGAGUAAUAAAAUCAUAUUCAGCCAUAUUGCUCUACUUCUCUCUAGCAUUUUCUGCAAGUGUUCUUGCUUCGCUAGUUUGAGGAGUGUUCUAGGGUUGCUUAACAACUUGUUCGCUAGAAGGACAUCAUGGUCACAAAACAUGGACAUGCAAGAAAAAAAUAAUAUUGAUACGUUCUAAAAAUAAUAUGCGUUCUUCUACAGUGAACCAAAAAAUUUAGGCUAAUGGUAGCAAGUGAAGGAAUUGUGAUUUCACGUGCAUUUUGUUGACAUGAACGUAAAGGACUUUUUUUUAUAGUUUAUAUUGUUUAAUAUAACAUUUGAAUUGCAAAAUAGGGGUACAAAAUAGAUACACGAAGUGAUAAAACUAAGCUGAUUAUAAUAAAUAUUGAAUUAUAAGAUUUAGGUUUAAUCAGAAAGACAUAAGUGGCGCACAAAGUCACGAAUUGAUAUCAUCCAUGAUGCAAGUUCAAACAACUGCAUAAUAAGUUGCCCCAAGCUAAACUAUUAAUCUAGUAACUAUUCCAGUCGAUGUGGGAUAAUUUUCCUAUCACCAACUAUCACGUGCAAACCGAAUUUUUUGCUUGGUCCUUACAUGUGGUAAGGUAAUAUGAAUCCACUUGUGCAUAAAUUUGGCUCAGAUACUAUAUAGAAGCCUAUGACCCAAAAUUAGACUUAAAGGUUAUCUCAAGAUUUGAGGGUUGCCUCAAGCUCAUAUUAUUAUUAGCCUGGUAACCUUUUUUGUUUGUUGAUAUGUGAUAUUUUCCCUAUAACUUUUAUUAAUCUUUAUGCUUAUGUUUUGUCAUUUAUCCCAAAAUAUAACAUUAACAAAAGUUCCAAAAUUUCCUUCAAGAGAUAUAUUUGAGACAAGGAAUUUGUGCAAUAACUUUGUAAAUUGAUGAGCAAAUUCAGAGAAAAGAAUAUAUGUGCCAAACAUAACGUUUAUUAUUGUGUUUAUUUGUAGAGCUAUUUAAAGCCCAAAAAAAAAAAAAAGCACCGGUCCGCUAUGAUUUCAAAUAAGUUCAAGCCCUAUGUCAUUAUUGGUACAAAAAUGUAUCAAAAAGGUUAAAAACUAUUUUUAAAGGUUAAAAACUAUUUUUAUUUAACUUAUAAACUUAGGAAAUUAUCAACUGUUCGCCUUUAAAUUGCGCUAUUAUAAAAAAUAUUACAAUAUUUUCAGGUUGUGUCAUUCAUCUACCAUAAAUUUACAAUAUGCAUCAUUUAUCCACCAAAUCAUUAACUUCGUCAAAAAGUGAUAGACGUCACAAGGGUAAUUUAGACAUUUAACACAAAAAAAUAAAAGAGAAAUUAUCUAAGCUUACCAUGUUAUCAAAAUUGCUACAAAAUUUUAAAUUUGUUCAAUUUUCUAAUCUAAGUUUAUGACCUCCAAGAUGUUAAUUGCAGUUUGUAAUUAAUGACUUCAUAAGGAUAAUUUAGACACUCAAUAUGCAAAAUAAAAAAUAAAAUAAUGGCUUAAAACAUUAAAACAAAAAACUACUUUUUAUAAUUGAUAUUCAAUUAAAUACACAUAAACUCUAUUUUUUCUUAAUUAAAAAUAUUCUAAUUUAUUUUCUCAAUUUAUCUUCAUAAAUUUACAUUAAUAAACUAAAUCCACAAAUUACCCUAAACCCUAAUUCAUAAAUGCCCAAUCAAUCUAAUAGUUUAAUUCGAUUUCAUAAUUAAAAAAAGCUAAAUUUAUUAUAUUAGUUAUGGUGCAAAGUAAAAAAUGUCCUUAAAUCCAAGGGUAAAAUAGCAUUUUAUUUAAAUUCUAUAAAUUAUUCUAACAAUGUUAACAUUUUGGUGGACGGUUAAUAUAAGUUACAAACUUAAAAUAGAAAAUCAAAUAAAUUCAAAAUUUCAAACUAUUUAGGGCAAAUUUAGGAUAAUAAUGGUCAAUUUAUUAUAAUUCUAUUAAUUUUUUAAUGGAAGCAAGCGAUAUAAUGGAUGAAUGAUAUAAAUUGUAAAAUUAAGGUGCAUGAACGAUAUAAUUUUAAAGUAUUGUAGUACUUUUAAUAAUAGAACAAUUUAAAGGUGGAUUGGCGAUAAUUUAAACUUUAAUGAAGCAACUAAAAAAUAUUUUUAACAAAGAAAAAUAAUUGAAUGCUUUGUGAAACCAAAAAUAUUUGAAAUGUUUUAAGAAAAAUAAAGGAAAUUAAAUAUCUUUUUAAAAAACAUAAUUGAGUAAAAUCAUUUUACAAAAUGCUCUUUCAAAUGCACAUUCCACAAGCCAAGAAGAACGGGUGGCUAACAAAAAUCUCACUUUUUAUGAGUUUAUAAAAUCUCACUUUCGCAAAAUCCAAAAAUAACCAAUACUAUCACACAAAAAAUAAAAAGUAUUGCUGUCACGACAUUACACACUUUCUUCGCCGUCUAGAAAGGUAGAACAUUUUGAAGUUCCUCAAUACAAAAUGCGUGCUAUUACUAAAUUGGCCCAAUUAAUGCCCAUCGAAAGGCCAUCAAUUUAGCCACCAAAUUUGCCAAAGUUUUAACAAUUGAAGAAAUAGUGAACUCAAAAGGAACAGAUAAAUUUUGAAGUUGAACAAACCUUAAGGUACAUACAACAAAGCCUUGAAACUUUAGUCUUCACAAUUUAAGCACGCAAUAAUAUUAAGUAUCCACCUAAAAAACAAGUAUAGAACAAAGCUUGUUAGCUUCUUGGGCAUUAACUAUGAAUGAUGAGUAAAAUUAAAAAAGCAAACAGAGAAAAUUAUAAGAAGAAGAAAAGCAAACAGUUAAAAAAAAAUUAUGAGAAGGAAAAUUUUGGUAGAACUCCGCGGCUCAUCUGUGAAAUUAAUGUCAAUAUGUAUUUUUAUGUAAAUAGGGUCUCUGGAUUUUAGGAUGAAUCAAUCAGCUACCACAAACGAAAACAUGAACCAACUAUAUAUAGAGUCAAUCAACUAUAAUUAAAGUUCUCAAGAGCUUACCUCUGCUCCAGAAUUCUCGGAAUCAUCUAUUUCCUUCUGAAUUUGCGCGAAGCUUGGGACAACUAAGAAAGCGUCCAUGUGGAGCUGGGAUCUGAUAACCCGCAGGCCAAAAGUUGGUGAGGUUUGGUAAAUCUAACAGUGUCAAGUUCCAAAAUCCAUUCAUAACAAUUUCAUUGUAAUCCGUGACAUCUGCUCCAUCUUUAUGCCAGAAUACUUCUUCUAAUUCAUAAUUACUUUCUACCCAUAGUUGAGUUAGAUUUUGAAGACUUGGAGCUACGCUAAUAUGAAAUAGAUGCUUUAGUUUGGGGCAGUUGUAGAAAGUGAUCCUUCUGAGUUUUGGGAAACAUACAGGUUGGAGAUGAUCCUCAUCCUCAUCCUCAUCAAUGAUUUGCUCUAAUUCCAAGCAUUUCCGAACAGAUAACUCCUCCAAUUGCAACAGAUUUCGAGCAAGUGUCGAUGAGAGGAGACGUUUCAACUUAGAGCACCGGAUCACGAGUAAACGGGUAAGAUUUUGCAGGCUAAAAAUAUGCGUGGGACCUUCAUGAUAUAAUACUUGCAGUUCUGGAAGAUUUUUCAAUUGCAACGACUUCAAACAUGGGAAUAGUUUGUUUUCUUGUCCCUCAGCGAUAAUAGCUUCCAAUUGAAACACCACAUGUACUCCAAGUUGGCUAAUUUUCAAAUCUUCCAAAUUUUUUAAGUCGUGCUUCAACAGUGCUGGAAUCGUGUCACUCAAAUGGGAACAAUUGUCCACAUUUAGAAUUUUUAAGUUCUGAGACAAAUAAAUAAAUAACUUGAUGUAAUUAAAAUCUAUUAGCAGCUAAGAUUAUCACAUGAUAAGUGACGAACACCGCAAAAAACAAAAAUAGAAACAAAAUCCAUACAAAAAUAUAAUAAUACAUAUGUAAACUAAUAAAAUAAUUAAAAAGUAAUAUGGAUUGAUCAUGUGAAGUGAUAUAAAGGUGACAUUAGAUUGUUUGAGAAAAAUUAGUAUUCUAUUAAUUUCUAUGGAUUGAUCAACUAAUUAAUUGAAUUUGAGUAAUAUUAUAUACACUUCAGUAAGUGUUUCUAUCAAUUCUUUCUAAACCAAAAUGAGAUAAGACUUCCAUUUGAACAAUGAUUUUAGGCCCUAAAAUAAAGAAAUUUCCCUAAGAUAUUUGAGCAUUAUUAUUAUCAUCACCACAUCCACGAUCAUCAUCAUCUCCAUAGGACCAAAUAAUUAAUGGCUGAUCAUAAAAUUUAUUGCUAAAUUAUCAUUUUGAGUAAAAUUGAAGGAAAAGAAAAAAUGUAAACACAAACAAACAUACCUCUUCAAGAUACUGCAAAUUGGCUUCAAGUUCAGUACUGCUGACGGUCAAGUUGGGACAGUGCCUAAGGUGUGACUCUUCCAAUGCUGUCCAAAUUGAACAAUAAUUUUCUGAACAGAAGCUCUUGAGUUUUGGGAGAUUGUGAAGUGUUAAUUUUGUCAACAAAGGGAGGGCAAGCAUCGUAUUUCCAUCUCCAACACUUAUUUCCCCUUCAUUAUGAUCAAACUUUGCUUCGACAAUACAUUCCAUUCUCCGGCAUCCACUUACAUAGAGACUUUUAAGCUGCUUCAAACUUCUAGCUUGUGACAACGUGAAGAUAUAUGUCAAAUUGUUGCAUCCACACACAGUCAAUUCUGUAAGAGCUUGGAGGCUGAUCACAUAUUGGGCGGGCGCCUUCCAUAUCCACUUCAGUUCUGGUAAUUGCCACAUAGAUAACUCUGCUAAUCUUGAGAGCAUCACAGGAUUCCCACUCUUUCCAUGCGGCGACUUAGAGGCAUCCAUUAUGCAUUCUAAUUCUUUGCACUCGUUGACAGAAAGACAAGUCAACUCAUUUAAGCCCCUUGGAUCUAUGCUUGGCACAAUAUUGUGACAACCUAUAAUCGUUCUUAAAUUAAGAAUUUCCAGUUCUUGAUACAAUGCCGAAAAAAUACCGAGAGAGGUUGCUUCACAAUUAUUAAUCUUUAAGCCCCUUCUCUGUCCAAAAAUUUCAUCUUCUUCUUGCAUUAGAAAUUCAAGUUUGUUACCAUUACUGACGUGGUGCCUUUCCAAUUUCGGGAAUGUAAAGUCUUUUGGAAGACGUGCAAUUUUUUUGCCAGUAUGUAAAGUCUUUCCAUCGUCAUUUUCUUCUGAACUCAUCCCUUCAGCCUCCCAAUCUUUUAUCCGACCAUAAAAUUCUUCUAAUUGAGGAAAUUUUUUUAUCGUAAUGGGAGAAAUACAACCAGAAUUAAUGAAUAUAAGAAGUUUCAAUCUACUAAGUUGAUCCCCAAAUUCUUCAGGAAUUUCAAUGGGAGACUCCUUGACACAAAGAAUUUGAAGUCUCUUCAACUUUCCAAGGAAAGAUGCGUCACUUACUUUACAUUGAAUCAACUGCAGAACUUGGAGGUUGGUGAGGAAUUGAAGCGAUUUAAGUGAAAUGACUCCACCUAUUACAGUAACAACUUUCAAUGCUGGCAUCCCUUCGAAAAAAUGCUCUGGAACGUGAAAUUGAUAGUCAUAACCACUAGGAAGCUCUUCUUUUACAUAUCCCAGGAAAGAGAUUCCUUCGUAUUGUUCCAUUGCCCGUUCCGCCAAUCCAUCUGUAGUAACAACUUUCAAUUUGUAGUUAUAUACAGUAUUCUGCAGUUGCAAAAUUUGAAGGUUAGGACAUACCAAACUGGUAGGAAGCUCUUCUUUUUUAUUUCCUACCAAUGAGAUUCCCUUGCAUUGUUCCAGGCUUUCUUCCACUACCCGUUCUGCCAAUCCAAUGCCAACUUUACUAGUAAAAUAUUUCUUUCCCACUGAGCCUAUCCAUAAGGAAACAUCACGAACAAUGUCAUGCAUUUUCACAGAUCUAUCAUUACCGGUGUCUAACAGCAGUGAAGAAGCUUUGAGCUCUUUAAUCGUUCCACUCACUAGGAUCCUGGCUUCUUCGAUUGACUCAACUUGAUACCAAUCCAACGCCACUGCAUAUCCAACCAAAUCAUUCGAAUCUAUCUCAUAAUCUUCUGGAAACAGCGAACACAACAAAAAGCAUGACCUGGAAUCCUCACCAUUCAAAUAAUCGUAACUAAAUUUGAGACAAUGGUAAACGUCUUGGUCAUCCUUACCAAUACCUUCUAUUGUAUUGAGUUUUGCAUUUUUUAGUUUAUGUAGAGCUACUUUCCAUUGACCAAAUCCUUUACCUCUUAGCGCACUUCCAACAGCCUUAAUAGCUAAAGGCAACCCCUUACAUUCAUUAGCAAUUUUUUCUGAAACACCAAUCAAGGUUGAAUCAGCAUCAAUGCCGGCAUGCUUUCUUAGUAAAGCCAAUCCUUCUUCUCGCUUUAGAACACCGAGUUGAAUCUGCGUGUCACAACCCAUGCGAUCACAAACUGGCUGAAGGCGAGUGGUUAGAAGGAUUUUGCAACAAUUGUCUCUAUCACCAACAGGAAUACCUAUUGUCUCCAAGUCAAUUUCAUUCCAGACAUCGUCAAGGAUUAUGAGGAUCUUGGGGCUUUUACUCUCAGAGAACAUCAAGCGCAAUCGGUCUGCUCUAUCCUUCUCAUCUUUCUCCGUUAAUGCCCAACCUAACGACUUUACUAGCUCACUUUGAACAUUUAUUAUAUUUGGAUCCCGAGAUAUAGUGGCUAUCCCUACGUGAUCGAAAAUCUUUUGUUGCCGAAGUUGAUUGCCCGCAAAUUUUGCCAAGGUCGUCUUUCCAACACCACCGAGACCAUGCAAUCCCACCAUCUUUGUGCUCUCUUUUUUCAGUGCUUCAAUGAUCUGAUUACAAGCCAAUUCUGUAGUCUCGAAAGACAUAAAAUGUCUUGGUGCAGGCAAUUCUUUGUUCAAUGGUAGAGGUUUAGGAUGGGCAACAGUGCUGAAUUUGCCGCGGUCUAGUAGAUCGGCCAACUUGCUAGUCUUCUUUAAUGCUUUUCUUCCCAGCCAAUAUCGGCAACCCCAAUUAGGACACCAUCCAUUAAGACAACUCUUGUUUUCAUCUAUCUUUGCUUUCAAAUUUUGAACAUUGGCCAUUUCUUUGACUACAUCCGCCAGCCACUUCUCUACAUCUUUCUCCACUACUACGGCGCGGUGUUUUUGUCGAUCUUGUUCUACUUUUUCAUUGAUGCCAUCUUGUGCCUCCUUCAAAUUAGUUUCGUUAUCCCCAAGUUCUUUAAUAAUGCUGUUGAAGCAGAAUAAAUAGCGAGCUUGGUUUAUGGUUGCGUCCGCCAAUAAUUCUCCAAGCUUUGAUGCAACACCUGAUAAAAUUUCCAUGCUAUUUAUCUGCAAUUAAUGAAAUUGAUCUCAGUAUGCUAUAAGCAAUUAAAACAACAUGGCUUGAUCGCAAGAUCGAACGUGAACGUUUAAUUACUUUAAUUUUUUUUCUUUUGGCUUAUUAACGCCAGCAUUGAUCAAUAAGAGCAAAAUGCAAAACAAAGGAGAAGAAAUAAGGUAAACGUUAUAUAUGAUGGAUUACAUUGAAAUUAGAUUACUUUAGAAAUUUUUAAAUAAAAAUUUAAUAGAAUCCGGAUAAACCUAAGAGUUUGUUGUGCAUUGCGAGUGAAGACAGGCAGUUGCAUGGGGAAUAUGAUAAAAGUGAUGAAUAACUGAAAAGCCACCCAUAAUAACAAUUAAAAAGAGUAUUAGAGAUUAGAGGAGUUCAACAUUCUAUGCAAGCCCACUCACGAUAAAAUUUGAAUGGUUUCAACAGGAUUACCAUUUUUUGACCUUUAAUAAAUAUUCUAAUAAAAUAAUACCAUAAUUCCAAACAAUAUCUGAAUUUCUUUUUCCUUCAAAUGUUCAUUAAACUCACAUAUUGGAUAAUUAAUUUAAUUAUUUUUUAAAAUUAUUUAUUACCCUAUCUUAUUGUUCAAUAGAUAUAAAUGACACCUUAUUUGGUAUGGUAAAAAUUGGGGUAAAUUUUCUUUUAUUCUCUAAAGUUUGGACCUAUUACCAGUUAUAUAUAGUAUUUGUAUUUUGUAAAAUUUUACCUAAAACGUCCAUGUCAUUACUUUUAUAGCUAUUGAACCUGAAUUUUCCAGUGUAAGAUAUUAUUUUUGUCUAUUAUAAAUUAAAAUUCAAAUAAAUCUAUCAUGCAACAAACAAAACGUAAAGAAAAUUAAUUAGGUUUUAAUUGGAAACAAAUAUAAAAUAUCGAUUUUUUUAUUAAUUUUUGUGAAUUCUUUUAUUGUUCGAAUUAGAAUUGAAUAAUUUGUAUAAGGAUAAUUUAUAUGAAGAUAAUCUGCAAAAUAAGCUUAUAUGCCGAAUUUAAAAGAGUUAUAUUAGCAAUCAUAUAUUUAUCAAAAUUUUUAAUAAAACUAUUGUUUAAAAAUUGGCCAAAUGGGUUUCAUGAAGAAAAUAGAAGGGCAUGAACAAUUUAAAAGACGUAUUAAAUGGACCAAUUUGAAAUGGUAUGAGAGCACAAUGAACUCAUGUUGGUACCUGGGUAGGCAAAUUAAUUUUAUUUUUAAAGUAUGGUUAACAGUACUGACUUGGAGGUGAUUGACGUUAAGUUAAAUUAAUGCAAACAAAUGGUAAAAAUAAUUUAAUGAAAAUUAAUUAAUAAAAAAAUGCAUUAAAAAAUUAGAACUUAAGUUCUUGAUCAUUUUGUCCGUAUGUUUUUAAUCCAACGCUCAGAAUUGGCGUAAAACUAGCCAUUGGAAGUAAAACACAAAAAUCGAAUUAAGGGCCUAUGAAACAAUAAGAUCUCAUACCUUCUUCGUUAUAAAUCCUCAAUUACUGUUGAAAGCUCCAGUUAAGAGAGUCGCACAAGUUCGGAGAAAAUUAAAAAGCUGCAUAUGGCAAUAUAAAUAAACAUCAGAUCAAAACGAUAUAGGAUAUAUCUGGCUAAUUAACAUCUUAUAUAAGUCCUUGUUCUCAGUCAAAUCUUUCAUACUUAGAAAAAAAAAAAGAUUGAAAUAAUAACUGUAUGUUUUUAAUCCAACGUGCAAAAUUGGCAUAAACAAACUAAUAUAGCAUAAAACAAACAUCAAAUUAAGAGCCUAUGAAAUAAUAAUAUCUCAUACCUUCUUCAUUAUAUAUCCCCAAUUACUACUGACAGCUCCAGUUAGAGUGGCAUAAUUUCCGAGAAAAUUAAAAGCUGCAUCUAGCAAUAUAAAUAAACAUCAGGUCAAAACAAAAUAGGAUAUAUCUAGCUAAUGAACAUCAUAUAUAAGUCCUUGUUCUCUAUCAAAAUCUUUCCUUCUUAAAAAAUAAUAAUAAUAAUAACAAUAAUAAUUGAAAUAAUAACUGUGGGUGACACAUGAAGCAAAAGUAACAUACCGAAAUGAGAGCAGCUCACAUAUCUGGUGACUUCCAAGAGAAUGAAAAAUGAAUGACCUUCGGCAGCAAGAUCCAAAUCAAGUAUCACAAAUUGCUACUGACUUCGUGGCUUCACUUUCCUUUUCUUUUUCUUUUUUUUUAUAUCACAGUGUGAAUUGAAAGGUGAAAAGUGAAAUGGUACACAUGCGUAUGAUGAGGGGGUAAUUUUUAGACACCUGCCCGAGGUUUAAGGUCUUCUGAAUUAGAUGGAUUGUAUUUUCGUAUUAUCAAAUACCUCCCCUGCCCGUUUUUAUUCCAUUUAGUAUUUUCUAAAUGGCUGAAGGUAAAUUGGUAAAAACUCAUUUAAAAUAAAAAAAAAUCAAAGAAAUUCAAGAAGAAGCUUUAUAUCUGCCAUUUGUAUUUGGGGUAUCUUUUUGGUUGUUGAGUGAAUGAGCUUAAAUCUUAAAUAUUUAUUUUCUUAUUAUAUAUUUCUUAUUGGAAAGAAUUUGAAUCUUAUUCUUAUUAAACUUAUUCUCUUUAAAUAAAAGUAGAUUUCUCUCCAUGUAUUUAGUGUGUAUUUUGAAAUUAAUGUUCAACAUAUCUUUAGAUCCUAUUAUAAAUAUUCAUAUCUAAAAUCUCAACAGAUUCCAACAUAUAAAUAUAUAUAAAGAGAGAGAGUAACGUUCUAAUAAGAAAUUUUUUAAAUUAUCAAAUUAAAGGAUAAUUCAAAAGAUAAAAAAAUACAUAAUCUAAUAUAUUAUAUAACAAAAUAUACUAUAUUAAAAUAUAUAUUUUGCUUAAUUUUUUAAUAUAUCCCAUAAUAACUUAAGAAAUCCUUUAUUUACCUGAUAUAUAUAUAUAUAUGUAUAAUUUUUUACAAAAUAAACAAUUUAGAGUAAAACAAAGGACAUUCUGGGGCCUUUUGCUAGACUACCAAUCUACCAUUUUGGAUUGCAAUAAAGUGAAAAUACUGGACUACCAAUCUACUAUUUUGGAUUGCAAUAAAGUUAAAAUGGGUUACACCAAAAAAGUAAAAAAAAAAAAAAAGUGACAAUCAAUCUUGUCGGCCAAUACAUCGAGUUUUUUGCCGGAUUAGUAUCACCGUCAAAAACAAAUUAUUGCAAGCACUAGCAAAAAGCAAUCGAUGAUUUCGCAAUUUGGUUGUUAAAAAGCAAACUAGAUCACGAUUCCUCAAUUCAAAAUGGGGCAAAAUUAUGGUAUCACAAUGUUACCGUACUACAGCUGGAUCCAGCUUACAGUUACCAUCAUAAUUGAAUCUAACAGUUGGAUCCAUCUAUAGUAUGGUAUUACUGUGGUACCAUAGCUGGACCCUUCAAAAAAAUGCUUUUUUUAAUUAAAUAAGUGAAAAUUAAACCUACAAUUCAAAAUAGAAGACUGUAGAUGCGUAUAAAUUGAAGAAGGUAAAUUUUGUGUGUGCGUAAAUAUUUUAGUCAACAACAAAAAAUUCUAACAAGUUAAUAUAAGAGUAUCAUAGCAGUACAAGAGAAUUUUUUUUUUUUUUGGAUGUUAUGAGUUAUCGAGAUACCCAAUAUAUAUGUGUGUGUGAGAGAGUGGGGAAGAAAAAAAAUAUUAAGAAUAGUUUUGGCAUUUUGAUGGGUUUUAUAGAGUAAAAUCUAUAUUUUCAAAUAUGAUAAUUCUUUAAUUUAAUUUUUUGUUAUGAAAAAAAAGGGCAUUUUAAAUAUGUUUUAAGUUAUAAAUAACUCCAUCCAAAAUUUAAAAAUGAAAUCUUAGGGGGGAAAAUUUUUCACCCAAACUAAGGCCCAAAGUAGCCGCGGCAUUUUUCACCAAUUCUCCAAUUCCCAAUGUGGUCUAAUUAUUUACAAGGAAUAUGAGUAGGGGUGGGCACGGUUCAGUCCGGUUUGGUUAGAAUCUAAAUUAAGCAGAACCGAUUUAAAUAGGUUAUUUUAUAAAAAAAACUAAAUAAGAACCGAACUCAAUAAAAAUUGGACAUAAACGGAUCUUUUCAGAUCGGUUUGGUUCGGUUCGGUUUUUUCGGUUUUGGGCGUAUUUUGAAUUUCUAAAUUUUAGCCCAUUAGGCCUCAUGAAUGUAAUGAUUUUAUUCAACAAUUAAUUUAUCCUAAUUUCAUUACAAAUAUUAACAAUAAAUACAAAGUAUUCAAAACACAUUUUAUCACUAAUAUCUUACUAACUACUAAUAAGGUACUUAUAAAAUAUGAAAUAUUAAGAUUUCAAAAUACAUAAUCAAACUCCAAUACUCCAUCUACAUAAACACAAUGUUGUAACGACAAAAAAAAAUAAUAACAACAAUUAAAACUUACAACACAAAAUAAAAAGAAAAUUUGGAAACAAACACUAACAACAAUUUUUAAAUAAAUAAAUAAAUAUAUAUAUACUCGUAAUUGUGUGUGUGCAUGUCUAUUUUAGUUAUCUUACGCAACCAAUUAAAAUUUAACAUGUGUCUAUUUAAAUAAAAUUCCAAGAAUAACUCGGUUUUUCGGUUCUGUUUUUUGGUUCAGCUGAGUGAACCGAAUACCGAACCUGUAUUUUAGUUUUUUUUACAAACCAUAUAUUUCAGUUAUUUUUUAAAAUUAAAACCAGUCCAAACGGAACGGAACGGUUCAGAUCGAUUUUCUCUAGUGCACGGUUUUUUUGCCCACCCCUAAAUAUGAGAUUCUCUACCACUCCAAUUUAUCCCAUUGUUAGCAAUCCUAUUAGAUGUUUUAUAUCCUAUUUUUAUUAUGCUCCCCAAACAAAUAUGUUUCACCUAAAGGUGCCCAACGGGCUACACCGUCCGUCUGAAUGAGCGCACGAGAGGCUCCACAGGCGUGUCUGAUAUGCUCUUUCAAGUCUACAUACCUAACGUUCUUUUUUUAAGUGCAUAUAUAUUUUUUAAAGCUCAUGUGAAAUUCAGUAGUAAGAGAAUGCAAUACUAGUUAAUAAGUUAGAGCCUACAAAAUAAUAAUAAUAAUAAUAAAAUUUUCUCUAAGGGUUAACAUUUUAUUGUUAACUUGAAUUUAUAUACAGUUAUCGAUUAUAGUCCAUAAUAAUAUUAAUACUUACAAGUUUCAAAUUAAAAUUUAAUAAUUAACAUUUCAUUAACACAACUAUAUUAUCUAAUUUUGCAAUAACCAAUUAUAAUACAACAAUACAUAAUUAUAAUUUCAUAGACCAUGGUAAUAAAAUCUCUACGUUAAUGAAAAAUUUUAUUUUGAUAUAUGUUGGUCUGCUUGCUAUUGAUGGCCGAUGGUCGUAUGCUAGCCUGCUAAUGAAACGUGUUUAUUAUUGGUUUUUUAACAUGUCUUGCUUUACCACAUCUCUAAUCAAAUUGUGCUCUUAAAAUCCAUAGCCUAACCUAGCCUCUGUGUGUAUCCUGCCGUGCCAUACUAUACAAACAUGUAUCUGGUACCAUGCCACGUACCGGUCGGCCCUUAGCCAUCUCUAGUUUCACCCCUAAAUAAAAUCUAAACGGCUACUGGCAAGUGAGAAAACUUGUUAUUCUUUAUUUUGAAAAUAAAGGGAAUUGGCGAAUUGCUUAGUUUGAUAUUGUUUUUGGUAAGUCAUUUUUUGUUUUGAAACAUUUUUCUGAGAUGUUGUUGUAUUUGGUGAAAAAUAAAUUAUUUUAUUUUAUACUUUUAAUGAAGAAAAGUAGAGAAAAACAUUUUGUUGUUUUCGACAACAUUUGCCUUAUAAGUGCACCCGUGCCACUUUUUUCUUGUUUUAUUUGUAUGAUAAUUAUCAUGGACCCACGUAACUUUCUUUUGCAUUUAAAAUUUCAUAAUAAAUUAAAUUAGACAAAAGAAAAGAGUCCCACAAAUAAUUUAUUUUAUAAUUUUUUAAAUAAUACUAUUUUAAAAUAAAUUAUCAAAACAAAUUUCAUAUUCACUAAAAUUAAUCAUAUUCAUAUUAUAAAAUUAAUAUAAAAACAAUAUCUGAAAAGUAAUGCUAAAUACACUGUUAAAUUUUAUAAACGGCAUUAGAAUUGAUGAACAAUCUGACAAAGAUGCUGCGAUUUAAGUAGGGAUGACAAUUAAAGCCGUAUUUGAAAAAUUUCGUCUCCAAAUUAAAAAAUAUGGAUUCGGAUAUGGAAAUUUGGAAUUCACAUAGAUCCAUAUAAAUUUUAUUUUAAAUUAAAAAUAUAUAUUAAAAAUUAAAUGAAAAAUUAAAAAAUAAAUUUUAUUUGUGAUUUUAUGAUGUUGUUGUAUAUUAUUCAUGUUGAAUUAUUAAUGGUUGGAUUAUGAUUGAAUUUUAUUUGAUAUUAUUAGGUAAAUUAUUAAUUUUUAUUUAAAAUAAAAAAUAUAUAUUAAAAAUUAAAUAAAAAUAAAAAAUUAUAUUUUAUUUGUAGAUUUAUGAGAUUAUUGUAUGUUAUUCAUGUUGAAUUAUUAAUUGUUGAAUUAUGAGUGAAUUUUAUUUGAUAUUAUUAGAAAAAUUAUUGAACUUUUAAAUUAUAUAUUAAAUUAUUUAAUUUUAAUUUUUACGGAUCUGGAUAUCCAGAAUAUCCUCCGGUAUCCGUUGCGGAUAUUACCCGCUUCUGGAUCCGCAUUUUUUUAUACAAAUUCAGAUAAAAUAUGAAUGCGAAUCCGAAUCUGGAUUUUACCAACCUUGAACCUAAGCAUGAAUGGGCCUAAAGUUUUUACAACAAACAUGGAUCAUUCAAUGACACGAGAUGUUUUACAGCUCUCACUAGUAUAAUUAAAUAAUUAAUUCAUCUCUAUAUUCAACUUACUCCGUCUCAAAUUGCAUGCAAAUACGAAAAUACACUUCUGAAUCGUUCACUUGAGGAAAAUUCCAAAUUCUCCACGUAGAAUUUAGAUUCAAACCAUAGCAAAUUAGACAUAAUUCUAAUUUAUAUGGGAAAUAUAAUUAGCGAAGACACUCUUUAUAUAAACAUUAUUGUCAUAGGAUGCCAAACCUAAUAAGAUUCAAGAUCUUAACAUACUUCAUAUGAAAUUUGAUCUUGACGCGUACCGACAGGCAUAACAUCAAGACUCUACUUCAUAUAUUAUAAUGUAACUUCAUGGAUUUUUCGCUCUCUUGGGGGUCUAUCGUUUGUUUGCAAACUUUUCCAUUUUAAAUUGACAAUUAUAGGCGCUCUCUUGUGGUACAUAAAAUAAACGUUUAUUUUUAGAAUAUUAUUAUUUAUCUCAAUUUUUUAUUUAAUAGUUAAUUUUAACCAAUUCUUAAACUGUCAUAAUCAAUUAAUUUUUUACAUUAUGGCGUCUUAAAUAAAUUUUGGAUCUGUAAUAAAUAAAAACUGGUAACGUUUGUUCUUUUAAAACAUAAAACAACCGUAACAUUGGUUUUUACAUUUUGAAUUUUUCUUGCAUCACUAUUUAGAAAAAUGAUGUUAAAUCAACUCACAAAAUAUAUCAAGCCAUCUAAAAUCCAAAUAUUAUUACAUUUGUAUUGCAUUGUUAAAUUGUUGGAACGACGGCAAAGCAAUUGAAAAGAUAUUAACAAAAAAAUAAAGAUUGGCCAAGGAUUAUUCAUGUUUAGGAAAUGCCUUAACUUUUGAUAUAAUCAUUGUUAUAAUUAUAUUGUAGAAAUAAUCAAUUACCUAAUGUUUGUGGUGGUAAAUAUUAUUAACUUGUUUUACUAUACCCGUGUUUAUGCUGGUCUCCUUUUUGUCCAUUUCUGUACAACGAAAUAUUUGCAUGUGUUGAUAGAAAUUGGUUUAAAUGACAUUUAAAAUAGUAUAUCCCCAGACAAUUAACGAAAUAUUUGGAUGGUAGGAUGAAGUAAUAAAUAGUUUUACAAAUUACCAUAUUAGAGGUAAAAAAAAUUCGAGAGGUUACUUGACAAUUAUGACGUUACUAACUACAAAUUUAACACAAAAAGUUUAAUUAACUUUUCUUUUUGAGAUGGCAAAAUCUCUGGUGUUGAAAACAAUGAGGUUUGAGGUUCAAGCUUGAAUAUCAAGUUACAAUUAAUAGAUGGUCUUAGGACAUAUCAAAGAUUUCUUUAAAGACAAAAUAAUAAUUACAAGCAAUAGGAAUUUAUGGUAUUCAGAACAUUUAUAUCUUCGCACAUGAAGCUUGAAUCCAGAACAAGAUGCAGCUAGCCAAUCCUUCCAAAACCCCACAAAACCUCUGUCAACAUAUCUGCUCUACUUCAAUAUUAAGCACAUUCAUAGCGGUAUCAACAGCUUACAGCGCCAAAAUAUUUUCCCCAAAAAGAGUGAGAGAUUUCACUGAAGCUAAGUUGUGACUUGUGACUGCCCAAAUGUUCUAUAACACGAUAUGAUUAUUCUAGUAACACAAAUCCAAUAGCAUGCAACAUAAUCUACUCUCUAACAUUGUGCAUUAGUAAAAUAAAACAGAGUAAAAAGAGAAACCAUGCCUGUGAAUCUCUUCUUUUCCCCCUGCCACCCCUUUUUUUGGUGAAGUCCAUCAAAUGAAAAUGCAGCAUGACCACGUUGGCCACUGCCACUGCCAUUACUUCUUCAACUGUGCCUUUUGUUGCAAGAAAUAUUCAAGUGAAAGAUUGGAUUAUAUAAUUCAAGAUUCCAAUAGACCUGAGCUGCAAAGGUUGCCUUCCACUAGCCUAUCAGAGACUAUGCUUUCUAUUUUCCUAGUUUGUUAAUCAAAAUUUUAUAAGAUUUAUUUAUGGAAAUCUUGGACAAAAUUUUACGUAAGAUACCACAAAGCCAAAUGCAAUCAUUGUAAUUCUCAGCAGCAACAUUUAAAGUGAAAAAUGGAAGCCAUAUAAACAUAACUAUGUUUGCUACGAGGAACAAUUAUUUCAAGCUUUCAGAAAUGCUAGCAAGAAAUUGUAAGAGAACUUUACCUAGUCACAGAAUAUGUCAAACAUACUACCACCGUCUUUAGCACGAUUGUUAUGGAAGUAGCUUUUGAAUCGGAAGAUUCCAGCUUCCACCAGGCACCAUUUUUUUCAUUUUUGAUACAAUCUGCAUCACUGGCAUUAGUUAUACCAUCAACAUUUGCAUCCUCACUCUCAUCAUCCCAAUCAAGGCUUCUUCUCCAGCUCUGGAUUAUAAGUCCACUCCGACAUCUUCGAACACCUCGGUCCUUCCAUUUGCCAACAACCGAUAUGGCUUCCUUCCUUGCCUUCCCCAUUAAUAUAUCACUCGAAGGCAAAAAAAGCAUCAGCAAUUCUCUUCAACGCCUCAUCGUUUAUAACCCCCCAAAAAAAGGGUCUUCAGACACCUCAACUUUGCCUUCUGCAAAACCUCCACAAAAUCUGAAUUAUCCAACACAACAGCCAGACACUCAAUCCUUCUUUUGUCCAUCAUAUCCACCGUAUGAUUCCUCAACAAAAUAUCUACAGCUUGUGGCUUUUCUAACACUGUCUUGAUCCAAAACCCUGCUCUUUUCAACUCAUCUGCCAAACCAUAACCCACUUUUGGAGUCAAAAUUGUCCUUGCAGCCCUUUUAUAUUUUUCCAUCUCCAUCGAAUACUUGCCACUCAAAUCGAAUUACCAGACAGGAAUCCCAGUAACAAGUCCACUCAACUUCUUCUCAUCUGAUCCCUCUUUCACUCUGGCGGAAACAUUAAUAACCAUUCACCAGCCACAAAUUACCCAAGUAAGUAUUCGUGUCGUCAACACUUACCCUUCACUUCAUCUACGCAAACAAGAAUUCAAAUUGCUUAUUAGCUAGUGCUCGAGCGAAAGCCAAAAUAAAUUAAAUAUGUGUGUGUGUGUGUUAAAAGAGAAACGGUAGCGAAGUUAUUACACAAUAAAGCAAACCAAAAUAAAUUCUACACUCAUGUGGGUGUUUCGCUCGCAAAAUCUGGACAAGAAAAAAUAAUAUUGAUACAAUCUCCAAAUAAAGAGCAUUCCUCUUGGUAAAAUAGACAAAUCCUAUAAAUUUUGAUUAAUGGUGCCAAAUGAAAGAGUUGUAAUUUCAUGUACAUUUUGUUAACAUGAAUAAGGGUACAAAAUAGAUAACAAAGUGACAAAAACAAAGCUAAUCACAAUGAAUGAUAAGGUUUAGAGUAAACAUAAAGUUAUAAUCUUGAACAUAAGUGGCGCUCAAAGCCAUGAAUUUGAUAUCAUCCAUGAGGGGAGUUCAAACAACACCAUGUAAGAAGCAACAAGUGUUGAGAAAAAAAAAAUUCAUUCUAACACAACAGAAUAAAUUGUAAAGAAAUCCCAGUUUGUAUAAAAGAAAGAAAACAAAAUUAAGGAAAACAUAAGCACAACAAAAUUUGACUGAUUAUUAAAAAUGAGAAAUGAGUUAUAAUGAGAAUUUUGGCUUUGUGGUGAAAUAAAUUGGGAAGUAUCAAAGUUUGCAUGUAAAUAAUAUAAAUGAUAAGAAGACGAAGGGAACAAAAUGAUAAUAAGAAUGCCAAAUAUUAAAAUGCAGAUUCUACGCUUCCGCCCCCCCAUACUUCAAGUUAGUGUCUCGCUAAUCAUUUUAGAUGUAUCAAUUACAAAGGGAGGCCAUCUAUUUAUAGUAAGUGUACGCCUCUAAUGCUUUGCCAAGUGUCCAUUGAUAAUAUCACAAGGGAAAUUAAAUUGGUGUAUGUGUAUUACACCUCCUAAAGUCAUGUUAAGAUAGUGUGCUGAUAAAGUUUGUUGCACGUAUGAGUUGGUUAAGUCUGCUAGAAAUGCAAACGUGUAAAGCUUAGUUAGUUAAGGUUGUUACGAAUGCUUAGAUUCAGUUCACGUGUAUUGUAUGUAAUGCUUAGAUUCAGGUCAUGUAGAUUGUGUAUACAACUUUCUUAUAUUCUUUAGAUCUCAAUAUAAAUACUUGUAAUCAACAAAUACAAUAAUAAGAGUCAUCAUUCUUCAUUUUCUCUCUGUUUCUCUCAUAUUUUCUCUGCAUCCAAACACAAUAUUCUCAGUUCUUGACUUGGUAUCAGAGUUGCAGUUUAAUUGUCAUGGCUUCCUUCCUUAAGCACAAAUUCAAACAUAAAUCAGUCUCCUUCAUUCUUUACCCUCACAAAUGCGAUCAAACUGGACAGAUCUAACUAUACGAUCUGGAAAUCUCAGAUCCUCUCUUCAAUUCGUGCCAAUGGACUUGAAGGCUUUCUUAAUGAAACUAAAUUUUUUCCAGAUCAGUUACUUACUCAAGAGAUUGAAAGUUAUGGUGUUGAAAAUGUUGUUGGUGAAAGCUCAGCUGAUAGAUCUCAGGAGAAUCCAGCCUUUGUUGCUUGGAAAAGGUAGGAUCAAUUGUUAUUAAGUUGGCUCAUGUCCUCCAUCAGUGUUGAGAUACUUAGUCUUGUGGUAAAUUCUGAUUCUUCUAAUAAACUUUAGACUAAUCUUGAAGAAAAUUUUUGUAUUAGAAACUAUGGCUAAGAAAGCACACUUAAAAAUGAUGUUAAGCAAUCUCAGAAAGGGAUCAAUGACAAUAACUGAGUAUUUUGCCAAACUUAGAGCUGUAACUAAUAAACUUGCUCUAACUGGUAGCCCUGUUUCUACUCUAGACUUUAUUACUCAUCUAAUCUCUAGAUUAGGCCAGCCAUACUACCCUGUUGUUUUGUAUAUUGAAGCUAAUAUGAUGAAAAUAUUUGUCAAUGAAGCCUAUUCUAUGCUUUUAACUCAUGAAGCAAGAAUUAAAUUUAAUCAUCCGAGUGCAAAUAAAGAAGCAAAGUUGAAUUAUGCUGCUAACAUAGCUUAGGCUGGACCUAGUAAUAACAAUAAGAAGUCUAGUAAUCAAGCUAAUUACUAUCAGGGCAACCAAGGUAACUGGAAUAGAAAUGCUAAUUGGUGUGGUAACAAUGGAGGAAGAGGUGGCUUUGGCAGAGGUUUUUCAGGGCAAGGAAGGGGUAAUUAGAAUAAUGGUGGUCAUUGGAACAAUGGACCUUGGAGUAGUAGUCGAGCAGGUUAUAAUUGUUCUGAUAUAAACAUUAUGACAUGGUUGCUGGUGAACCUGUAAACAUAACCACAAAAGUAAGAAGGCAUAAUCUUUUUAUAAGAAACUCAAAAAUGUAUUAAUGAUGAAAAUUUUAAAACAGAUAGUGGACCAACUGUUCACUAGGAAAACAAAAAACUGAAUAUUUGUGCUAUAAAAAGGUCACACCCAAUCUCACCCCUAUAAAAGGCUAGAAUCAGCUACAAAUCCCUAUCUCAAAACCCCAUCCCAGUUUAGAUGAAUGAAGAAAAAAGAUGAAUCUUGAAACUCCUUAGAAACUGAAGCCCAAAGUGAAGCAAGAAGAUGAACUCUAUCCCAAGCAAGCAAUAUGGCAUAUUUCUCCAUUAAUGGUUCAAAUAAAGUGAAUGGCUUUCUCUGAUGAAUGGGAAAUUGUCAAGAUCAAUAGUCAAACUCACGCAAAGUAAACGGACUUAAUUCUCAGGGGCUACUCAUUCUAAGUCUUAAAGAAUUUUUUUCUAAUUUCUAAAGAUAAUAUGGGGAAAAAUCAUUAUUUUCUAACAUGAAAAAUUUGAUAUAGUGUUUAAUGUCUGACCACAAUGAUAAUAUGAGUACUAACAAAAACAUCUUUUAUCAGCAUGUGCGAGUAAAACACCUUUGCAAUCCAUAAAUGUAAGACGCCGCCUGGAGACUGGAGUCAUCGAAUUUUAUAUGUCAAAAGCGCGUUUCAGUUCAAUAAGCCAUAAAUGUCGUUUAAUAUGCUCAUUUUGUACUUUUUAUAUAAAAAAAAUUAUUUAUUUUUUUUAAUAUUGUUUAUUUAUUUAAAUUUUUUUUAAAGCUAAAGAGGUGGGUAACAUCUAAAUUCAAUUUUUAUCCCUUAUGUCCUGACCCUAAGAUUUGAACUAAGGUGAAUAGCCAAAUGUAUAAUAACAGGUAUUUCGAAUUUCAUUUUAAAUGAUAUGCAAUUCAUUAAGUGAUUGUUAAUUUUUUAUAAGAUCAAAAUGAAUUAAUUGUAUUAUCUUACUAACUAAUUGAUGAGUGCCCUAUUAUUUGGGAUAACUUUUGAAUAAAAAAAUUUUGAUGGAUGAAAUAUUCUUUUGAGAAUUUAUUGACUUAUCUCAUUUAUGACUUAUUGUUGCAUUUAAGUGAUAUUGCAAAAAUUAUUUUGCAAUAAUAUUAUUGUUUUGACGAGUAAGUUUGGAGUAAAUAAUACAUAUGGCAAGUAAGAGGUUCGUUAUUGCAUUUAUUUUGCGGACCUAUUUUAAAGCCAAAAAAAGACAUUUCGAUUCAUUAUGAUUCCAAAUAAUUUCAAGCCAUAUGUCAUUAUUGGGAUAAAAAUAAAGUAAAAUGGUUAAAACUAUUUUUAUGUAAUUUAUAAAAAUUAAUGAAGCAACUGCACAAUUUUUUAACACGAAAAACAAUUGAAAUGUGUGUGGAAAAAGAAGAAAAAAAGAAGGCAUUUAAAUAUCUUUAAAAAAAAUAUGAUUGAGUAAAAUCAUUUUACAGAAUGCUCUUCCAAAUGCAAUUCCACUUUUUUUUUUAAUUGCAUUGGGAUAUUCCAAAAUUGGCACAAUUCAUUAAGAAUUCGGCAACUCAAAUUUUAUUUAUCUCUCUAUGCAUUUGACAAAUUAAAAAGAAAAAAAAAAUCAUAUAUCUUCUGUUCAAAAGAAACCUUGGUAAAUAUUGUAAAACAAAUUACCAAUUUUUUUAAUUUAUGCCAUUAUAUCGUCGCUAUUUUCUCGCCCACUUUCUAUCAAAUGAAAAUGUAAUUAUAUGGUUCAGGAUACCAAUAUGCCGGAGCUGCAAAGGUUGACUUCCACUAUGCUAUCAAUGUCUAUACUUUCUAUUGAAUUUCCUUGUUUUUUUUUUAAAUUGCGAGAUUUAUUUUUGGAAAUCUUUGACACAUUUUAUGUAAGAUACCAUAAAGCCAAAUACAACCUUUUUUAUUCUCAGCAGCAACUUUUUUUUUUCCUUUUAAAAAAAGGAAGCCAUAUAAAUAAUGCUUAAAACAUUAUUUGCAACAAGGAACAAUUAUUUCAUGCUUUCACAGAAUAUGUACUGCUGUUAGCCCGAUUGUUAUGAAGUGGCUUCUGCAUCAGAAGAUUCCAGCUCCCACCAAGCAUUGUUAUCUCUAUUCUAAAUACAAUCUACAUCGCUGGGCAUGAGUUAUAUCAUUAAUGUCUACAUCCUCACUUACAUCAUCCCAAUCAAGUGCUUUUUCUCCACAUCUGGAUUAUAAGCCCACUCCAAUCUCUUCAAAACAUCCCAGUCCUUCCAUCACAACUGAUACGACUUCCUUCCUUACUUCCCCAUUAAUAAAUCGCUCCGAGAAAAAAAAAAAAAAAAAAAAAAAAAAAGCAUUAGCAAUUCUCUUCAACGCCCCAUCAUUCAUAUCCCCUACAACAACCAUCUUCAGACACCUCAACGUUGCCUCUUGAAAGACCUCCACAAAAUCCAAAUCAUCCGACACAACCACCAAACACCCAAACCUUCUCUUGUCCACCAUAUCCACCAUAUAAUUCCUCAACAAAACAUCGGCAUCUUGUGGCUUAUCUAACACCAUCCUGACCCAAAACCAUGCUCUUUUUAACUCAUCUGCAAAACCAUAACCCACUUUUGGAGUCAAAAUUGCGCUUGCAGCCAUUUUAUAUUUUUCCAUCUUUGUUGAAUAGUUGCCAACCAAAAGCACUCUCACCUUCCCUCUAGCUGAUUCUAUUUGAUUCGACCUUUUCUUUUAUUCGCCCUCAUGAAUUUGCUUAGAAUGAUUAACAAGCUUGUCAUUAUUAUAAAAUCUCCUUCCACAAUCACCAAUACAUACGGCUUAGCAGGCCUAAUUACACCCUUGAUUUCUAAUUGGUUAAACAAUUCUCUUUCUUUCUUUGCUCUCUUACAACUUGAGGCACAUAACUAAACUCGUGGCUAUUAGCAUUUGCCACCAUGUAUUUAACAAUCCCAAAUGAAGAUAUUGAUUUUUUUCAGUUUAAUUGCUGCUUCAAAACGGGGUACUGAAUUUGGAUUUUGUUAUCCAAAUACCAAAAAUUUCCCACAUUGUGUUGGACAGUUUUUGGUUCUAAAGUUGAUGACUGGUUUUGCGAAUCAGGCUUCAAAUGAGAACUUCUAAACAAUAAGACAAAUGGGUUUUUGAGUUUCUAAUCUUGUAAACUUUGUUCUAUUGUAUAAGUUAUGAAAUCGCUGAAACAUCACUACAGCUACAGGUCUUUAUGUGUCAAUGAACUGCAGAAGCUGAUGAUCUACCUGUAGCAGACUUCUAUUGUCCCUGCCGUUCUAGGAAGACAAACAAGUUCAGGAACUACUUCUGGACCAAACUCAUAAUAUUGUCACUGCUUUGUGACAAUCUGAGAGGGAAAGCAUAUUGAAGUUCCUAAAUAAGGCACAUCAUGAUUUGACAGAAGUACCACUAUGAGGAACAAUUGAUUUCAGGAAAGCACUAAAAUAUGACAUAAUCUGCCCCUAAUGGUCUAAAGUAGUCAAGAAAUUAUAUCAACCAAGCAAAAACACAUAUACUAGUUGAGAUACAAAGUUAUUGUAAAAGUCAAUUUUGAUCACAAAUCCAUUAAAAUUAAAAGACAUCAGAAAGUUAGAGAACAUUAUAAUUUAGGACUCAGCUAAGUUGCAGAUUCUGUAACUAACAGCUGAGUCCACAUUGGUCUUGCAUCAGCUGAGUUUGGGUUGCUUUUCCUCUCUCCUGCAACGCGUACGUGGAAGCGCCCCAUUUGUUGUGUUAUAUACCGAGUCGGUACCGUAACAAGCUCCUAUAAUUUAAGUUUGAUUACUGUAGACAAUAGUCUGCCUCUGCUCAAAAGCUAUGCUGCAAGAUCUAACAUCUUUGCAAUGUUAUACUUUCUAAAAGUAAUAAGAAAUGAAACCAAGGGGUAAAUCGAACACCAAAAGAAAUUUAGUCGGGAAACCACAUUAUGUUCCCACACAGUCCACUAAUUAAGUUAAUAAUUAAAGGGAAUCAAAAUCUAAGAAAUCUCAUCUUCAAGCAGAAUACAAACACACCGCGAUUGAAAAUCACAAAUUCAUAAAAAGAAGCUGACUUGAAAAGCUCAAAUAUACGUUCAUCAGCCUCUCAACUUAUAUCUAAGAACAAAUGCCUGCAGCCUGUGAAGACAUAGAUAAUUGAAGCUGAUGAGGCAUAUUUAACAGAUGAUAAUCAAAACUCGUGUGGUUAAAAUUACAAUUCAAUAAUGGAGCACAUAAAACAACAACUAGUUGUAUAUAUACCAAACAACUUUCUGAAGUUAAGCCGUAAAACAAAAACAUAGAACAAAUUAAUUAAAUAUACCAGCACCAAUACUCUUAUUAUUAUCCACAUAGAAAAGAACAAUGUAUCAAACAAGGAAAAUGAAAUAUUGUUAAUAACUCAAAAACCACUAGUGUCAAGAACUAGACUAAUAAGUGAAACCCAUAAUCAGACACAACCACAUCAAAAUCUUUGAAAAUUGAGAUCUUUGAAAAUUGAGGUCUAAACAUUGAAAACAAUUAGACAUAUAUAACAGUCAAUCGAAACAAAGCCUCAAAAUAAUAAUGAACUACAAUAAGACAGAAACUAAAUUGUAAACAACCGCAUACCCAGUAACAGUAAUCAAGUAACAAGUCAAAACCAGAAUCAAACGUAGAAUUUUGAAAUCCAUACGAACUCUAACGUAUUAGAAUGAAAGAAUAAGGACGAUCGAUAAACUAGACUCAAACAAAAACAUGCCCAGUUAAAAAAUGAAGGUAAAUAAAUAAAAAUGGUAUAAAACUACGAAAAAAAUUAAUGAAAUGAAGAGAAAAUCACAGGAAUCCUAUGAAGAGGAAGGUAAACGAAACCUUCGGGACCCGAGAAGAUGCCUUUUUUGUUGACGUUUGUGCCUAUACAUAUAUAUAUUUUUUUAUUUUGAAGAAAGUAUUGGUUAACAAAACGAAAUAUUAAUAAUAGAUGCUGGCAAUUUCAACAAGGACAAUCUUCGAUUCAAAUGUACCCCUAUGAUAAAGAAAAAUCUUGAGCACCACAUUACAAGAUCUAGGUGUAUGUAACCAUGCAAAAUGAAACAUCUAUUAAUUGUAAGUCCCUUGACCUCUGGAACCAGCCAACCGGUCUCUUUCCUACUAGACAACCUUCCAUGGAUCAGACUAAUAAUAUUUACUAAAUCAUGUUCUACAGUUAAUGAAGUUGGACCCAAGGCAAUUGUUAGAAGUCCGCCUAGACAUAGAGUGCGCUUAGAAGUGGGAUGCUUAGAAAUGGACCGCCAACACAACCAGCCAACCGUAGUGUGCUUAGCAAAUCACCCAAGCCCGGCCCAAGAUCUAGAACUAUCUACAAAUUGUGAAUAAGUUAAAAGUUUCUAAGUUUCUCCACAUAGGUCCCUAGGAUAUUUAUGGAAGUUGCUAGGAAGUUUCCUCCCCUAGAACUCUAAUACCUAUAAAUAGGGGUGAGCCCCCUCAUUUGCCCACCAAUCACACCACACACACAAACACUCCUGCACACACACAAGCUCUCUAGCUUUUGUAAAAAGCACUCUUGUAUAUUCUCUCUUUGAGAGUAAUAAAAUCAUAUUCAGCCAUAUUGCUCUACUUCUCUCUACCAUUUUCCGCAAGUGUUCUUGCUUCGCUAGUUUGAGGAGUGUUCUAGGCUUGCUUUGCAACUUGUUUGCUACAAGGACAUCUUGUUCACAAAACAUGGACAUGCAAGGAAAAAAAAAUAUUGAUACAUUCUAAAAAUAAUACGCAUUCUUCUACAGUGAACCAAAAAAUUUAGGCUAAUGGUAGCAAGUGAAGGAAUUGUGAUUUCACGUGCAUUUUGUUGACAUGAACGUAAAGAAAUUUUUUAUAGUUUAUAUUGUUUAAUAUAACAUUUGAAUUGCAAAAUAGGGGUACAAAAUGGAUACACGAAGUGAUAAAACUAAGCUCAUUAUGAUAAAUAUUGAAUUAUAAGAUUUACGUUUAAUCAUAAAGACAUAAGUGGCGCACAAAGUCACGAAUUAUCAUCCAUGAUGCAAGUUCAAAUAACUACAUAAUAAGUUGCCCCAAGCUAAACUAUUAAUCUAGUAACUAUUCCAGUCAAUGUGGGAUAAUUUUCCUAUCACCAUCUAUCACGUGCAAGCCGAAUUUGUUGCUUGGUCCUUACAUGUGGUAAGGUAAUAUGAAUCCACUUGUGCAUAAAUUUGCCUCCGAUAUUAUAUAGAAGCCUAUGACCCAAAAUUAUACUUAAAGGUUAUUUCAAGAUUUGAGGGUUGCCUCAAGCUAAUAUUAUUAUUAGCCUGGUAACCUUUUUUUUUUGUUGAUAUGUGAUAUUUUCCGUAUAACUUUUAUUAAUCUUUAUGCUUAUGUUUUGUCAUUUAUCCCAAAAUAUAACAUUAACAAAAGUUCCAAAAUUUCCUUCAAGAGAUAUAUUUGAGACAAGUAAUUUGUGCAAUAACUUUGUGAAUUGAUGAGCAAAUUCAGAGAAAAGAAUAUAUGUGCCAAACGUAACGUUUAUUAUUGUGUUUAUUUGUAGAGCUAUUUAAAGCCCAAAAAAAAAAAGCACCGGUCCGCUGUGAUUUCAAAUAAGUUCAAGCCCUAUGUCAUUAUUGGUACAAAAAUGUAUCAGAAAGAUUAAAAACUAUUUUUAUUUAACUUAUAAACUUAGGAAAUUAUCAAUUGUCCGCCCUUAAAUUGCGCUAUUAUAAAAAAUAUUACAAUAUUUUCAGGUUGUAUAAUUCAUCUACCAUAAAUUUACAAUCUGCAUCAUUUAUCCACCAAAUCAUUAACUUCGUUAAAAAGUGAUAGACGUCACAAGGGUAAUUUAGACAUUUAACACAAAAAAAAAUAAAAGAGAAAUUAUCUAAGCUUACCAUGUUAUCAAAAUUGCUACAAAAUUUUAAAUUUGUUCAAUUUUCCAAUCUAAGUUUAUGACCUCCAAGAUGUUAAUUGCAGUUUGUAAUUAAUGAGUUCAUAAGGAUAAUUUAGACACUCAAUAUGCAAAAUAAAAAUAAACUAAUGGCUUAAAACAUUAAAACAAAAAACUACUUUUUAUAAUUGAUAUUCAAUUAAAUACACAUAAACUCUAUUUUUUUCUUAAUUAAAAAUAUUCUAAUUUAUUUUCUCAAUUUAUCAUCAUAAAUUUACAUUAAUAAACUAAAUCCACAAAUUACCCUAAACCCUAAUUCAUAAAUGCCCAAUCAAUCUAAUAGUUUAAUUCGAUUUCAUAAUUAAAAAAGCUAAAUUUAUUAUAUUAGUUAUGGUGCAAAGUAAACAAAUGCCCUUAAAUUCAAGGGUAAAAUAACAUUUUAUUUAAAUUCUAUAAAUUAUUCUAACAAUGUUAACAUUUUGGUGGACGGCUAAUAUAAGUUACAAACUUAAAAUAGAAAAUCAAAUAAAUUCAAAAUUUCAAACUAUUUAGGGCAAAUUUAGGAUAUAUGGUUAAUAAUUUUCCCAUGUCUUUUUACAUUGGUUGAUAUAAAUUACAAACUUAAAAUAGAAAAUCAAAUAAAUUUAUAUUUUCAAACUAUUUAGGACAAACUUAGGGUAUAUGGUUAAUAAUUUUCUUUUAUCUUUUUACGUUAAAUUGAGUUUCAAAUGUAAAAUGGUCAAUUUAUUAUAACUCUGUUAAUUUUUUAGUGGAAGCAAACGAUAUAAUGGACGAAUGAUAUAAAUUGUAAAAUUAAGGUGGAUGAAUGAUACAACUUUAAAGUAUUGUAGUAAUUUUAAUAAUAGAACAAUUUAAGGGUGGAUUGGCAAUAAUUUAAACUUUAAUGAAGCAACUAAAAAAAAUUUUAACAAAAGAAAAAUAAUUGAAAUGCUUUAAGAAAAAUAAAGGAAAAUAAAUAUCUUUAUAAAAACAUAAUUGAGUAAAAUCAUUUUACAAAAUGCUCUUUCAAAUGCACAUUCCACAAGCCAGGGAGAACGGGUGGCUAACAAAAAUCUCACUUUUUAUGAGUUGAUAAAAUCUCACUUUUGCAGAAUCCAAAAAUAACCAAUACUAAUCACACAAAAAAAUAAAAAUUAUUGCUGUCACGACAUUACACACUUUCUUCGCUGUCUAGAAAGGUAGAACAUUUUGAUGUUCCUCAAUACAAAAUGGGUGCUACUACUAAAUUGGCACGAUUAAUGCCCAUCGAAAAGGCCAUCAAUUUAGCCAGCAAUUUUGUCAAAAUUUCAACAAUUGAAGAAAUCUUGAGAUACAUACAACAAAGUCUUGAAACUUUAGUCUUCACAAUUUGAGCACGCACUAAAUAUUAACCAUCCAUCUGCAGAGCAAGUAUAGAACAAAGCUUGAACUGAACACGCUGAACACAGCUUUUUUUUUUUUGGAUUUUUAGAAUUUUUUAAAGUCAUUUAUGUUCGCUGCCAUCUUUUUCUUUGCUGGCAUCUUCAUUGGCAUCCAACCAAUAAAUUGGGCAUUAAAUACGAAUGAUGAAUAAAAUGAUUAAAAAAAAACAAACAGACCUUUCAAAAAAAAAAAAAACAGAGAAAAUUAUAAUAUAACACAUAUAUAUUGAAAGAGAAAUUUUGAUUUUAGGAUAGAUCAAUUAGCUAUCACAAACGAAAACAUGAACCAACUAUGUAUAGAGUCAAUUAACUAAAGUUCUCAAGAGUUGACCUGUGCUCCAGAAUUCUUGGAAUCAUCUAUCUCCUGAACUUGGACGAAGCUUGGGACAAUUACGAACAUCUUCAUCGGAUGCAGAUGGAAACGGGAUCUGAUAACCCGCAGGCCAAAAGUUGGUGAGGUUUGGUAAAUCUCUCAGUAUCAAGCCCCGAAGUUCAUUCAUAACAAUUUCAUUGUAAUCCGUGACGUCUGUUCCAUCUUUAUGCCAGAAUACUUCUUCUAAUUCAUCAUUACCUACUAUGUAUAGGCAAUCCAGUUUUUGAAGACUUGGAGCUACGCUGAUAUGAAAUAGAUGCUUUAGUUUGGGGCAAUAACGGACAGAGAUCCUUUUGAGUUUUGGGAAACAUACAGGUUGGAGAUGAUCCUCAUCCUCAUCAAUGAUUUGCUCUAAUUCCAAGCAAUUCGAAACAGAUAACACCUCCAAUUGCAACAGAUUUCGAGCAAGUGUUGAUGAGAAGAGACGUCUCAGCAUAGUGCACCCGUCCACUCUUAAAUAGGUAAGACUUUGCAGGCUAAAAUUAUGGGUGGGACCUUCAUGAUAUAAUAAUACUUGCAGUUCUGGAAGAUCUUCCAAUUGCAACGACUUCAAACAUGGGAAAAGUUUGUUUUCUUGUCCAUCAGCGAUAAUAGCUUCCAACUGAAAUACCACCUGUACUCCAAUUUCCCUAAUAUGCAAUUCUUCCAAAUUUUUUAAUCCGUGCUUCAACAGUGCUGGAAUCGUGUCACUCAAAUGGGAACAAUUGUCCACAUCUAGAGUAUUUAAGUUCUGAGACAAAUAAAUAAAUAACUUGAUGCAAUUAAAAUCUAUUAGCAGCUAGGAUUAUCACAUGAUAAGUGAUGAACACCGCAAAAAACAAAAACAGAAAACAAAAUCCAUACAAAAAUAUCAUAAUACAUAUGUAAACUAAUAAAAUAAUUAAAAAGUAAUGGAUUUAAAAAAAAAUGAAAUUAGUUAAAAGAGAUCAUGUGAAGUGAUAUAAAUGUGACAUUAGAUUGUUUUAGAAAAAUUAUUAUUCUAUUAAUUUAUAUGGCUUGAUCAACUAUUUUAUUGAAUUUGAAUAAUAUUAUAUACACUUCAGAAGUAUUUGCAUCAAUUCUUUCUAAACCAAAAUGAGAUAUGACUUUCAUUUGAAGAAUGAUUUUAGGCCCUAUAAUAAAGAAAUUUCUCUAAAAUAUCUUAGCAUUAUUAUUAUCACCAUCACAUCCACCACCAUCAUCAUCUCCAUAGGAUCAAAAAAUUAAUGGCUGAUCAUAAAAUUUAUUGCUAAACUAUCAUUUUGAGUAAAAUUGAAUGAAAAGAAAAAACAUGAACCCAAACAAACAUACCUCUUUGAGAUACUGUAAAUUGGCUUCAAGUUCAUUACUGUUGAUGGUCAAGUUGGGACAAUUAUGAAGGUCUAAAUUUUCCAAUGCUGUCCAAAUUGAACAAUAAUUCUCUGAACAGAACUUGGUGAGUUCUGGGAGAUCUUUAAGUUUUAAUUUUCUCAACAAAGGGAGGGCGAGCAUCGUAUUGCCAUCUCCGAAACUUAUUCCCCCUUCAUUGUGAUCAAACUUUGCUUCGACAAUAUAUUCCAGUCUCUUGCAAUAAGUCACAAUGAGACUUUUAAGCUGCUCCAAACUUCUAGCUUGUGACGACGUGAAGAUGUAUGUCAACUUGUUGCACCUAUGCACAUUCAAUUCUGUAAGAGUUUGGAGACUGAUCACAUGUUGGGCGGGCCCCUUCCAUGUCCACUUCAGUUCUGGUAAGUCCCACAUAGAUAACUCUGCUAAUCUUGAGAGACUCUUUCCAUGCGGCGACUUAGAGGCUUCCAUUAUGCAUUCUAAAUCUUCGCAAUCGCGGACAUCAAGACAAGUCAACUCAUUUAAGCCCCUUUCAUCUAUGCUUGGCACAAUAUUGUAACAACCUAUAAUCCCACUUAAAUAAAGAAUUUCCAGUUCUUGAUACAAUGCCGAAAAAAUACCGAGCGAGGUCGCUUCAGGAGGGUGGUUACCAAUCAUUAAGAUCCUUGCCUUAUCAUCAUGUUCCCUUUCAUCAUAAACUCCUUCAACUUUAUAGAUGACGUACCUUUGCAAUUUCGGGAAUGUAAAGUCUUUUGGAAGACAUACAACAGAUCUGUCGGCUUGGGAGUUCAACUCAGCAAGCCUAGCAUUACUUUCUUCUGAACUCAUCCCUUCAACCUCCCAAUCUUUUAUCCGACCAUAAAAUUCUUCCAAUUGAGGAAAUUUUUUUAUCGUAAUGGGAGAAACAGAACCAGUAUCAAUAUAUAGAAGUUUCAAUCUACCAAGUUCAUCCGACAAUUCUUCAGGAAUUUCAAUGGGAGAUGACUGGAGAUAAAGAAGUUCAAGUCUCUUCAACUUUCCAAGAAAAAACGUGUCACUCACAUCACACCGAAUCAACUGCAGAACCUGGAGGUUGGUGAGGCUCUGAAGCGAUUUAAGUGAAAGAACUCCACCUAUUAUAGUGACAACUUUCAAUGCUGGCAUCCCUUUAAAAAAAUGUUCUGGAACUUGCAAUCGGUGGUCGUAUUCAGGAUUCUCCAAUCGCAAAAUAUGAAGGUUAGGGCAUACCAAACCACUAGAAAGCUCUUAUUUUUUAUUUCCCACCAAAGAGAUUCCUCUGUAUUGUUCCAGGCCUUCUUUCAUUGCCCGUUCUGCCAAUCCAAUGCCAAAUUUACUAAAAAAUUUCUUCUCCUCUAGAACUAUUGAGCCUAUCCAUAUGGCUACAUCACGAACCAUGUCAUGCAUUUUCACAGAUCUGUCAUUACCAGUGUCUAACAGCAGUGACGCAGCUUUGAGCGCGUUAAUCGUUCCAUGCAGUCGGCUUCUGGCGUUUUCUAUUGACGGAGCACAUUGAUACCAAAUAACCCCCACUGCGUAUCCAACCAAAUCCUCCAAAUAAAUCUCAUAAUCUUCUGGAAACAGAGAACACAACAAGAAGCAUAACUUGGACUCCUCACUAUUUAAAUUGUCGUAACUGAAUUUAAGACAACCGUAAACGUCUUGGUCAUCCUUGUCAAUACCUUCUAUUGCAUAGAGUUUUGCUUCCUUUAGGUUAUUUAGUGCUAGUUUCCAUUCAUCAGAUCCUUUUUCUCUUAGUGCACUUCCAACAGCUUCAAUAGCUAAAGGCAGCCCCUUAAUUACAUUCGUCGGCAACUUGUUUUGAAACACCAUCCAAGGAGGAGUCGUUUACAUUAAUACCGGCAUUCAUUUUUAGUAGAGUCAAUCCUUCUUCUGGUGUUAUUGUACCAAGUUCAAUCUGUGGGUAACAACCGAAAGAACCACAAAUUGACUUUUUGCGAGUGGUUAGAAGGAUUUUGCAACAAUUGUCUCUAUCACCAAUGGGAAUACCUAAUUUUUUCUCCAAGUCGAGUUGUUUCCAAACAUCACCAAGGAUUAUGAGGAUUUUGCUGCUUUUACUCUCAGAAAACAUCAACCGCAAUCGAUCUGCUCUCUCUUUUUCAUCUGUCUCAUUUAACGCCCAGCCUAACGACUUUACCAGCUCACUUUGAACCUUUAUUAUAUCUGGAUCCUGAGACACAGUGACUAUCCCAACUUCAUCGAAAAUCUUUUGUUGCCGAAGUUGAUUGCCCACAAAAUUUGCCAAGGUCGUCUUCCCUACACCACCGAGACCGUGCAAUCCCACCAUCUUUGUGCUCUCUUUUUUCAGUGCUUCAGUGAUUUGAAUGCAAGCCAAAUCUGUAGCCUUGAAAGGAGAAAAAGAUCUCGGUAUAGGCAAUUCUUUGUCUGAUGGUAGAGGUUUAGGACGGGCAACUGUGCUGAAUUUGCUGCGGUCUUGUAGCAGAUCGGACAACUUGCUAGUCUUCUUUGAUGCUUUUGUACCCAGCCAGUAUCGGCAACCCCAAUUAGGACACCAUCCAUUAAGACAACUCUUCUUUUCAUCUAUCUUUGCUUUUAAAUUUCGAACGUCGGCCAUUUCUUUAUCUACAUCCUCAAGCCAUGUCUCGACAUCUUUCUCGACUACUAUAGCACGGUGUAUUUGUCGUUCUUGUUCUACUCUUUCAUUGAUGCCAUCUUUUUCCUUCUUCAAAUUGGUUUCUUUAACCUUAAGUUCUUUAUCU